GCGGCGUCGAACCUGGAUGUCACGGCCGGCAGCGCCGCCUUGCGGGACGCCCGGGUGGCGGAGGCGGAGUGGAUGGGGAGCAGGGCGUGGUACUUGUCGGUGAGAAACAUCUGAGCUGGCUCGCUGGUGGUGUGUGGGCUGGGGUGAGGUGAGGUGAGGCGAGGAGAGCUCGCGUCGGCGUUGGGUGGGCGUGCGACUUUGCCAAGGAAAGGAAUGCAGAGGGAGUUGGAGGCGGGCGUGGGAGGGGGUGGAUUUAACGGGGCCGGUUGAGGUGUGAAACGGGGCAAGGUGGUGGUGGCCCGGACGGCUUGAGCGUGAGCGUGAGCGAGCGACGUGGACGCGAGGCGGCGGGGCAACAACGGACGCGUCUCCGGGAAGGCGACGUGGGCCCGACGCGCAAGACGCGUAUCGGAAACACCUCUCUCCUUUUCUCUCCGGGCGCCUUUUUGCUCCUACACGCUUCUCUUUUUCCCUUUUCUUUUCGUCUCGUCAUCUCAAGCGUGCCAAUGUGCCAUGGACUUGAAGGAACAAAAAUGGAAGUACGUACUUCGGGGUCUCUUUUGCUUCCGUGCCUACUAGCAUGUACUACCAACUCUAGAUGGAAACUUCGACUUACAUCCACACAAAAAAUAGCAACCCUACUACAACCCUCAUCGCCCCCCCCCCCCCCCCCCCCNNNNNNNNNNNNNNNNNNNNNNNNNNNNNNNNNNNNNNNNNNNNNNNNNNNNNNNNNNNNNNNNNNNNNNNNNNNNNNNNNNNNNNNNNNNNNNNNNNNNAAGAACACGAUGCGUGCCUUGCUGCCCCUUCUGUCACUGGGAAAGGUCACCGCACGGUAUGAACCCAAAACCAAGCACUUCUCCCAUUGCAAGAAUCAUAGAUCUAGUUGGCCAAACAAAACCCAAGACUCGGAGAGACUUACAAGGAUAUCAAAUCAUGCAUAUAAGAAAUCAGGAAAGUCUCAAAUAUAAUUCAUAGAUAAUCUGAUCACAAAUCCACAAUUCAUCGGAUCUUAACAAACACACCGCCAAAGAGGAUUACAUCGGAUAGAUCUCCAUGAAGAUCAUGGAGAACUUUGUAUUGAAGAUUCAAGAGAGAGAAGAAGCCAUCUAGCUACUAACUACAGACCCGUAGGUCUGAAGUGGACUACUCAGGAGUCAUUGGAGGGGCGAUGAUGUUGAUGUAGAAGCCCUCCAACUCCAAAGUCCCCUCCGGUAGGGCACUAGGAAGGGUCUCCAGAUGAGAUCUCGCGGAAACGGAAGCUUGCAGCGGCGGAAAAGUGUUUUCGUGGCUGCCCAGAUUUUUUCUGGGAUUUUAGUGAAUUUAUAGGCCAAAGAGCUAGGGCAGGGGAGCGCGAGGGAGGCCACAAGCCUGGUUGCCGCGGCCCCCCCUUGGCCGCGGCAACAGGGCUUGUGGGCUCCCUGUGGGCCUCCUGACUUGGCCCUCAAGUCCCCUGAUCUUCUUCCGUUCUGGAAAAAUUCUUUUUGGGGAUUUUAUUCCGUUUGGACUCCGUUCCAAAAUCAGAUCUGAAAAGAGUCAAAAACACAGAAAAAACAGGAACUGGCACUUGGCACUGAAUUAAUAAGUUAGUCCCAAAAAAUAUAUAAAAGGUAUAUAAAACAUCCAAAGUUGACAAGAUAAAAGUAUGAAACCAUAAAAAAUUAUAGAUACGUUUGAGACGUAUCAAGCACCCCCAAGCUUACCUCUUGCUCGUCCUCGAGUAGGGAAGUGAUAAAGAAUGAAUUUUUGAUGCUUUCAUGCUACCUAGCAUAGAUGUCCUUUGUAACUCNNNNNNNNNNCAUUAGAUUCAAAACAAUAGUUUGCUAUUGACAUGGAGGCAAUAAUACUUCAAGCAAACUAGCAAGGUAAUCAUGUACUUUCAAAAUAACAAGGCCAAAAAGAAAGUUAUCCCUACAAAAUCAUAUAGUCUGGCUAUGCUCUAUCAUCCUUGCACAACAAAUUUAAAUCAUGCACAACCUCGGUACUGGCCAAGUAAUUGUUUUCACACCUUUACUUUCCCAAACUUUUUCAACUCUCACGCAAUACAUGAGCGUGAGCCAUGGUUUUAGCACUAUAAGUGGAAUGGAGUGUGGUGGAGGUUGCAAGGCAAACAAGAAGAAGAUGGUCACAUUGACUAGGCAUAUCAACGAGCUAUGUAGAUGCUCAUGAAUAGAUAUCAACAUGAAUGAGUAGGGAUUACCAUACAAAUGAUGCACUAGAGCUAAGAGUAUGUGAAAGCUCUUAAAGAAAACUAGUGGGUGUGCAUCCAACUUGCUUGCUCAAGAAGACCUAAGGCAAUUUUGAGGAAGCCUAUCAUUGGAACAUACAAGCCAAGUUAUAUAAUGAAAAUUUCCCACUAGCUAUAUGGUGGUGACAAAACGAGAGACUCUCAAUCUUGAAGAUCAUGGUGCUUAAUAAGCACAAGCGUGGAAAGAUACUAGCAUUGUCCCUUCUUUCUUUUUCUCUCAUUUUUUUGGUGGGCUCUUUGGCCUUUUUUUAAUUUAUUUAUUUAUUUUGGUGGGCAUCUUUGGCCUCUUUUUGUAAAUGGGCUUCACUGGCCUCUUUUAUUUCCUCACAUGGGACAAUGCUUCAUCAAUGAUGAUCAUCACACUUACAACUCAAAACUUAGAGCAAUGAUGACUNNNNNNNNNNCGAAGACCUAAGGCAAUUUUGAGAAGCCUAUCAUUGGAAUAUACAAACCAAGUUAUAUAAUAAAAAUUUCCCACUAGCUAUAUGGUGGUGAAAAAACGAGAGACUCUCAAUCAUGAAAAUCAUGGUGCUUAAUAUGAAGCACAAGUGUGGAAAGGAGAUAGUAGCAUUGUCCCUUCUCUCUUUUUCUCUCAUUUUUUUGGUGGGCUCUUUGGCCUCUUUUUUUUAAAAUUUUGGUGGGCAUCUUUGGCCUCUUUUAUUUCCUCACAUGGGACAAUGCUCCAUGAAUGAUGAUCAUCACACUUACAACUCAAAACUUAGAGCAAUGAUGACUNNNNNNNNNNACAGUGUACCGUGACAAUGAUCUAGCAUGGCAUAAACAUCAAUGGAAACAUCAUGCUAGCUAUCUUACGAUCAUGCAAUGGCAAUGUAGAAGUGGUGGCACAUGUCAUGGUGGUAGUUGCAUGGCAAUAUAUCUCGGAAUGGCUUUGAAAAAGCCAUAGUAGGUAGGUAUGGUGGCUGUUUUGAGGGAGGCUAAUGGUGGGUUUUAUGCACCGGCGAAAGUUGCACGGCACUAAAGAAGAUAGUGAUGGUGGAAGGUGAAAAUGCAUCUAAACCAUGGACUCAAGAUUAGUCAUGAAGAACUCAUAUACUUGUUGCAAAAGUUUUAGUAGUAAUCGAAACAAAGCAUUCAACGCAUACUCCCAGGGGAAGGGUUGGUAGGUGUAAACCAUCGCGCGAUCCCAACCGCCACACAAAGGAUGACAAUCAAUAGACUAAUCAUGCUCAUACUUCAUCACAUAGCGGUUCACCAUACGUGCAUGCUACGGGAAUCACUNNNNNNNNNNACAUACUCCUAGGAGAAGGGUUGGUAGGUAUAAACCAUCGCGCGAUCCCGACCACCACACAAAGGAUGACAAUCAAUAGACUAAUGAUGCUCAGACUUCAUCACAUAGCGGUUCACCAUACGUGCAUGCUACGGGAAUCACUAACUUCAACACAAGUAUUUCUAGAUCCACAACACCUUACUAGUAUAACUUCAAUAUUACCACAACCACAACUCAAAACUAAUUGAGAUGAAUCAAACUUCUCUAACUAUUCAAUGCACAUGAAGGUGGAAGUUUUCAUAUCCAUUUGGACAACUACCUCUUUUGAGACUAAUUUCAUAGCAUAGAUCAACUACCAAGCCACGCGCUUCCGUGCUCUAAAAGAUAGAAGUGAAACACACAGAGCAAAAUCAACUAGCUCAAAAGAUAUAAGUGAAGCACAUGUGAGCUGAAUUGUCUAACCAAAAGAUAUAAGUGAAGCUCGACAAAAUCACGGUGAGUGCAUGACUCUCUCUCUAGGUGUGCAGCAAGGAAGAUUGUGACACAACAAAAAUAAAAGACUCCUACGAUACAAGACGCUCCAAGCAAAACACAUAACAUGUGGUGAAUAAAAAUAUAGCCCCAAGUAACGUUACCGAUNNNNNNNNNNCUCAAUGCACAUGAAGGUGGAAGUUUUCAUAUCCCUUUGGAUAACUACCCCUUUUGAGACUACUUUCAUAGCAUAUGCCAACGACCACGCCGCGUGCUUCCGUGCUCUAAAAGAUAGAAGUGAAACACAAAGAGCAAAAUCAACUAGCUCAAAAGAUAUAAGUGAAACACAUGUGAGCUGAAUUGUCUAACCAAAGGAUAUAAGUGAAGCUCGACAAAAUCACGGUGAGUGCAUGUCUCUCUCUCUAGGUGUGCAGCAAGGAAGAUUGUGAAACAACAAAAAUAAAAGACUCCUACGAUACAAGACGCUCCAAGCAAAAUACAUAACAUGUGGUGAAUAAAAAUAUAGCCCCAAGUAACGUUACCGAUGGAUUGAAGACGAAAGAGGGGAUGCCUUCCCGGGGCAUCCCCAAGCUUAGGAUUUUUCGGCAUCGUUGAAUCAACUUGGGGUUCCUUGGGCAUCCCCAAGCUUGAGCUCUUUCCACUCUUUAUAUCUUUGUCCAUAAGAACUUCACACAAAACUUGAAAACUUCACAACAUGAAACUUAAACAGAAACUCGUGAUAACAUUAGUAUAAGAAAGCAAACCNNNNNNNNNNCUGUAGAAAACUUAAAUUCUACUUAUGUUGAUGUUGGGUUACUGUAUUUACAAUCUUCCAUGGCUAAUACCCCCCGAUACUAUCCAUAGUUUCAUCAAAAUAAGCAACCAACUCAACAAAAACAGAAUCUGUUAACAGCAGACCAGUCUGUAGAAAUCUGUAUACUUCGUAUACUUCUGGUACUUCAAACAUUCUGAAAACUUACGACAGUCUGAAUAAUUUGCGUAGCAAUCAGAAGGAAAAAAUAAUCAACUCAAAAUCUCUUACAGAAAAAAAUUAAAAUUCUUUUCGUGAGCAGAAAGUUUCUGUCUUUUCCAGCAUGACCAAACGAUCAUCCCCAAGACUAAUCAUAACGGUUUNNNNNNNNNNNNNNNNNNNNNNNNNNNNNNNNNNNNNNNNNNNNNNNNNNNNNNNNNNNNNNNNNNNNNNNNNNNNNNNNNNNNNNNNNNNNNNNNNNNNCCGAAUGUUGUUCGGAGUCCCGGAUGAGAUCACGGACGUCACGAGGGUUUUCGGAAUGGUCCGGAAACGAAGAUUGAUAUAUAGGAUGACCUCAUUUGAUUACCGGAAGGUUUUCGGAAUUACCGGGAAUGUAUCGGGAAUGACAAAUGGGCUCCGGGAGUUCACCGGGGGGGCAACCCACCCCGGGGAAGCCCAUAGGCCUUGGGGUGGCACACCAACCCUUAGUGGGCUGGUGGGACAGCCCAAGAAGGCCCUAUGCGCCAUAGGAAGAAAAUCAAAGAGAAAAGAAAAAAAAGGAGGAGGUGGGAAAGGAAAGAAGGACUCCACCCACCAAACCAAGUAGGAGUCGGUUUGGGGGGGAGACCUUCCCCCCUUGGCUCGGUCGACCCCCUUGGGGCUCCUUGAGCCCCAAGGCAAGGCUCCCUCUCUCCCACCUAUAUUUAUGGAGGUUUUAGGGCUGAUUUGAGACGACUUUUCCACGGCAGCCCGACCACAUACCUCCACGGUUUUUCCUCUAGAUCGCGUUUCUGCGGAGCUCGGGCGAAGCCCUGCUGAGACAAGAUCAUCACCAACCUCCGGAGCGCCGUCACGCUGCCGGAGAACUCUUCUGCCUCUCCGUCUCUCUUGCUGGAUCAAGAAGGCCGAGAUCAUCGUCGAGCUGUACGUGUGCUGAACGCGGAGGUGCCGUCCGUUCGGCACUAGAUCGUGGGACUGAUCGCGGGACGGUUCGCCGGGCGGAUCGAGGGAUGUGAGGACGUUCCACUACAUCAACCGCGUUCACUAACGCUUCUGCUGUACGGUCUACAAGGGUACGUAAAUCACACAUCCCCUCUCGUAGAUGGACAUCACCAUGAUAGGUCUUCGUGCGCGUNNNNNNNNNNAUUUUUUUGUUUCCCAUGCAACGUUCCCCAACAGAAUGCUCACACAAUCUUCUUCUUCAAGACAUGCUUGCAAUAAGCUCAACUCUCACAUGACCAAUUUUUGGAUAAUACCUUGAAUACCACAUUGGUCACCAUAUAAGCUGCUUGAAACCAACAUAUGGAUUUCAAGAAAUGACUAUGGACAAAUCCUUCGAAUAUAACUCAAGGCGACCAUUAGUCCAUAGGGAUUGUCAUCAAUUACCAAAAUCGCACAUGGAGAAAUAUGCUCUUACACACUUCAUAUUCAUGAUCAUUUUGAUGCACUUCAUUUGUUUGAGACCAAUGAAAAUUGUUGGAGCCGACACCCAUAGUUGAGAAAUAUGUGUCAUCAUUGAAGUAUUCACUACAAACUAUGAUAAGAAAACUAUGUGAAGCUAUUCAUAUGCACACAUUUCUAGCAACAACAACAAGAAGAAAAAAUCUUACCUUGCGGGCAUUUCAUUGAACACCAUUUGGGCGUCGGCCGCUGGCGCACCAAAUUGCGACUCCUUAGGCGCUUCUGGUGGCGGUGAAGGCGGAGGCGGGGCGGGGCGAGGGGCACUGUCGGUCUCUUCCUUGCAGCCACCUUAUUUUUCUUCUGGGUCGGCGGCACCAACGUUGUCGCCGCAGCCGCAGCCGUCGCGUGUGGGCGCUUGAUGAUGGAGCUCUGUGGCUUCAAGGUGGGCGCCGUGCGAAGCCACCUUGAGGGUUUGUCCGUGGCGCCAUGAAAAGUCCGUGCGCGAGAUCGUGCUUGGAGCCGGUGUUGCGCCGGUGACGAAACCGGAGGUCAACCCCACACAAGGGUUUGCGAUGGCGACGACGGCGGAGGAGGAGGAGGAGGAGCCGGCGGCGGCCGAUGGGUCACAGGCGUAGCGAGCGGUCGGGGGCAUGUCGACGCGACCGUCCAUCGCCGGCUGAGGCGCGGGGAGGGGCGAAGGCGGGCGCGGCGGCUGGCGUUUGAAGAUUUACGCGGGUGAAUUGUUUUGUCUCGCGUGCUAGCGGGCGAACCAAAUAUGAUACGCGUGAUGGAGUUUCUUCCAGCGCCAGACCGCACGCGGCAUUAUUGUGCGGCCGCUUGAGCGCUGCUUUCGUCGGUAUGCGCAUUAUAUUACCGGUUUUUAAACGCACGGUUUAUUUAAUGAAGCUCCUCUUAUAAAAGGCCAGACCGUUCAUCUUGAAGACCUUGGCCAGCGGAUCCAAGGGAGCACGUUCCUGGUCGACCCUGACUUGGAGAUGGUAUAUGUGGUGCUCCUCGGUCGCCACGUCGACCACCAGCUAGCAUCGCGACGAGAACCGGGGGCAGCCGGAAAUGUACGAUCUAUCGCAGACGCGCGGCUUGGACGACACAACGAAAAUCUUGAUCGUUCCCUUUCAAUUUGAGUCCGAUUAGGAGCAGGAACCCCGACUACAUUUCAGUAGGCCGCUUCACGGUUUGAUGCCGAGCUGGUGUCGGUCGGAGGGAGUCGCGUUCCCGGCCGGUCUAUAUAUAUAGUCUCAGCUCAGAGCAUGGCCCCUCCUUGAUUCUGUAUUCUCGACGCACGCACAAACACCUAGCUUAUCCACCAUCUGCAUACGGUUCGACGAGCGAGAGGAGCCAGCCGGCCGGCGACAUGGCGUCCCCGAGGCAAGAGUACGUCCAGAUCGUCGGCGUGCCGUCGCCGCUCCCGGUGGCCUGGCUGGAGGGGGACGUCCUCGCCGAGUACCUGCAGUUCCUCGAGGAGGCGGAGAAGGCCGCGGCCGCGGCCGCGCCGCUUCCCGGCGUCAAGUGGCUGGAGGGGGACGUCCUCGCCAACUUCCUGCAGUUUCUCGGCGAGGACGAGCCGGAGCCGGAGCCGGAGCCGGUCGUGCACUACGAUAGCGGCAACGGCGGCGACUCCAUGGAUGAGGAGGAGGAGGACGAGGAGAUGGCGUUUCUGCUGCGGCACAUCACGGGCCUCCCGGCGUUCAUGGCGCGCGCCGCGGCGGCGGCCACCUCGCCUCGGUGCAAGAUUGAUUAAUCGGGACGGCCUGGCUCUGAACUUCUGAUCAAGAUACGCGAGCGCUGCCUAGCUGUUUUGCUUGCUUGGUUUCCUGCCUACAUGUUUCUGUUCUGGACAGAUGAAAACGGACCUACUGUUAAUCUGUGACACAUGCAUGCUUGUAACACUACUGCAUGAGCUAUGUACUUUUUUUAAUCAUAUGUUGGAUCAGAGAAUGUUGCAUUUUAACUAUUCGAGAUUGCUUCUUUGUAUGACGAAAGGGUUGCAAUGGAAGCUAUGGUCAGAUUAUAAGCCAAAAUCAAGCUUAUCGAGCAGAAAACUUCAACUGUACCUUUACUUUUGAAGGUCGAGCUUGUAAUUUCGAAGUUCAUUCGUUAGCCAAGUACUCUCAGUCUUUAGACCGGGGCGGUAUGUUUGGCUGGGACAACCUCACGAUUCUUUUCGAGUAAUGUUACACCUACAAAGUCUUACUUAAAGAUUUUACGAUAAACUGAUGUGUAAGAUUGUGAUUGAUAAUUGGGGGAUGAGGGGCCCCACCCCCACUGAAAAUCAAGAGAGGAGAGAAGAAUUAGUUUGGAAGGUUAAGUAAACCUUUGUAAGUUUUUGUAGGUCUAGCAUUAUUGAUUCUUUUCUAUUCCAAACUCUGUGACCUUUGAGCAAUAAUAAAGACUUGUCUUUUCUAAAAAUAUACUCCCUCCGUCCUAAAAUUCUUGUCUUAGAUUUGUGUAGAUAUGAAUGUAUCUAGUCACAUUUUAGUAUUUAGAUACAUCUAUUUCUAAACAAACCUAAGACAAGAAUUUUGGGACGGAUGGAGUAUAUAUAUAUUCGGGGUUGCUUCUUUGUAUGACGACAAACUCAGGAUUGCCACGGUGGGAUAUGAAGAGCUGUACGCUGCGUCACAAAUAUACAUUAUCACUUUUGAGAUAGAAUAGAAAAUAAUAAUAUCAUUAAUUUUCCACAUUUCACAGCUAAUUCAUGGUUCGUAUGGUGUCGUGGUAUCUAGAUGAAAGUUUCAACUUGAUAAAGUUCAUGUCCUUUUUGGCAUAACUAAUUCUUGCAUUACUCAGAAUUAAGUGUUACAAUCCCAUCCAACAAUUUCCAGGACAUCGUCUGGGCCAAAGCAUAGCCAAACAGCUGUUCAGUCAUGCAACCUACCGAAAUUGCCAUGAAAUGACUAGCCCUAUCUCUGCUUCGACAAAUACAUGUAAUGCAAGAAUCACAUCCCCAUACUGAAAUUGAUCUCUUUGAUAAUAAAAGCAUACUUUGAUUUUGUUCUUCUCUCUACUUUUGAUCAUAGCAACGGCCUCCUUGCAGUACGAUUCAAUAUCAAUAGGCUGAUUGCGCCACUGGAGAGCCUUCUUUGAUUGACAUGAGUUCAGCUUCAAGUACAUCUGAGCAAUUGUAAAGAUGACGACAAAAACUGAAGAUUACAGAGCCGCCAUCGUACCUAGAAACAUACCUCACCCAGCAAUACCCUCCAAUACAUGAUACAACACCGCCAUCUCUUCCCCCCCACCCCAAAAAAAAAAAAAACGCCAUCCCGACUUGCCCUUCAUGAUCCAGACAACCACGUUGCUGGCUGGGACGCGGUGGGAUGGACAAUCCUCACACGUUGACUUGGAUAGUGAAAAGGUGCAUCUUGAAAGAUGGUCGGAGGAAUGUGCUUCAGUACCUCAGAGUUCCUUAACACUUACCAGCAUUUCACACUUCACCCCAUCACUGAACACAACGGCAAUCACCCGUCCAAUCCCUGGUCCCAUAACCAUGCAAUCACCAGAGACAGAGGAUCUUAAUCUUGAAAGCUCCUUGGUGUUGACAUCUUUUAUUAUGUCACCAGAGUUUGUCUCCAAGUCCACAUGCCUUAUAACCCCAACAAUGCCGCCCAAAUGACCCGAGGGAUCAGACACAGGGCAGACUAUGUCCCUACGAAGAAACCCUCUUUCAGAAGUAAGAAAAUCAUCAAUCUUAACGAUGCUCUGCGCAUGGUUGCUGUAUGUAAAUUCACAUUCUUAUUGGUCCUCACUGUCACUCAUUCCAUUGUAUGACUCACUGUCCAAGUCAGUCGCAGACAAAUCAAUGUUUACAAACCCUGCAAAUAUGAAACAACUAAUAUUGUUAACAGUUAGAUUAAAUCCAUUCCUGCCUUUUUGUAAUAAACCGUGUUAUGUGAUAAACUAAAGAACGGUCUUUGAACAGCAGGUUAAUGUUCGGACAAAUAUGAAUGGACAGCACGCUUAAUGCUAAUGCCAAAGGAGAAUUCCCUCAUACAGUAUCAGUAACCACCAAAGGAGAUUUUGCCAGAUAGCAAAAGUAAGAUUUAGUGCCAAAGGGGAUUUUCCCAGACAAGACAGAAGCUAAACCUAGCGCCGAAGGGGAUGUGCCAAGAUAGCAAUCUAUAGCUAAAGCUAAAGCAUAUGUAACGACGGAGAUCAGAAGAAUAGGUAGUUCUGCCGAAGGACAUUUGCCGAACUAUAUGUAGUUUUGUCAAAGGACAUUUGCUGAACUAUAGGCAGGCUUUGCCAAAAGGAAAAUUUCCCAGAACUAUCGGUAGGUUUUGCCAAAGGAGAUUUGCCAGAAGAACUACAGAACAGUCACUAUCUGAACUGUUCAGUGUCAAAGGAGGUUCCAGAAGAACUACAGAAAAGUCACUGUCUGAAAUUUUCAGCGGCAAAGGAGAUUUGCCCUAAACUAGGAAUGGCUCGUUACAGGAGAUAAUUUCCAGAGGAAAGUUCAGAACUGCUCACUGUUUUUAUGGAGAGACAAGUUGUCUAAGAAUGAUUACCUUCUCUUCCAUCACUAGGCUAAACUCCAUUAGCAAAGAUAUGUCGACCGCGGCAGUGCCAAUUAAUAUUGCUCAUCUUUAUGUGAUUCUUGUCAGGUCAUACAGUGCAGCCAUCGACGACUACGGUCUUCUAAAAGUCAGUGCACUCCUCAUCGCAUUCCUUCACUAUUACAGCGACAACACUUAUCAGAUUUGUUGAACAAGCAAUAUUAUAGUGCUAUAUACAUUUCAUUCGUAGUGGAAGACUCCAUCUGUGCACCAUCUGUUACAUUGCCAGUCAAUUUAAACUUAUCGCAGCGGAGCUAACCGUCCCCCACAAGAAAAGCUUGUAGCUUGUCGCCACUCUGUACCCAGCUAUAGGCUGGGUUUUUCUGUACCUUCCUGGAUUUCAUUAAUUUCCUGAUCUUGUUUGCUUCAUUCCACCUAGCAGCCUCAGCAUACAUGUUUAUCAGCAGUGUGUAGUAACCCGAAUGCUCUGGCUUCAACUCAAACAAAUGUUCUGCUGCAUAUUGUGCUACUUCAAGGUUUCCAUGUAUUCUGCAAGCCCCAAGCAGUGCUCCCCACACAUCGGAAUUGGCAUGAAAAGGCAUGUCUAGGAUUAGUUCAACAGAUUCAGUCAGUUGUCCAGUACGCCCAAGAAGAUCAACCAUACAAGCAUAAUGCAUUUGUUGUGGCUCUAAAUUUUGGGCACGCAUUUGACUGAAGUACUGUUUUCCUUUCUCAACAAGCCCACCAUGGCUGCAUGCCGACAGCACUGCAAUGUAAGAGACAUGAUCAUAGUCAACACCAUCGUCCUUCAUCAGAUCAAACAAAUGGAAAGCAACAUCAAUUUGGCCGUGCAUUCCAUAUCCCAUGAUCAUGGUAUUCCAUGAAGCAACAUCCUUCUCUGUAAUCCUAUUGAAGAUCUUUGUUGCAGUAUCAAGCAUUCCACCUUUAGUAUACAAACCUAGCAGUGAAUUAGCCAGAAAGGGAUGAUUACUUUGCAAUCUCCUUACUAAAACACCAUGAAUUUCUUUCCCUUGUUUAAAUGCACAUAAAUUGGUACAUGCAGUCAGAGCACCCAUGAAAGAAAUAGCAUCAUACUCGAUUCCCACAGACCUUAUCUCCUUAAAUAGAUUAAGAGAUUCAAAACUCCAUGGACUCUGAGAAUAACCCAGAAGCAACGCGUUGUAUGACACAUCAUCCUUCUCUGACAAGUCAAAAAUAUUUUGCGCCAAGCUCAGCUGCCCGCACUUCGCGUACAUAUCGAUCAGAGCAUUCGAUAUGAACAAGUCAAAUACUAAUCCUGUACGGAUCGACCAUGCAUGGAUCUGUUUCCCUAUCUUUAGAGAGGACAUCCUUGAACAAGCUGGAAGUACAUUCACCAGAGUUAUUGAAUUUGGCCGUUCCCCAUCCUUUUGCAUCUUGAUAACAAGACGGAAUGCCUCAGUCUCAGCUCCAUUUUGCACAAGAUUAGCGAUCAUUGCAUUCCAUGACACCACAUUGGGUACCUCAAUCUUUUCAAAGACAGUGCAGGCUUUGUCCAGAGAUCCAAGUUUGGCAUACAUAUCCACAAGUGAAUUGGCAACAAAAAUAUCAGAGUCCAUUGCUCUCUUUAUACUAUACCCAUGUACCUCCCUCCCCAGAUCAAAAUAACCAAGCUCAACCAAAGCAGGUAGCAAACUUGAUAAUGUGAUAGACCCUGGCGUAACUCCACGCUCUGACAUUUCCCUAAACAUGGCCAGCACAUCUCCAUAAAGCCCUGAAUUAAGAAAACAACCUAUGGCAGAAUUCCAAGAAACCUCAUUUCUCUCUGGCAUUACAUCGAACACCUGCAUCGAUGCCUCCACUUGACAAAAUUUCCCGUACAUAUCAACCAAUGCAUUUCCAAGAUUGAGCACGGUGACCAGCCCAGUCUUCAGCGCGAGUCCAUGCACAGCCAACCCAAACCCCUGCUCCUGCUCCACGCCACAGGCAGGCAGAACCGAGACCAAGCUUGCCACGCUCACAGGGACCCCGCUCCCCAUCAUACUGACCAAUGCGCGCCUCGCGUCAUCGAACAUCCUGUUGGCCAAGAACGCAGAGACGAGGGAGUUCCACGAGACGACGUCCCGGGCGGGCAUUUCAUCGAACGCCCUGCGCGCGUCACGGGCGGAGCCACAGGCAGCGUAGAAAGAGACGAGCGUGUUGCCCGCGAAGACGUCGGACAGGUGGCCGGUUCGGAUCGCGGCGGCGUGGAGCUCGAGGCCCUUGGCCGCGUGCGCGGCAGCGGCGGCCGCGGCGGCGUGGAGGGCGAAGGGGAAGGUGCGGUCGUCCGGGCUGACGGCGGAGCGGAGCAUGAGGUUGUAGACCCGCAGGGCCUCGGCGGGGAGGGAGGCCGAGGAGAGCGCGCGGGAGAGGGAGUUCCAGAGGAAGGCGGAGCGGAGGCGGAGCGGGUGGUGGAGGAGGAGGCGGCGGGAGGAGGGCAGGUCGGCGACCGCGGCGUAGGAGAGGAUGAGCGCGCCGGCGAGGGGCAGGGACGCGGCGAGCGCGCCGGAUGUCAGGGCGGCCGCGUGCGCGCGGCGGAGGAGGUUGCCGGCGCCGCCGCAUUGGUGGAGGUGGAGGACGUGCGCGUGCAGGACCGCGGCUGUCGAGCGCUCGGCGGGAGCGCGCGGCUGCAUAGGGGUUGGGGAUUCGCUCCUCUGUUCCCGAGAUUCAAAUAAGAAAUGGACCAUUUUGGUGAUUUAUCUUUUUUUUUUUGCAAGAAAGCUUCAAAUAAUAAAAUUACAACCAGAUUCGUACACUACCUAACGACGACUACAAACAGUAAAGUGAGCCGAAGACGCAUCAGCGUCAUCGUCCCUUCCUCGCCGAAGUCGGGCAAGACGUGUUGUACUAAAUAGUCGGAAAGUCGUCCUCGUAAGGGCAUCUCUACCGGGGCGUUCGUUAUAAUAACUGUCGGUUCGUUGCAAUAAAUAUUGUAUGAACAGAUACCCCAAAUUGGCCCAUCCCAAUUAUUUGUGGGAUCCCGAAUCCGCGAACCCAGUUCCUUCUUAUGUGCGGGAUUUCGUUCAUUUUUGUACACUCCCCUUUUCGUUGACGCGAACCCAUUUCCGUGGGCUUUAUUUCCCACAUCCACUCCCCGCCACCGCAUAUCCUCGCCCCUUGGUGCUGCCCCCGACUGCCCCACGCCGCCUGAAAGAUCCGUUGCCCCGCACCGCCCAAAAGCUCCACAGCCCGACGCCACAUCCAUUCCACCUAGUUUUGGCAGUGCCAUCGAUCCGCCCAGGAGCUAGGUGCGUGGGCUCGUAGCUUGCGGGUGCAGGUGGUUCCGGCGCCUAUGGACGGGGCGCGUCAGGGGAAGAGGACGGCGCGGCACUGAUCCGGGCGGUGAAGAGAAGAAAGGGGCGGCGCGGCUUGGCUUUGCUUUGGGCGGCAGGAAAAAAGAAAGGGGUGGCGCGACGCGGCUUCAAUUUGGACGGCGGGGAGAAGAAAAAGGCGGCGCAACGCGGCUUUGCUUCAGGCGAGGUAUGUCCAACACCUGCACGUUCAUGCUCGAUUUGGCCCGGAGUAGGUUCGGGUGAAAUUCAUGGCGUUUUUGUGUGCAUUUUGUAGAUAGACUCGAGUGUGUCCUCGUCGAUCUUCAUCUGAUGAUACAUACAUAGAAUAUUUGAUCCUUGACGACGAUGACGGCAACCUAGUGUUGUUGCAUCUCAUUUACGAAUUUGAGGCGGGGUCGAAGAAAAAGAGGCGUGGAUCAACGGUCGGUCGGCUAUGCAUUCCCCGCAACCGAGCUCUCGGCGACAAGAUGCCCAUGAAGGACUACUUCGUGGAGGUAUCGACAUAUCUGGCUCACCUCUUCCGUAGGCGAUAUCGAAUGCAUAGGUCACUUAUCGUCUGCAUCGUCGAGGCUUGCGAGCAAAACUAUCGAUUCUUGACUCGGCGUAGGAAUGCACACACUUUGAUUGGCUUUAGUGCAUAUCAAAAAAUGACAGCGGCAUGAGAGUGAUCGCAUAUGGUGUUUCGACGACUACACAGAUGAAUAUCUCGCAUUGGCGAAGAUACCACCAUCAAAUGUGUAUGUGUCUUUGCGAAGACAAUGAUUCGGGUUUUUCGGUCUGGAGUACCUUGUAGCCUUCCGUCAAACAACUAUAUUAAUCCAUUAUUAAAACAUGUUUGAAACUGCUCUGCUCCUUAAAAUUUAGUCCCGCUCCAAAAAAAAGCCAAACGGGAUAGCUCCAUGAUAUGCCGUUCCGUAAAAAAAACUAGAAUAAGGUACAAUUUCAAAGUUUUUAUGAAGCUCUUCAGAGGAUGCUCCAAAAAACUCUAGAAGCUGGAGUUGAAUGAAAAUUAUCCACCAUUAUCACUAGUAAGUGGAUACCCCUUCACCCUCCUUCCUCCUUAACCAAUCAAAUAGAUUCUUCCCAUCAAAUUUUCUAUCCUUGCAGCUGGAGCUAGAUGGAAGCCAAAUAUUCUCUUGUCAUUGCUAUAGCGAAGCUAUAUGAAACUGCUCUAAAGUGAAUUUGAUGAAGUGAAGUUGAUUUUGGUGAAAUAGAGCUGUUUUUCCUUUCGAUAAAUAGCAGCAGUCUUACGCCAUUCAACGCAAACGAGAUUACGUGGUGAUUUUCAUUGGUCGGGAGGAAAGCCCCACUCAUUUUUUUUGGAUUGCGGAAAAAGUGCGUCCGGAUUGUCGAACGGACCGAUAUAAAAUAGCGUUGGAUAAAAAAGUGCGUCUGAAUCUCCCGGUGCAGACAUAUGCGGGUUUUUAGGGUCCAUAUUGAAGAUGCCCUAAGGCCUCAUAGGACCACCGCAAUAGAACAACAACCGUCAUCAAUGAAGAGACACAUAGAUCGAAAGGAACGAACUUAAAGAUAUUCGAACAUAGAAAAACAAAGACCAGAUCCGAACAGAGUCACUAAAGACAACCGCCGACUGAUCAUGUGAGAUCAGUCGGAGACACACCUCCACACGUCCUCCGACGUUUCUAAAUGCACCAUUGAAAUGGAGCUAGGCGGGAAGAACCUUAUUUCAUCUUGAUGGAGUUGUCGUCAUCUCGCCUUCGUGAACAUGACACAAACCCUAAUAAAAAAAUCAAAGAAACAUCCAAAAAUAGAGACUUGUCACCGGUAAGAGUCGGAAUCCACCGUCUCCAUGGUCCUAGAGCCACCGGAGACACGAGACGGACCAAGAACUCUACUCUUUUUGGAGAGCAUGUUUCUUUCCUUUUCUUUCAUUAAUGCAUGAUGAAAAAAAUGUAGUACUCAAGGGGUGAAUUUAUUUAAUAUAUGCAUUCAACCUUUUUAAUACAUCUUGAACAUUUUUUAAUACAUGGUGAACUUUUUAAAAUAAAUGAUACACUUUCUUUAUAUACUAGACAAUGCACCGAGCGUUGCUGUGAAAAAUUUGUUAAAAAAUAUAUGGAUAAAUGUUAGAAAACUAACGGUAAUACAAAAAUCAUUAUAAAUGUUUUGUUUAAUUACCUAGAAAAAAUUCUUGAAUUUGCAUAGAAAAAAGUAACUUAUAACUACAUGCAUGAAUAGCAACUCCGCCCCCGCGCGCGCACCCAUGACGCACCACGUACCCGACGCCUCCGCCAUUCUCGACCUCCCCCGCCGCCCAUAACCGCCCUCCUCCUCGGCUCGCCACCCCACUCCCUCCCUAUUAAUUCGCUCCCGCCAUCGCCGAUCCAUCGGACGUAAACCUGCAGUUUCGCGCACGGAGCUGACCGUCGAUCAGAUCGAUCGGGCCGGAGGAAACAAAGACCAGAUCAGAUCAGGCCGGAGCUGACCGUGUUGUCGUCGUCCGGCCAUGGCGAGCAGCCUCCUCCCCGUCGUGGCGCUCCUCGCGCUGCUCUUCGGCGCGUCGCGCGCCACCGACUUCGAGGUCGGCGCGGACGCCGGGUGGGUCGUGCCGGCGGCCGGCGGCUCCGGCACGUACAACGACUGGGCGUCCAAGAACCGCUUCCUCGUCGGCGACAGCGUCCGUAAGGCUCGCUCUCCACCCGCUCGCUUUUGAUCCACCCACCCGAUUGGUUAACACGUACGUACGUGAUGCGCGUGAUGGAUUGAUGGUAGAUUUCAAGUACAAGGCGGACUCGGUGAUGGAGGUGACGCAGGAGGAGUACGACAAGUGCGGGUCGACGCACCCCAUCUUCUUCUCCAACAACGGCGACACCGAGGUGCGCCUCGACCGCCCGGGCCCCUUCUACUUCAUCAGCGGCGUCACGGGCCACUGCGAGCGCGGCCAGAAGAUGGUCGUCAAGGUCAUCGGCCAGAACGAGCCCCCGCCCGCGCCCCCCAGCGGCGCCGCGCCGCCCAGCAUCGGAUCCGGCGCCGCCGCCAUCACUGCCGUCGCGAUGCUCUUGCCUGUUCUCGUCAUGCGUGGUAUCUGAUGACUGACUAAAUAGCGCGGGCCGGCGGGACAUCCAUAAUGUUUUUGCAGCUUCAUUAGAUAAUGUGAGCGUGCUUAGUAAAUUGUUUUUCGUUGUGGUAUUUAACAUGUGAUUAACUUGUUGAUCGACUCAUUAAUUUCCAAUUCCGUGUUGUCAUCCUAUAAGCUCCCGGUUCUUCAUUUUCGUUAAGUAGAGGAUACCCACAUCAUAUUGCUUAUAUUGCAACCCAACUGAAAUAUAAAAAAAAAGUUAUGAUGGGCUUAAACUCAAGAAUAAAGGAAUGAAGGAUUGGACAAGGUUGUCAAACCUCGUGCACCGAUGUUACAAGCUCUAUCUGUUUCACCCGGCUCUCUGUCUCGAGAACGAGGAUAGAGACUGCAGAAAGAGAGACAAGAGUAAGACUAAAAAGGAAGAUUGCCUACUGAAUAAAUGUUUGUUAAGAAAUGAGGAAUGAGAAGGAAAACAAAGGGGUUGCUUGGUUCUAUAUCCAGCAAUGCCACACUUUGCCACACGAUGUUUGUCACACAUGUCUAAGGUUAGUUCUUUAAAAUGAAAGCCACAAGUUGGCAUGCCCAAAGAAAUCUUGCCAGACUUUUCAAGUGUAUGUGAUGUGGGACCCUAAUAUGACUUGCCUAAGGCGUGACUUAAAUCAAACACCCACCUAAGUUAUUCUCAAAUCAAACAGUCCCUAAUUGAAUAUUGUAAGAGCUUUUUAUGGUGUAGGAGUAACUAGGAGAAAGUAAUAUGAUUCAAACGGGCUCGAUAAAGGAACGAAGGAAGAUGAGUUCUUUGCAUGCUUGUUAAGGCACAAACCUUCAAUAGGCAUGCAGGUAUGGCAUGCCAUCUAAAAAAUACAAAGGCUAAAGAAAAAUAGGGAUGAAUAAACUGAAAAGCGGAUGCAUCGAACAUUGAAAAUGUGAUAACUAAAGGUCUAAAACUUAUACUCAAGAAAACUCUCAAGACUAAGGAAAUCAUGUGAUUAUUUAAAAAAUAAUUGACAUGGAAAAUUCAAUUCUAAAUGAUAAUUGAGAUUGUUCAAUGAUGAUGACAAAAGACUAAUUAAUUAUAAAUACCUAAUUCUUUACCCCAUCCACUCCAUCUACAUUUAUUAUGAUUGACACAUGGUUUCGUAGCAAUGGACUAUUUAAUCACAUAUAUUGCCAUGCGUACAAUCAGCACCGUUGUAACCUGUAAAUCGUUAGAGUUGCCUAUUUAGGACAGUAAAACUGAGCCUAAAACGAGCUCUCUCAACGAUUUGCAUUUCUGGCCGUUCAUUUUUAGGAUCUGAACGUUUUUGGCCAUCAGAUCUCCUAUCCUAAGGGGCUGCUGCUUCGAAAGAAAAAACUGAGCUAUGUGGUUAAUUGGGCCCCGUAUCGUACAAACCCCUCGCUCGGCCCUGUCCUUCUCGAUCCAGCCCAUCUCGCUCUCUCACAUCAGAUAUCUUCUCCUGAGACCUCCCGUCCAAGCCACCUGAGCGAAACAGCCGCCCCAUGACCCCGGCAGCGCCGCCGCUAGGAACCUCAAGCAGGGCCUUCCCCUUCUCUCAAUCUUUCCACACCUAGCUAGGCAGGGGCUCAAUCCUUUCUUUCUAUAUGCUCCCUUUCAUCUCCGCCUCCCUGUCCCUCUGCUCUGUGCCUUUCGAUGGUGAGAGGAAUAUGAGAGGAUGAGGACGGGAGGAUGGGAAGAAGAGUCGAUCUGGAACAAGGACGCCAUGGUCCAUUCGAUCUGGAACCGGAGGACAAGAGAACGAGGUCUUCUACAGGUUCGAUCUUUUCCUAAAUCGACGUGGUCGAUGCCGAGUACAUUAAAAUAUUGUUGGUUGGGCAGCGAUGCCGUAAGAAAUUUGUUUGACACCGGUUUGACAAUGUUUGUGUUCCUAGCAUGAAAAGAGUGGAUGUCAGAUUUAGACCCACCCACUGAACUACUCCACGGCAUAAUGAUCUAGCCAUGGUUUCUGAGCCAAACUUAAUUUAAUCAUGACCAAAUGCAUAUGGCAUAGUAUGUAAGGAUUGCAUUCUCCAGCCGCCACACAUCAUCAGGAAGUACUGCAUCUGGGCGGCAAAGCAGAGAGCAAAAUUCAGAGCUGUCCCCUAGAGUUGGGCAGCUGAGUGGACCUUCUUACCAGGAAAGGUCCAGGACAUAGAGCCCGUUGACCAACUAAGGUCGCAGGAGACGACACAGGUGAGCAAGAAAAUUGGUUCCCAACUCCUUCCUCCAGAAAUAUCUUACUACUCUACUUAUCAAACAAACUCGAUCGAAUGCAACAGACGCCUCUUGGUUUGGAAAUUGGAACUACUAACCCCAUCGAUCAUGUAGAAAAUAAUGAAGCUAGCGGCAACUGUUACUUGUACUACUUGCUAAUUAUGUAAACCCAUGCCAAAGUUUAGAACAGAAUCAAUCUACCCUGCAGGCAGGCAAGCAAGCGUGCAUCCGCCAUUAUCUUUGGAGCUGCUAGAGGGAUCCCAUCAGAUGGGCUGGUUCGCAGCGUUUGGCCGAGGUACGAGCACGUUUAUGAAUGGAACGCAUUCAUGCUUUCUUUCUCCAUUGAUUACUUAGCAUGAUUGAAGAGGAAAGGUUUGGGUGUGUGUGGUGUGGCACUGUCAUAUACUGGCGAUCAUGAUGCGCACUGCACACAGCAGGUGCUGGUCAGUAUACCAGUUCAUUCAUCUUGCUAUUUUAUUUAGGUACAUACUUUGGAUCUUUUAGUUUUUUUUAGAACAAAUAUGAUUAUGAUCUACCGCUGAAUAAUGAAGCUAAGAUUCAAUCUUUGAUUUAUCUAUUUUAACAGUCGAUACUUCAUUCUUAGUUAUCAUAAAGUUGUUGGCAUUUAUUGCAUGCCUCAUUUACCAUGGUCUAUCAAGUUCUUUUUUUGGCUUCAGAUAGAUGUUAUUCUGACAACCAACAAACUUUGUUUGUUUUAAGGCCUUCGAGCAAGUAAUUUAUAUUAAUUUAAUAGAGCUAUUUUUAUAAAUGAUUGUUUUCUCAUGUUCGUUCUCACUGGAAAGAAAACAAGAUCUUUAUACAUGUUUGCAUUUUCCCAUGGCAGGAUGCUUCUGAGGGCGUUAAUGCGUACAAAGGAAUGAAGUAUUUCUGGAAGGAGCUUUUCUCAUGAAGAGAUUUGUUGAAGUCAUAGGCACACUCUGUCAAUGUAUGUAAGGAGCAUGGUCAGGCCCACUGUUGUGCAUUGAUUGUUUGGGACCCUGCUUGCAGUGCCAUGCUUGGUGAUGCAGACAAGAUCAACCAAGAAAUCUUAAAAAUGCACAUCCACUGUUCAAUUUAUGCAUAUAGAGGCUCUUCGUAAAAUAGAAGAUGAUACUCUUCAUAUGUUGCCUUCAUGCUUUCCUGAAAAAGCGUAAGCAUAUAUAGCUCACAUCACCAUGUAUAGGCCUGGUUUAUUAUCCUGAUCUCUGCGUCCUACCUAUGUGCAUCUCUUUUUUAGCUAAUCCUUGUUUUGCAAGCCUCAGUGUGGUUCAAUUCAAUAAAAAGAAUGUGCCCUAUCGCAUUUUUUCAGUGCGACGGAACAUUAUCCGAGAGGGUCAGCGUUGGACCAACAUGUGUCUAUACGACUCUGCAGAUUAUGUUACCCUUCGAUAUGAUCCUCCAUGGAGCGAAAUUUAUCUUCAUGGAUCACAAAAAACAGGUUUGAUCUGUACCAAUGGGUUGCUGCUAUGAGUAGUCUCUUUAGAGCUAAGUGGACUUCGAGACAUUUUGCGAAAUGCUGCCUUCUAAAGGAGGUGCUCGGAGAUUGAUUCCUCAUUUUAGAAAAAUAUCAUCUUACUAUGAUCAUGAUUUUAGUCGUUCUGCUUUAGCAGAGAUUGCAGGUUAUCCGUUUUUGCAAGAAAUGUUAUUUCGUUGCUCAUGUAUUCAUGUGGUUGGGCUCUCUCAAGCAACAGGAAACACACACUUCAGCACGGAAUCGCACAGCUUUCAGCAGUGAUGUCCAACAAGCUAUUAUUGAACCGAGCAAAAUAGGAUAGGGAUGUCAAGUUGCUGAUUUUCUAUCAGGUGAAACAAUUCUUCAUGCAAAUGUAUAUCCAGCUCUAUAUUAUUUUUGUUACAAAAUAUUGAAUGCUCUUUUAAUUCGGUGUUCUCCUUGUGGACGUUCUUUCCAGUAGAUCAUCUCAGCUUUGAAUAAAUAUCUAUUAUGUUCUCCAAGGAAUAAGAGCCAUGUCGCUCGACUUCUCAUGUCUUAUUCCUUUAUUGUUAUUAUCGUAGAGUAUGUAUGUAUGAAGUACGAACCCAGUUUGUUGUUUGGUUUCUCUAAAUAAGAUAAUAUGGUAGCCAUACAUUUUAAAUUACAGACAUGUUAGGCUUAUGGGUUACAAUAUAUAGGUAAAGUGUGUAUCUUUUGUGACAAAUAUUUAUGUCAAUUUUUCUAUUUUUUGUCCAGACUACUCGUCACACUAAAAAAGUGUUGGAAGAGUAAUGCUUCGUAUGGCCGGCAAUCAUGCCCGCCUGAAUUGGGUGCCAUGUUUCCUUGCAAUAAAGUACUUCUUGAUACACUUGAAAAGUGGCGUAUAAAAUUGAAGAAGAGUUUGCUAAAUGAUUUAGAAAGGAAUUUGUGUGUUUAGAGUUCAACAUUGAUAGACAACGAUGGAAUGACCAUGAUCACUCUACUUUGCCGCUUCAUCUUGCAGUACAAUAAUGAUAUGCCAAAUUAUUAGCAUUAUGAUUUGGAAUAAAGAAUUUUAGGCACCAUUUAUUUCUUCUUAUGUUAGUAUUUGCAAUAAAGAAUUCCCUGAUUCUUAAGGUAUUUGGAUGAGUAGUUGUUCAAAUUGUAUGGUCCUUUCAUUUCUCGAAUUAUCUUUUCCUUACAUUAUACUUUAGAAUAAAUAGCUCUUACAUUUUAUGUUUUUUUUUUGCCAAAUGGAUCCUCCUACUAUAUAUGUUUGUCUUAUUUGAAACAUCUACAUCGGUUAUCUGGUUGUGUACAAAUUUGUAAUGAUAGUUCUCUUUAUGGUGCAUAUUUAAUUUAGUCCAUUUUAGUCCUCACAUAUGUUCAUGUUCUUGUUCAUUAGAUUUGAUGGAGACUAAUGCCGUUGCGACCGUAAGUGUCGAUGAUUUAUAUACAUGCACUGAACCAACUAAAGCUAACAUUGAUUGUGUAGUUUCAUCCUAGAUAAAAAUAAAGUGCGCUCAUCUUUGUAUAUUUUUUAUAUAGUUAUAAGUUUGUAAUGUAUGUCCAUAAACAAGUGGGGCCAAAUGGCUCACCAAACAUUAUUUGUUGUGUCUUGGACUGUUAUUUAUACAGAAUGUUCGUUUGUGUUGAUCUAAACAGAAAGGUCACGGUUGUAUUUUGGUUCCGUAUAUGUAGUAUUUCCACAUCUUUUUUCCUUUACAAAUAUACAUGACGCAAGUAUUCGGAGUACACCAAAGGUUGAGGAGCUCACCCAUCCAGUGAAAGCAUUGCAGCUUUCCACAUUAAUCCAUAUACUCCAUCCUUUAAUUGUAUUGUUGAUGUCACUUAUACAUGUAACUAAGAGAAAAUAGGCCUUUGCAAGGAUGUCACACCACUAUUAUUUCAAUGUGUUUUGCUGAGAAGCUUUGGCAAGAUUACUAUAGUGAUCAGUUUCAUGAAAUGCCAUUUGUUUCCACUUUCCUUGCACGGCACUUCUUGGCACUUCAUGGUCAUGAAAUGCCUAUGUUGUAAAUUUAUUAUCCAAUAUAUGAGAUGCUAGAAAAAACUUGGUAGACAUGGAACUAAGAGGAUGGUCAACAUGACCCGGAAAAUAUACAACAUGAUAUAUAUAUAAAAUAAUAAAUAUUGGUGUAGGUUCAUAAGUUCUUUCAUGAAAAUAGGAAUCCAAUUCUUCCAUGUCUAUCUAUUUUUGAAAUUACUAUUACUCUAUUGAAAAAUUAAACGGGCGUAGCAACGCGCGCCAAUCAUGAUCUAGUAACCUAUAAGACUAACACCUAAUCUACAUUGUUGAUUUAUGUCUUCCUAUCGCCAUCUCUUUCCUUUGGCAAGAUCUCCGCAAUGUCAUGGUGUGCCUUGCUCGUGCGAUCUAUUUCUUACUUGUUAGUUUUUGAUAUAAAUAAUCAUUUUCUUUACUAUGUUGUGAACCAUAUGGUUAGCACAGCGAAACAUGAUGCUUGGAAUACACACUAAUCCUACACCUACGAAGCUGGUACGAAAAGUUACGUAACCUGCUGAGGGAGUCCUGGAUUAAGGGGACCUCGGGACGCCGACCCAUGGACCGAAUCAUUAGAGUCCUGAUAGUUGAUAACUCCGUACGCAGGAAGGGCGACUCCGAGGAUUGGCGUGUACUUCAAGUUUAGAAGGACUAGGUCGGCUCAUCUAUCCCCGACUAAUAGUCGGUAACUUGUAAACCCUAUGGUCCCUCGUGUCUAUAUAAACCAGAGGCCCCUAUCCGUGUAGGGAGAGGCUGAAUCAUCUAGGGUUUAGCAUAAAUGAUUUCGAGGUAGAUUUACUCUGUAAUCAUCUUCAUCAACACAAUCAAGCAGGACGUAUGAUAUUACCUCCAUAGGAGGGCCACAACCUGGGUAAACCGAUGUCUCCCCCUUCUUCCUACAAUCCAUCGAUCCAAGGUCCACAGUCCGGGACCCCAUACCCGAGAUCUGCCGGUUUUUACACCGACAUUGGCGAUUUCAUUGAGAGUUCCACUGUGGGAUCGCCGCGAGGAGGUCCAUAACAGGGACUUGUUCGUCCCCGGACAAAUCUUCGCGCUCGGAAGCAUCGUUCUGCACGCUGAUUCGGUCGGCCACCUCGAUCAGAUAUGAAAAAUUUGCCCCCGGUCAUGAAGUUAGGUUUGGGAGCCUAGAGUUCGUCGCCGACCCUCGGGGAGAUCGUGUGUUAAUCGAGCUUUCCACCCCAUUAAAGGAGAGCACGGACCUCGACGCUUUGUCCUCCGAGUCCGUGAACCCAAUCAUUGAGAAAAACUUCAUCCCUGAUCCGGCCUUAAAGCCCGACAGGCUCGGGGCGUCCGAACUCGCGUCAGUCGAGCUCUCCCAAAGUGUGAUCUCAGGUACCGUCGAGGGAUCAGGAACACCAGCUGCCCCCGAGCACCUAUGCGGCAUAAGCACUGCCGAAACCCCAACAUUGCACAUAUUACUCGACCAGAUCCAGGCUUUGAGCAUGACUAAUGGUCAGGGCACGAUCUAUGGUCGGAUCGGGAUCAAACCUGACGACAGGGACAUCCACAUCCCGCCCAUCACGCAUCAAGUUAGUAUCGUCGAACGCCCAGUCAAGGGCUCCUCGUACCAAUCAUCGAAACUAAGAGCGGUACACAUCCUAGUCGUCGACCUCUCGGACAAACUCAACAACUUGGAGCUUCUAUCCAGCCCCGGGAACAAUUCAAGCCAAGUGGCUGGUUCGGUACGCAGUCCCGUCAAGGACCCGACGACCGAAUUGGCGAGAGCACACCCAAUGGGAAUCCAAAAAUUAAACCCACCUGUCACCCAACCUAAACAUCCCUUGAGAAUGGGGUUCGGUUCAAACCCGUCCUCGACCACUCAACGGCUGGGUGAGUCAGUGCACCACUUUUGGGCGAGAUUCCUGCUUCUUCAAGCGUUCGAGGCCUUCGCUAUGGCAUUCUUUUCGAGCGCAGUUGAGCCCACCUUCCACAUGGCAGAAAAAUCGCCUCGGUGUCCACGACGACGACGAGGGAAUUCCCUAUUUACCGUUCUUUGCGUCAAAUUGCCACGGCUUUGCACAAGCGGUUCCCUAGCGCAAAAUUGGGCCAACCCACUCCCUCAUAGAGAGGCAACCGGUUUUGGGAACCUUCCACAAGGUUCCCAAAUCCGUUUUUGGUUUUUUUACCGUUUUGGGGGUUUUAUUUUGUGUUUGUUUUUUCUUUUUAUUUUCUUUGUUUUUUAUUUCAUUUAUAUAUUCGGUUUCUUUUUCCAUUUCUUUGUUUUAUGUUUUGUUUCUUUUUCAAGUUCAAAUUUUCUUGAUUUUCGGAUCUUUUUCAUUUUUAUGAUUUUUCUUUGUUUUAAUUUUUUGUUUACAAAUUUAAAAAAUGUUAGUCAUUUUCAAAAAUUGUUUUCCUAUUUAAAAAAUGUUUGCCUUUCCCAACUUUUUUUCCGGUCUCAAAACUUUCUCAGAUUUUCGAAGCAUGUUCAUAUUUUUUCAAUUUUAUUCAUAAUUUAAUAAAAAUGUUCGUGAUUUACAUAAAAAGUUUCCAUGUUUGGAAAAUGAUUCAUUUUUGUAUUUUUUGUCUCGGUUUCUAGAAAUAUUCAGAAGUUGAAAAUUGUUUCCCAUUUUCAAGUUUUGUUCAUAACUUCAAAUAAUGUUCCUAAUUUUUUAAAUAAUGUUUGCAUUUUCAAAAUGUUGUACAUAUUUUAAAAAAAGUCUUUGUUUGUUUCUAAAAAAUACUUUUUAGAAAUUUAAAAAUGUUUGUGACUUUCAAAAAUUGUUUGCCCAUUUGAAAAUAUGUUUGCCUUUUCGAAAAUUUAUUCUGGGUUUAAAAAAUUGCUCAGUUGAUAAAAAAUAUGUUCAUGUUUUAUCAAUUUUGUACCUAAUUUCAUAAAAUGCUCGUGAUUUUCCUAAAAGUUGGCAAGUCUGGAAAAAUAUUUCAUUUCCAUAAUUUGUUCCGGGUUUCUAAAAAUGUUGAGAAGUUAUUUUUUUUCCGCCAUUUUUCAAUUUUUUCUUCACCGCCUAAAAGUAGCAAAAGUCAAAACGUCGGAUCUAGCAAAAAUUCAACGAACUCGAGUUACAACCAAGCAUGGAUGUAGCUUUUUUAAAUGAAUAAAAUGUAGCAAAAUGACAAACGUUUGCAUUAAAUUUAUACAUGGUUGCAGUAAAUCUGAGCGAAAAAAUGUUGCAAGGCUGUUUGUCAGCGCGCGCGGGCUGCGAGCGACCGGCCGAACGAUUUGGCCGGUGCUCCGGCUGCAAGCAUUUACCUUUCUGUUUUGUGUUCGCAUUUUUUUUUUAAAAAGUCCGACGUUUUGUUUGAGACGUACUACAUGCUUGCUUACAUGCGUACGAAGAUAGAAAACACGAUACAGGUUAAUGGGCCGGGCCGGGUUCUCUCGCCCCUGUGCGGAUCGCUUCUGUUAGACGCAGCGAGCGUCACAUAGGAGGUCCCGGCGGCGAGCGCCCAAAAAUCCCGCGGUCGCGCGCCCAUUUCCUCCCCCUCCCAGCAACAGCGCGGCCUACCGAAACCCCAAUCGAAGCUCGUUCCCCACCCCCACCCCCAUGGCGCCGUCGCCCCCCNNNNNNNNNNNNNNNNNNNNNNNNNNNNNNNNNNNNNNNNNNNNNNNNNNNNNNNNNNNNNNNNNNNNNNNNNNNNNNNNNNNNNNNNNNNNNNNNNNNNGACCUUUCCCAGUGACAGAAGGGGCAGCAAGGCACGCAUCGUGUUGUUGCCAUCAAGGGUAACAAGAUGGGCUUUCAUCAUACAUUUGAGAUUGUCCAUCUACAUCAUAUCAUCUUGCUUAAGGCGUUACUCUGUUCUUAUGAACUCAAUACACUAGAUGCANNNNNNNNNNNNNNNNNNNNNNNNNNNNNNNNNNNNNNNNNNNNNNNNNNNNNNNNNNNNNNNNNNNNNNNNNNNNNNNNNNNNNNNNNNNNNNNNNNNNNNNNNNNNNNNNNNNNNNNNNNNNNNNNNNNNNNNNNNNNNNNNNNNNNNNNNNNAUUGGACGUGAUGCCUAUAGAUAUGAUCAUUGCCAUAGAUAACGUCAUGACUUUGCACGGUUCUAUCAAUUGCUCGACAGUAAUUCGUUCACCCACCGUCUACUUNNNNNNNNNNUGCUAGAUAGCGGUCGACGUGUGGAGUAAUAGUAGUAGAUGCAGAAAGUAUCGGUCUACUUGUUUUGGACGUGAUGCCUGUAGAUAUGAUCAUUGCCAUAGAUAACGUCAUGACUUUGCGCGGUUCUAUCAAUUGCUCGACAGUAAUUCGUUCACCCACCGUCUACUUGCUUUCAUGAGAGAAGCCACUAGUGAACACUACGCCCCCCGGGUCUAUUCACAACUAUCUGUUGGGGAACGUCGCAUGGAAACAAAAAAAUUCCUACGCGCACGAAGUCCUAUCAUGGUGAUGUCCAUCUACGAGAGGGGAUUUCUGAUCUACGUACCCUUGUAGAUCGCACAGCAGAAGCGUUAAGAAACAUGGUUGAUGUAGUGGAACGUACUCACGUCCCUCGAUCCGCCCCGCGAACNNNNNNNNNNNNNNNNNNNNNNNNNNNNNNNNNNNNNNNNNNNNNNNNNNNNNNNNNNNNNNNNNNNNNNNNNNNNNNNNNNNNNNNNNNNNNNNNNNNNGACACAGAUCCGGACGACUCAAAGUCGAAACCGGAUACGUAUUUAUUCUUAAUGGGGGUGCAGUAAGCUGGUGCAGUUCCAAGCAAAGCGUCGUAGCAGAUUCUACAUGUGAAGCGGAGUACAUGGCUGCCUCGGAGGCGGCUAAGGAGGGUGUCUGGAUGAAGCAGUUCAUGACGGAUCUUGGAGUGGUGCCAAGCGCACUGAAUCCAAUAACCUUGUUCUGUGACAACACGGGUGCCAUUGCCUUGGCGAAGGAACCACGGUUUCACAAGAAGUCCAGACACAUCAAACGACGCUUCAACCUCAUCCGAGACUACGUCGAAGGGGAGGACGUAAAUAUAUGCAAAGUGCACACGGAUCUGAAUAUAGCAAACCCGCUGACUAAACCUCUUCCACGGGCAAAGCAUGAUCAACACCAAAACUAUAUGGGUGUUAGAUUUAUUACAAUGUAAUUCGCAUGAUGAUGUGAGGGCUAGAUUAUUGACUCUAGUGCAAGUGGGAGACUGUUGGAAUUAUGCCCUAGAGGCAAUAAUAAAUAUAGUUAUUAUUAUANNNNNNNNNNNNNNNNNNNNNNNNNNNNNNNNNNNNNNNNNNNNNNNNNNNNNNNNNNNNNNNNNNNNNNNNNNNNNNNNNNNNNNNNNNNNNNNNNNNNCACUUGGCACAAACGCAAAAUAAACACAAAAAACACAAUCAUAACAGAAUUAUGAAAGUGUGGAAAACACAAAACAGAAAGAAAAAUUAUAGAUUCGUUGGGUUGCCUCCCAACAAGCGCUAUUGUUUAACGCCCUUAGCUAGGCAUAAGGUGAUGGAAUCACGUAUAGCCAUCUUUGGUGCUCAAACCAUAAGUAGCCCUCAUCAUAGAUUCAUAAGNNNNNNNNNNAGAUAGAUUCAUUGGGUUGCCUCCCAACAAGCUCUAUUGUUUAACGCCCUUAGCUAGGCAUAAGGUCAUGGAAUCACGUAUAGUCAUCUUUGGUGCUCAAACCAUAAGUAGCCCUCAUCAUAGAUUCAUAAGGCAAUCUUAUUUUCUUUCUAGGAAAAUGCUCCAUGCCCUUCUUUAUAGGAAAUUGAAAUCUAAUAUUCCCUUCCUUCAUCUCGAUGAUAGCACCAAUAGUCCUUAGGAAAGGUCUACCAAGAAUAAUGGGACAUGAAGGAUUGCAAUCUAUGUCAAGUACAAUGAAAUCCACGGGUACAUAGUUCUUAUUUGCAACAAUAAGAACAUCAUCUAUCCUUCCCAUGGGUUUCUUGACAGUAGAAUCCGCAAGAUGCAAAUUAAGAGAACACUCUUCAAUCUCAUGAAAACCAAGAAUAUCACAUAAAGACUUUGGAAUCGCGGAAACACUAGCACCCAAAUCACACAAAGCAUUGCAUUCAUAGUUUUUGAUCUUGAUUUUGAUAGUAGGUUCCCACUCAUCAUGAAGUUUUCUAGGUAUAGAGACUUCUAAUUCGAGUUUCUCUUCAAGAGAUUUCAUCAUAGCAUCUACGAUAUGAGCGGUAAAGACUUUGCUUUGGCUAUAAGCAUGUGGAGAAUUGCAAUGGAUUGCAUCAAGGAAAUGCAUUCAAACAAGGAGAAACUAUCAUAAUUGAAUUCCUUGAAAUCCAAAGUGGGAGUUUCAUUACUACCCAAUAUUUUGAUUUCUUUUACUCCACUCUCCACACCUUUAUCAUCAAGAUAGGUGGACUCCAAAUCAUUGGGGCGUUUUUCAACCAAAGUGGAUUCAUAUCCAGCCCCUUCAUCAAUAGGUUUGACACGCGAAAACAAAGAUUCAAGAGGAGUCACACCAAGCACUUUAAGAUCUUCGUGAUUUGCAUCACUAGAACGCACCCUUUUAAACCAUUCAUGCCUAGCAUGAAUUUGGGCGGUUCUUUCUUUGCUCUCAUUCAUGGAGACACGCAUAGCUUUUAAAGUUUCAUCCAAGUUGACCUUGGGAUGAGCACAUCUAACUUUCAAAGCAUCAAUAUCACAAGACAUCCUAUCAACGCUCUUUGCCAAAUCGUCUAUUUUGAGUAGUUUUUCCUCUAUGGACGCAUUGAAAAUCUUUUGAGAGUUGAUGAACUCUUUGAUAUUACUCUUUAAAUCAGAGGGUAAUUUGUUAUGAUUUUCGUAAGUGUUGUUGUAGGAAUUGCCAUAAUUGUUAGAGGAGUUACUAGGAAAAGGCCUAGGAACAUAGUUUCCUCUAAAAGCAUUGAUGUUGCCAAAAUUGUUCCUACCAACAAAAUUAACGUCCAAACUAGCGUUGCUACUCUCAAUCAAAGAAGAUAGUGGCAUGUCAUUAGGAUCUAAAGGAGCAUUUCUACUAGCAACCAAAUUCAUCAACUCGUCCAUCUUAGCACUAAGCGAGUUAAUUUCUUCUAUGGCGUGUACCUUUUUGCUAGCAGGUGACCUUUCAGUGUGCCACUGAGAGUAGUUGGUCAUGAUAUUGUCUAGGAGUUUUGUAGCGUCUCCUAACGUGAUUUCCAUGAAUGUUCCACCUGAGGCAGAGUUCAAGAUAUUGCGAGAAAAAAUAAUUCAAACCAGCGUAAAAGAUUUGUAUAAUCAUCCGCAAACUCAAGCCAUGAGCGGGACAAUUUCUAAUCAUUAGCUUCAUCCUCUCCCAAGAUUGUGCAACGUGUUCAUGAUCAAGUUGCUUGAAAUUCAUGAUAUCGUUACGGAGAGAGAUAAUCUUAGCCGACGAAAAAUACUUGGAUAUGUAAGGAUCUUUGCACUUAUCCCAAGAAUCGAUACUAUUUUUAGGCAAAGAAGAAAACCAAGUUUUUGCGCGAUCUCGCAACGAGAAAGGAAAAAGCUUCAAUUUAAUCACGUCAUUAUCCACAUCUUUUUUUUGCAUAUCGCAAAGCUCAAUGAAGGUAUUGAGAUGGGAUGCGGCACCUUCACUAGGAAGGCAAGAGAAUUGCUCUUUCAUAACAAGAUUCAGCAAGGCAGCAUUGAUUUCAUAAGAUUCCGCACUAGUGGCGGGAGCAAUUGGAAUACUGAUAAAAUCAUUAUUAUUAGUACUCGAGAAGUCGCAAAGUUUGGUGUUUUCAGCCAUGAUGACUUCAACAAACAAACAAGAACACAAGCAAGCAAGAAAACCGGCAAAGGAAAACGGCAAAAGGGAAAAGAAAACGGCAAAGGAGAAAGGCAAAAAGGAAAAUGAAAACGGCAAAUGUGAAGUGCGGGAGAGGAAAACGAGAGCCAACUGGCAAAAAAAGUAAAUGCAAGAGAUGAGUUUGUGACACCUACUUGGAUAGAUCUUGACUUGAUNNNNNNNNNNNNNNNNNNNNNNNNNNNNNNNNNNNNNNNNNNNNNNNNNNNNNNNNNNNNNNNNNNNNNNNNNNNNNNNNNNNNNNNNNNNNNNNNNNNNNNNNNNNNNUCCCUCGGCCUUGGAGCCUUGCGUUGGUGUUUCCUUGAAGAGGAAAGGGUGAUGUAGCACAGCGGCGGUAAGUAUUUCCCUCAGUUUGAGAACCAAGGUAUCAAUCCAGUAGGAGGAUCGAGGCAAGUCACAAGUAUCUACACAAACACAAAGAGCUUGCACCCAACGCUAUGAAGGGGUUGUCAAUCNNNNNNNNNNGCCGUCGACCGCGCCGUCCCGCCCCACCCCGUCCCGCGCCGCCCCGAUCCGUCCCCAGCCGCCGGUCCUGUGGCCCCAGCCGGCCACCUCAUCCUGCCGCCACCAUGUAUGUGUGCGUGUGUGUCUGUUUUCGUGUGUUCGUUUGAAAAUGUUCGUGUCUGAAAGUGUGCGUGUUACCCAGCUGCAAUGGACGGAGAGGGCUUCGAGGUGUGGGAUUCACAGCCGUCGGCAAGCGACCCAGUGCUACUGCGACAACAGACCUUCCCUGGCAAUGGCGCCAGGAAUCCUUCUGCUACGGGCUACGCCUAUAGGGACUUCCUUGGCAAAUAUGCAAAGGAUUCCCCCUCGGCCUUGGAGCCUUGCGUUGGUGUUCCCUUGAAGAGGAAAGGGUGAUGUAGCACAGCGGCGGUAAGUAUUUUCCUCAGUUUGAGAACCAAGGUAUCAAUCUAGUAGGAGGACCGAUCCAAGUCACAAGUACCUGCACAAACACAAAGAGCUUGCACCCAACGCUAUGAAGGGGUUGUCAAUCNNNNNNNNNNCUGAAUAGACCCAGGGGCCGUAGUGUUCACUAGUGGCUUCUCUCAUGAAAGCAAGUAGACGGUGGGNNNNNNNNNNACUGAAAGCAAAAAGUAAACAAAGCAAAGUAAAAGUGAAAGUGGAGACAAUAGUUGUGAAUAGACCCGGGGGCCGUAAUGUUCACUAGUGGCUUCUCUCAUGAAAGCAAGUAGACAGUGGGUGAACGAAUUACUGUCGAGUAAUUGAUAGAACCGCGCAAAGUCAUGACGUUAUCUAUGGCAAUGAUCANNNNNNNNNNGUAGGCAUCAUGCCCAAAACAAGUAGACCGAUACUUUCUGCAUCUACUACUAUUACUCCACACGUCGACCGCUAUCCAGCAUGCAUCUAGUGUAUUAAGUUCAUAAGAACAGAGUAACGCCUUAGCAAGAUGACAUGAUGUAGAUGGACAAUCUCAAAUCUAUGAUGAAAGNNNNNNNNNNACAUUCAUCUAGUGUAUUAAGUUCAUAAGAACAAAGUAACACCUUAAGCAAGAUGACAUGAUGUAGAUGGACAAUCUCAAAUCUAUGAUGAAAGCCCAUCUUGUUACCCUUGAUGGCAAGAACACGAUGCGUGCCUUGCUGCCCCUUCUGUCACUGGGAAAGGUCACCGCACGGUAUGAACCCAAAACCAAGCACUUCUCCCAUUGCAAGAAUCAUAGAUCUAGUUGGCCAAACAAAACCCAAGACUCGGAGAGACUUAUAAGGAUAUAAAAUCAUGCAUAUAAUAAAUCAUCAAAGACUCAAAUAUAAUUCAUAGAUAAUCUGAUCACAAAUCCACAAUNNNNNNNNNNNNNNNNNNNNNNNNNNNNNNNNNNNNNNNNNNNCAAAGACUCAAAUAUAAUUCAUAGAUAAUCUGAUCACAAAUCCACAUCUGAUCUCGACAAACACACCGCCAAAGAGGAUUACAUCGGAUAGAUCUCCAUGAAGAUCAUGGAGAACUUUGUAUUGAAGAUCCAAGAGAGAGAAGACGCCAUCAAGAUACUAACUACGGACCCGUAGGUCUGAAGUGGACUACUCACGAGUCAUUGGAGAGGCGAUGAUGUUGAUGUAGAAGCCCUCCAACUCCAAAGUCCCCUCCGGCAGGGCAUUGGGAAGGGUCUCCAGAUGAGAUCUCGCGGAAACGGAAGCUUGCGGCGGUGGAAAAGUGUUUUCGUGGAUGCCCUCAUUUUUUCUGGGAUUUUAGGGAAUUUAUAGGCCAAAGAGCUAGGGAAGGGGAGCGCCAGGGAGGCCACAAGCCUGGUUGCCGCGUGCCCCCUGGCCGCGGCAACAGGGCUUGUGGGCUCCCUGUGGGCCUCCUGCCUUGGCCCUCAAGUCCCCCGAUCUUCUUCCGUUCUGGAAAAACUCUUUUCGGGGAUUUUAUUCCGUUUGGACUCCGUUCCAAAAUCAGAUCUGAGAAGAGUCAAAACACAGAAAAACAGGAACUCGCACUUGGCAUUGAAUUAAUAAGUUAGUCCCAAAAAAGAUAUAAUAGGUAUGUAAAACAUCCAAAGUUGACAAGAUAACAGGAUGAAACCAUCAAAAAUUAUAGAUACGUUUGAGACGUAUCACCCAGCUACCCAUGCCGGUCUCGACCUCAACUCUCAAGUUUCGGCGUCGGAGGGGUUGCCACGACUUGGGCUGUACGGAGCUUUCCUCCAGAGCGACGACGAUCUCCUCCUUGGAUGAGGCAGGGCCUCCGGGCUCCCUCCAUAUCGGCCACCGCGUGCCGGACCAGGUGACAGAUGGACGAACCCAUCAGCACCCUUGGCACUUUGUAUGCUUGUUUUGUAUGUUUAUGUGGUCAAUGAGGAGGCCACGACUGGCCACACCAAAUCCGGCAGGAAAUAGGGUCCAAAGUAGCCAAAUGAUUGAGAAAAGCAUUUAUUGUCAAUCUUACCCUCUCAUCCAAACACCUUUUUGGUUAGAGUUAGUUUAGGGUUAGUUGAGGGGUUAGAAUCUAACUCUAACUCUAACCGAGUUGGAGUAUCCAAAGAGGGCCUAUGAUAUGAUACUACCUUUAUAGUGCAUAAUAUCAUAAACUAGUAUCAUAGAUGAUCUCAUUUAUUUACAUGCAAGAUACAUAAUAUCAUAUCAUUUAACAUGGGGAGUAUGUUACUUUAACCCUCUCUCUUCUUUAAUUAUGUGCCACAUCAUCAUGUUUGAUAGUCCCAAGAUUAUGAUACUACCUAUGUUACCCUCACUAUGGCUAGCCUAAGACCAUCUCUAGCUCUUCCCAUAAAAGUUAUUUCUGCUUUAGGGAGUUGGACCAUAAAGAUCCCUUCCCUAAAAAAUUAAAAUACUUGAGGAUUUACACCUCGAAACGUAUCCCCUCUCCUCAAAUUUUAGUUAUUAGAGGCAUUUUUUCACAAAUCAUCACUCUUCCUCUCUCUUGUAUUCAUGGCACAUUUAUCGACACACCAUCCGAUAAGCCCCAUGAUGGAUAUAAGACCACCCACAAUGGGAAUAACAUCCGAUCCACCCCGUCACCCCAGCCUCGUGAUCUAGCCGCGCCGCUUGUGAGCCCAAGACAUGGUGUGCAUUAGUCCCACGGUCCCCCCACAUCUUUCCGUCGUCCAUCACGCCAAACUCAUCAUAGAUCUAGCGGCAAUCAUCGCCGUAUGCGAGGCCGCUGGCAACCAUUGGAAAUGGAUCACAUCAUGGGAUGAUGGGAACACCGGUAGCACCAUGGGUCCAAACGUGCAAGAUGUUUGCUUAUUGAAAACACAUCUCCAGGCUUCUCUUGUGCCUUUUUUUUCAUGUACACUAUUUUCUUUUCCAUCUAAACGAGUUUCUUAUUUUCUUCAUCCAAUUUUUUUCUAACGUGUCAUCAUGACCGAAGUAAAUAUAUAUGAUUUCAUAAACGAUGCAAUCUUUUAUCUCCUUUACUUACUUGCAUUGGGGCCACAGUGUGAGCAUGGUACCAACUAUACAACUACCCCACUCUCCCCUUUAUUCCUCCAUCUUAGUACUUUCUUGGACAUUGACUCACCCGCCUCUCGAUAUUGUUUCUUGAUGACCUAAUCACCCAUUGUUGUCAUUCAGCCCAUGGGAAAGUCCCAUCACAACCUGCUCGUCCUGUAGGUGUGUGUUUGGUUGGACGACCAACUGUCAUGGAAUGAAAUGGUUCCAUUUCACAGGAACGGGUCCGUUCCAUUCCUGUGUUUGGUAGGAGUAAAAGAGUAAAACGGGUCGGUUCCGUUUCGGUGUUUGAUUGGAAGCACACAAUGAAAAAUGAAACACAUAUAAUUCAAAAUUUUGGCAGCAUUUCGUUUGUAAUUUGAAGAAAGACAACAUAACAAUAUAUAUUGANNNNNNNNNNNNNNNNNNNNNNNNNNNNNNNNNNNNNNNNNNNNNNNNNNNNNNNNNNNNNNNNNNNNNNNNNNNNNNNNNNNNNNNNNNNNNNNNNNNNNNNNNNNNNNGCUAGGGCAGGGGAGCGCUAGGGAGGCCACAAGCCUGGUCGCCGCGGCCCCCCUUGGCCGCAGCGUCAGGGCUUGUGGGCUCCCUGUGGGCCUCCUGCCUUGGCCCUCAAGUCCCCUGAUCUUCUUCUGUUCUGGAAAAAAUUAUUUCGGGCAUUUUAUUCCAUUUGGACUCCGUUCCAAAAUCAGAUCUGAAAAGAGUCAACAACACAGAAAAAACAGGAACUGGCACUUGGCACUGAAUUAAUAAGUUAGUCCCAAAAAAGAUAUAAAAGGUAUAUAAAACAUCCAAAGUUGACAAGAUAACAACAUGAAACCAUCAAAAAUUAUAGAUACGUUUGAGACGUAUCAACGGGUUGAGUGCAUAACGGUUAGAUGGGGCAACCUAGUUAAGGGGGUCUUAUUCCCCAAUGGUUCUUAUCUUUUGAGUUUGUGUUUCCCCCGAUUGUUGACCCUCUUAGAGCUUGCUAACUCUCAAUCCCUUCAAUGAUUAUUGCUAUUUCUUGAGGGAAAAGAGAGAGAAGGUCUAGAUCUACGUUUUCACCAAUCACUUUCUCCUCUAUGUGAGGGGAACCCCUUGGAUCUAGAUCUUGGAGUUCUUUGUGAGCUCCUUGUUCUUCCUCUCAUAUUCUUCCGUAGCUUUUGUUCUUGUGGAGGGAUUUGAGUGUGAGGGACUUGACCACUUCAUGUGUUCUUGAAAUUACAUUAAUUGCAUCGGUUUGAGUUCUGUAUGGUGAUACGUGGAAGUGAAGUUUGAGAAGCUUAUUACUCUUGGGUGUUUGGGAACCCUAUAACUUGUGCCUCUUGGGUGGUUUGACGCCCUAGACGGUUGGUGGUGUCUCGGAGCUUAAUCAUUGUGGUGUAAAGUUUCGGGAAAGCGUCGGAGUCUCCAAUUAGGUUGUGGAGAUUGCCAUGAGCAAUUGAGGUCACCCCGGAGCCACAAUCCAUUGUGGUGAAGCUUCGUGAUGUUGUUGGGAGCCUCCAAAUAAGUUGUGGAGAUUGCUCCAACCUUGUUUGUACAGGUUCGGUGACAAUCCUCAAGGGUCCCUUAGUGGAAUCAUGGCAUCUUGCAUUUUGCAAAGGCAUGAGGAGAUUACGGUGGCCCUAGUUGCUUCUUGGGGAGCAUUGUGUCUCCAUACCGCUCCAAUUGGAGAUUAGCAUCCGCAAGAGUGUGAACUUCGGGAUACAUCAUCGUCUCUGCGUGCCUCGGUUAUCUCUUACCCAAGCCCUUUACUUAUGCACUUUACUUUGUGAUAGUCAUAUUGUUUCAUGUUAUAUAUCUUGCUAUUACUUAGUUGUUUAUCUUGCUUAGCAUAAGUUGUUGAUGCACAUAGGUGAGACUAGUUACUUUAGGUUUUGUGCUUGACUAAUUAAACAUUAGUUUUAUUCCUUAUUUGUUCAUGCCUAAACCGUAAUUAUUUUAAAGCGUCUAUUCACCCCCUCUAGGCGACAUCCACGUCCUUUCAAAUUGGAUGAGGAGGGUGAGGGUAUGGUUGAUGCACCAAGAGGAAGGGCUAGCAACUACACCGUGGACGAAGACAUCUUUCUAUGCAAGACAUGGUUGAAUGUGUCUCUGGAUGCCACCAUUGCGGGUGACCAAACUAGAGAUACAUAUUGGCUUAGGAUGAAGGAGUACUUUGAUGAAAAAAAAGAGCGGAAUUGAGUGCACCAAUAUGAGAGGCAUGGGAGCACCUACGGGAGGCUUGGGCGACAUGGGAGGCAUGGGAGCACCUACGAGAGGCAUGGUGGCUUGGGAGCAACCAUGGAAGGCAUGAGUUUUUGGUCUCUCAUGAGAGGCAUGGGAGCACGUCACAUGAUGCCUCACAUGCCUACACAUGAUGCCUCACAUGCCUUUGGAGAUAAUGCGAACAAUGUCCGAGGUUAUAAUGACACACAUGUGCUUGAGGAGGAGGAAAAAGAAAAGAAAGAAGAGGAGCAAGAAGAUGGAGCAUGAUUCUUGAUGUUUCAUUCGUUUAUGUGAACUUAUUUGUGAUGAACUUGCUUGUGGUGGAUGAUUUUGAACUAUGCCAUGAAUUUUAACUAUUCUAUGUUGCUCAACUCAUCAUUUGUCACAAAUUGACAUGUGAUGUUUCAUAUGUACCAAAUGGCAGUUGGGCGCGUGAUGUGUAUUUUACCGCACGUGCUGAAGCGCUGCAAAAGCCAACACAUGUCCACGCGUUCUAAAACGCAAUUUUGGCGUUUAAUUUUUUUACCACACAUUUGUUGGAAAUGCUAGUACCGCUUCGACUCUUCGACCCUCCAGUUAUGGGUUAUGUCACUGCCGCCACACGACCAGCGCGCCGGCAGUGACGACAACAAUCUAUGCUGGGAUUUUCCCUACAACUUCGUCGCAUACACCAACAACCAGGUACCGGCGAGCGCCUGGUUUGACAAUGGCGAGAAGACAUUGUGCGUCAGGCAAGGGUAUGUCUUAGUUCAUGCUUUCUCGUUAGUUGCAUGCGGAACUUUCAUCGAAAACACAUCUCACAGGUCACAGCGCAUGACCAACUCGCCAUAAACAUUACUAGUUGCAUUAUUGUCACUUAUAGUUUUCCUGUUGGUAGUGGUAUAUUGUUUUAUCCGUUCUCUUUUAGUGGAGCUCAUGGGGGGAAUUGUCUUUCCUUAUUCGAAGAUACAAGCAUGUCUACUUGGUUUCCACGUUAUUACUUGAAGGAAUUUUCGUUAAGUGGUAAUGGUAACCAGUUGCCCUUUCAUGAUGUGUCAAAGAAGAUUAUCUGGCGGGUUAGUUAAGAAAUUUUUGCCCAUCCACUGUGAAAAGUUUGCUGAAUUUCAAACUUAUGGAGGCAUUUAGUACGAGUGUAAUGAAAGAUGUUUAUAUCUACUUAUUAAAAAUAUAUUGAAAUAGGCCAAGUACAAAUAGAAUAUGGUGCCUACUUAUCGACAUGGAGCAUUUAGCAAAAUUUAUCAUUGAAGCUUUUCCCAAACAGUGGUCAGCACCAAAAUUUCCAUCCCCUUUUUUUUGUAGAUGAAGCUGACUAAACUUAGUUGGACGCAUCUAGUGGGCGGAUAGCUGCCCGCUAGCUUUUCUCGGGGAGCCUACUUUUUUAGGAAGUUUCCCGCCCCCCUCUUGCUGAUUAGGAAACCCCAUAGCACGUUGUUUGCUUUGGUCCCUGCAGUCCCCCACGUGUAUGCAUGUGCAUCUACAAUGAUGUACUCUUUAUUUGUUAGGGAAAAAUCAUUCAUCUACAUUAUCACGUGGUUUUUCCUAGGAUUGUCGUUUAUUUUUUGCUUUUCAAAAAUUAAAAAGGUCAUAACUUCCAAAUCCGACAUCGAAAUUGAUAUCCGUGUUUUCAGAAAUAGAUCCCAUAUGAUGUUUCGAUAAACCUUUUGUCCAUGCAACUGCCUAACGAGUGUGUGUAACUCCGUGGUCACUUAUGUGCACCUAUGCCAAGGAGAGUUUGCAACUAUACAGUCGUGCGUGAGGUAUUAUGCCAACGAGACUGUGCAACACUCUGUUUCUGUUGGUGCGACUAUACCGCCGUGCGUGUGCACCUUUUGUAGUCAUGCUUGAGCUACUAUGCCGACGAAAAUGUACAUAUUUAUGGUCACGUGUGCGACUGUGGAGACAUGCACGUGCACCUCAGUGGUGCGCACUUGCGACUAUGCAGAUGGAAGUGCGCAACUCCGCGGCCGCACUCAUGUGCGACUAUGCCGACGAGAGUGUGCAACAUUGCGACCGUGCAUGAGCUGCACUUCGAUAAAAGUGUGCAACUCCAUGGUCAUGUGUGUGCAACUUAGCCUCUGCGUGUGUGCAACUCUACGGCCGUGCGUGAGCUGCUACUCCGACAAAAGUGUGCAACUCUGUGGUCAUGUGUGUGCAACUUAGCCUUCACGGGUGUGCAAUUCUAGCAGUCAUGCGUGAGCUACUACGCCAACGAGAGUGUGCAUCUCCGUGGUUGCGCGUGUGCGACUAUAUAUGCCCAUGCACGUGUGCACCCCCUAUAGACGUACGUGUGCGACUACGUGGAUGAGAGUGUGCAACUCCGUGAUCAUGCAUAUGUGACUAUGCGGACGAUGAUGCAUGCGUGACUAUGCCGACACGAGUGUGCAGCUCCAUGACCACAUGUAUGCGACUAUACCAACGAUAGUGUGCAACUCCGCGGCCAUGCCUAUGCGACUAUGCGGACGAGAGUGUACAACUUUAUGGUCAUGCUUGCACAACUAUAUCGAUAAGAGUGUGCAACUCCACGAUCACACAUGUGCGACUAUGCCAAUAAUAAUGUGCAACUCCACGGUCAUGCAUGUGCGACUAGGCGGACGAGCACGUGCAACUCUACGGUCAUGCAUGUGUGACUAUGUCGAGAAGAGCAUGCAACUCCACGGCCAAAUGUGUGCCACUAUGUCAACGAUAAUGUGAAACUCCGUGAUCGUGCAUAAUGUUGGGGAACGUUGCAUGGGAAACAAAAAUUUUCCUACGCACACGAAGACCUAUCAUGGUGAUGUCCAUCUACAAGAGGAGAUUAGAUCUACGUACCCUUGUAGAUCUCUAAGCGGGAAGCGUUAAGAAACACGGUUGAUGUAGUGGUACAACUUCAUGAUUCAAAUCACCGUCGUCCCACGAUCCGUUCCGAUCUAGCGUCGAACGGAUGGCACCUCCGCGUUCACCACACGUACAACUCAAUGACGAUCUCGGUCUUCUUGAUCUAGCAAGAGUGACGGUGAAGUAGAUGAGUUCUCCGGCAGAGUGACGAUGCUCCGGUGGUGGUGAUGAUCUACUCCUGCAGGGCUCCGCCCGAGCUCCGCAGAAAUCCGAUCUAGAGGUAAAACUACGUGGUAUAGGUUUGAGUUGCACGUGGCAAAGUUGUGUCUCAAAAAACCCUAAACCACCAGUAUAUAUAGGAGGAGGGGAGGGGCUAGCCUUGGGGCUCAAGGAUCCCCUUGGUGCGCCGGCCGAAGGGAGAGGAGGACUCCUACUCCAAUUCGGUUUGGGGAAGAUGGAGUCCUCCUCUUCCUUCCCAUCUUCCUCUUUUCUUCUUCUUUCCUUUGGUGUUUUUCCCUUGUGGCGCCAUGGCCCUAUUGGGCUGGCGUCACCAGCCCACUAAGGGCUGGUGCGCCACCCUAGGGUCACUGGGCUCACUCUCGGGUGGGUGGGACCCUCCCGAUGAAUAUCCGGAACCCAUUCGUCACUCUCGGUACACUGCCAGAAAUGCCCGAAACUUUCCGGUGACCAAAUGAAACCAUCCUAUAUAUCAAUCUUCGUUUCCGGACCAUUCCGGAAACCCUCGUGACAUCCGUGAUCUCAUCCGGGACUCCAAAAACAUUCGGUAACCACACAUAUAACUCAACUAUACUAAAACAUCAUCUAACCUUAAGUGUGCAGACCCUGCGGGUUCGAGAACUAUGUAGACAUGANNNNNNNNNNUCAAGAGAGACGGAGAGGUAGAUGAGUUCUCCGGCAGCGUGACGGCGCUCCGGAGGUUGGUGGUGAUCUAAUCUCAGCACGGCUCCGCCCGAGCUCCGCAGAAACGCGAUCUAGAGGAAAAACCGUGGAGGUAUGUGGUCGGGCUGCCAUGGCAAAAGUUGUCUCAAAUCAGCCCUAAUAGCUCCAUAUAUAUAGGAGGAGGGGAGGGGAGGCUUGCCUUGAGGCUCAAGCAGCCCCAAGGGCUGUGCCACCAAGGGGAGGAGGAGUCCUCCUCCAAUCCUAGUUGAAGGUGGAGUCCUUCUCUUCCUUCUCCUUUUUUUCUUUUCUCUUUGAUUUUCUAUCUAUGGCGCAUAGGGCCUUCUUGGGCUGUCCCACCAGCCCACCAAGGGCUGGUUCGCCACCCCCAAGGCCUAUGGGCUUCCACGGGGUGGGCUGCUCCACCCGGUGAACAUCCAGAACCCAUUCGUCAUUCCCGGUACAUUCCCGGUAACUCCGAAAACCUUCCGGUAAUCAAAUGAGGUCAUCCUAUAUAUCAAUCUUCAUUUCCGGACCAUUCCGGAAACCCUCGUGACGUCAGUGAUCUCAUCCGGGACUCGGAACAACAUUCGGUAACCAACCAUAUAACUCAAAUACGCAUAAAACAANNNNNNNNNNGACUCCUCGGUCAAUAUCCAAUAGCGGGACCUGGAUGCCCAUAUUGGAUCCUACAUAUUAUACGAAGAUCUUAUCGUUUGAACCCCAGUGCCAAGGAUUCAUAUAAUCCCGUAUGUCAUUCCCUUUUUCCUUCGGUAUGUUAGUUGCCCGAGAUUCGAUCGUUAGUAUCCGCAUACCUAUUUCAACCUCGUUUACCGGCAAGUCUCUUUACUCGUUCCAUAAUACAAGAUCCUGCAACUUACACUAAGUCACAUUGCUUGCAAGGCUUGUGUGUGAUGUUGUAUUACCGAGUGGGCCCUGAGAUACCUCUCCGCACACGGAGUGACAAAUCCCAGUCCCGAUCCAUACUAACUCAACGAACACCUUCCGAGAUACCUGUAGAGCACCUUUAUAGUCACCCAGUUACGUUGCGACGUUUGAUACAAACAAAGCAUUCCACCGGUGUCAGUGAGUUAUAUGAUCUCAUGGUCAUAGGAACAAAUACUUGACACGCAGAAAACAGUAGCAACAAAAUGACACGAUCAACAUGCUACGUCUAUUAGUUUGGGUCUAGUCCAUCACGUGAUUCUCCUAAUGACGUGAUCCAGUUAUCAAGCAACAACACCUUGUUCAUAAUCAGAAGACACUGACUAUCUUUGAUCAACUGGCUAGCCAACUAGAGGCUUCCUAGGGACAGUGUUUUGUCUAUGUAUCCACACAUGUAAAUGAGUCUUCAUUCAAUACAAUUAUAGCAUGGACAAUAAACGAUUAUCUUGAUACAAGAAUUAUAAUAAUAACUAUAUUUAUUAUUGCCUCUAGGGCAUAAUUCCAACACAUUCAUGUUUACCUUCAUGACAUCAUCUUUAUGAAGAGAGAAGAUAAGAUACAAGGUUGAUCAAGACUAAGUCAAAGACUGAAUCAAGUCGAUCAACACAUAAAGCGUAUAAGAUGUACCGAGAGGGAUCAAGUGAUCCCAUGGUAUGAUAAGCAUUGUCCAUUAUGCUUUGUGUACUAACCCAUGGUCUACGUGAGAGUUCUGUGUGGGGUUAGACAUGUUUCCAUGGGCUUACGUCAAGAGGAAGAUCUCAUAUGACCAAUGGAGGAUGAUAUCAAGUGGUGGUCGUCAUCAAGGAUCGCGGUGUGCAAGUUCAAGUGGAGCAUCACGAAGAGAUCAUUCUUGAAGCUUGAUGUACAUUAUGGUGACAAUGGACUUGUGAGAUGUGUCGAAGAGUGGCUCACCCACAGUGGAGUAUGUGGGAGUAAUCUACUAGCCUUCAUCGAGCUAGUACAAUCAAGAAAGGUGGUCCAUCUUAAGAAGGACAACAUCGUCAUCAUCUAGCUCAAGUGGACUAUAAGCAAGGCAAAGGUUUUCCCUUGAUAGGUAUUAUAUUUUACGGUCUCAUGGUGUUAGUUGGGAGACUGGGUUAUAGGAUCGAUUGUCGUACUAUUAAGGGGGGGGCUCUCAAGUGAGUAGCUUGAUCUUGUCGUUCUUUGAGAGCUCAAACCAUUGCAUUCUUGGUAUCAUCAUCGUUCUUGCUUCUUGGCUGGGUUUUAUUUAUGUGGGUUCUUGAUCUUAUGGUCAUCUUCAUGACAAGCUGCAUCUUUUAUGAUGUUUCUAAUGUUGGAUUUUUGCCGGUUCUUCAUUCAUAGAGGUUUCACGUAUCUAUAUCAUUUGCAGUUUGAAUACUACUUGUCGUCUGCUAUCCAACAAGCUUUAGUUUCCUCAAUUCGGAGCUCGUAUGCGAAAGUUAUGGCACCUUUAGUGCCAGGGUAGUAUUUCUCCAUUCAGGCGGUAGUACCACUUAGGAGGUACUUCCGUUGUAUAAUACCACUGCUACUUCCGCUUAUAUUUUGCUCUUGUUCAGUGCAUUCCUUCGAGCGGUAGUAAAAUGGCAGUGAUGGUGGUAGUACCGCCCUUCUUUUCUAUACUACCGUGGUUUUAUCUGCACUUGCAACAACUAGCGGUAGUAUCGCUGGUGGGAGUGGUAAUACCACUCCGGCAGCACUACCGCCUCCUGGAGUCUCUUUGUUGCACGCUGUGGAUUGAAACUCCCGUGCCAGCAGAAGUACUGCUCACUUGAGCGGUACUACUGCUUAUGCACGGGUGCUACGGCAACAAAAUACCUUCCCUGGCAACGGCGCCAGGAAUCCUUCUGCUACGGGCUACGCCUAUAGGGACUUCCUUGGCAAAUAUGCAAAGGAUUCCCCCGCGGCCUUGGAGCCUUGCAUUGGUGUUCCCUUGAAGCGUAAAGGGUGAUGUAGCACAACGGCGGUAAGUAUUUCCCUCAGUUUGAGAACCAAGGUAUCAAUCUAGUAGGAGGAUCGCGUCAAGUCACAAGUACCUGUACAAACACAAAGAGCUUGCACCCAACGCUAUGAAGGGGUUGUCAAUCCCUUAUAGAUUAUUUACAAAGUGAGAUCUGAAAGAAAAAAGUAAACAAAGCAAAGUAAAACUAAAAGUGGAGAUGAUAGUGUUGGAAAUAUGCCCUAGAGGCAAUAAUAAAUUAGUUAUUAUUAUAUUUCUUUGUUCAUGAUAAUCGUUUAUUAUCCAUGUUAUAAUUGUAUUGAUUGGAAACACAGUGCAUGUGUGGAUACAUAGACAAAACACUGUCCCUAGUAAGCCUCUAGUUGACUAGCUCUUUGAUCAAAGAUGGUCAAGGUUUCCUGACCAUAGGCAAGUGUUGUCACUUGAUAACGGGAUCACAUCAUUAGGAGAAUCAUGUGAUGGACUAGACCCAAACUAAUAGACGUAGCAUGUUGAUCGUGUCANNNNNNNNNNCACUCCUCGGUCAAUAUCAAAUAGCGGGACCUGGAUGCCCAUAUUGGAUCCUACAUAUUCUUCGAAGAUCUUAUCGGUUGAAGCUCAGUGCCAAGGAUUCAUAUAACCCCGUAUGUCAUUCCCUUUGUCCUUCGGUAUGUUACUUGCCCGAGAUUCGAUCGUCGGUAUCCGCAUACCUAUUUCAAUCUCGUUUACCGGCAAGUAUCUUUACUCGUUCCGUAAUACAAGAUCCCGCAACUUACACUAAGUCACAUUGCUUGCAAGGCUUGUGUGUGAUGUUGNNNNNNNNNNCUCAUUACCGGCAAGUCUCUUUACUCAUUCCGUAAUACAAGAUCCCGUGGCUUACACUUAGUCACAUUGCUUGCAAGGCUUGUUUGUGAUGUUGCAUUACCGAGUGGGCCCCGAGAUACCUCUCCGUCACACGGAGUGACAAAUCCCAGUCUUGAUCCAUACUAACUCAACGGACACCUUCGGAGAUACCUGUAGAGCACCUUUAUAGUCACCCAGUUACGUUGCGAUGUUUGAUACACACAAGGUAUUCCUCCGGUGCCAGUGAGUUAUAUGAUCUCAUGGUCAUAGAAAUAAAUACUUGACACGCAGAAAACAAUAAUGACAAAAUGACACGAUCACAUGCUACGUUCAUAGUUUGGGUCUAGUCCAUCAUAUGAUUCUCCAAAUGAUGCGAUCCAGUUAUCAAGUGACAACACUUGCAUAUAGUCAGAAAACCUUGACUAUCCUUGAUCAACUGGCUAGCCAACUAGAGGCUUGCUAGGGACAUUGUUUUGUCUAUGUAUCCACAUGUAUCUAUGUUUUCAUUUAAUACAAUUAUAGCAUGGAUAAUAAACGAUUAUCUUGAAACAUGAAAUAUAAUAAUAAUUAUUUUAUCAUUGUCUCUAGGGCAUAACACAUAAUUUACCGUGUCGACGAGAUUAUGCAUCACCAUGGUGGUGCAUGUGCGACUAUGUCACGUACGUGUGCAACUCCGCAAUCAUGUGUGAACUACUAGACGACGAGAUUAUGUAACUCCAUGGUCAUGCGUGUGCGACUAUGCCGACGAAAGUAUUUAAAUCCAUGGUCACACGUGUACGACUAUGCAGACAAGAAUGUGCAACUCCUAUGCCCACGAUAUGUGCAACUCCAUGGUUGUGCAAGAACUUUGCAUGCUCAUGUCGCGCCAACAAAGCAUAUGUGUGUGCAACUAGACUAGACAUCAACACAUGUGCAACUAGACUUAAUUGCAGGCCAUCUAGCAUAUGCAUGUCCAACUAGUCCUAUCAACUAAACAUCAAUGUGUGUUUGCAACUAGACUACAUUGUCACGCCAACUGAGCAUAUGUGUGUGCGGCUAGUCCUUCCAACUAAACAUCAAUGUGUGUGCAACUAAACUACAUUGCAGGCGAAUUGAGCAUAUGUAUGUGCAACUAGUCCUGCCAACUAAGUAUCAAUGUGUGUGCAACUAGACUACAUUGUCGUGCCAAUUGAGCAUAUGUGUGUACAACUAGUCUUGCCAACUAAGCAUCAACAUGUGUGUAACUAGACUGUAUUGCAUGCUAACUCAAUAUAUGCAUGUGCAACUAGUCCUGCAAACUAAACAUUAAUGUAUGUGCAACUCGUCCUGCUAACUAAGGAUCACCGUGUAUGCAAGUGGACUACAUUGCAGGCCAACUCAACAUAUGCAUGUGACAACUAGUCCUGCGAACUAAACAUCAUUGUGUGUGCAACUAGAUUAUAUUGCAUCUGAACAUAUGCAUGUGCAACUAAACAUCAAUGUGUGUGCAACUAGACUACAUUAUAGACCAACUGAGCAUAUGUGUGUGUGCAACUAGUCGUCCUGCCAACUAAAUAUCAAUGUGUGUGUAACUGGACUACAUUGCAAGCUAAUUGAGCAUAUGGGUGUGCGCAAAAAACACCCGAGAGUGCAUGAGCAUGCUUUUAUGCACGUAGCCAGCUUUCCUGCCGUUCUUGUGCAACUACAUAAUCUAACUAGCCGGCGUCGCCUGUUUGCUGCUCUACGUCGAUGACAUUAUUCUUGCUGCAUCAUCGACGACUCUCCUGCAUCAACUCUAACGCCGACUGUCCAUCGAGUUCUUCAUGAAAGACCUCAAACCGCUGCACUACUUCCUCGGCAUUGUUGUGACGUGCACGCCUGAUGACUUCUUCUUCUUCCAGCGCUUGUACGUCGAAGACCUUCUCGAGCGCGCCAACAUGCAGACCUGCCUCGACUCCGAUGGACACACGCCCCAAACUGUCUGCCAACGAUGGGGCGUCCGUUCAUGACGCAUCCGAGUACCGGAGCAUCGUCGGAGCUCUCCAGUACAUGACAAUGACAUGGCCAGACAUUGCCUACGCGGUGCAGCAAUGCUGCCUCGUCAUGCAUGAUCCUCGCACUCCGUAUCUCACACUGACAAAGAGGAUGCUCUGAUAUCUGCGCGGCACCACCACCCAUGGACUGCACAUGUGUCGUGUUGCCUCGCUUGAUCUCGUUGCCUACUCCGACGCUGACUGGACAUGCUAUCUGGAUACACGAUGAUCUAUAUCCGGAUACGUACGUGGUGUACCUCGGUGAAGCCCUGGUUUCCUGGUCCUCCAAACGCCAGGCAACUGUGUCCCGCUCAAGCGUAGAAGCGGAAUAUCGAGCCGUCGCCAACACCGUCGCUGAAAGCUAUUGGAUUCGACAACUCCUCAUCGAGCUCGUGACACCGCUCCGCAAGGCCAGCAAGGUGUUCUGCGAAAACAUCUCCUCUGUCUACAAGGCUGCCAAUCCCGUACAUCAUCGACAAACCAAACACAUCGAGUUGAACAUCCAGUUCGCCAGGAAGAAGGUUGCUCUCAGUGAGCUGCCCACAAGUCAACAAUUCGCUGAUGUGCUCACCAAGGGACUUCCAACGCCGAUGUUUGAGGAAUUCCGGUCCAGCUUGUGCAUCCAUCCACCCGACGUUCAAACUACGGCGGGGUGUAAACAGCUAACUAGUCUACCAAUAAUGCUAGACAUACAAAAACUUAUAAAGGUUUACUUAACCUUCCAAACUAACUCUUCUCUCCCCCCUGAUUUUCAGUGGGGGUGGGGCCCCUCAUCCCUCAGUUACCAAUCACAAUCUUACACAUCAGUUUGUACGUAAAAUCUUUACGUAAGCCUUUGUAGGUGUAACAUUUCUCUCUCCCUACGUGUACGUAAGCCUACUCUCUCUCCCUACGUGUUCAAUUACCAAUUACCAAUUACCAAUCACAAUCUUACACAUCAAUUACCAAUCACAAUCUUACACUUGUACGCUACCCUCUCUCCCUACGUGUUCACACCAUGCAUGCACGAUCCCACGAUGCAUGCACGUCGCUACCUCCCCGGCACUCCGCGCCCUGUUGUUAACCUGCUAUAUAUACAUCAAACAUAUUAACCUACGCUGAAAGGGCGAGCGCUGGUGAUGUCCACGUGUUCUUUUUACUGUGCAAGGGAAAAGGUAAGCUUCGCUAGAUCAGAUAACUCCUCCCCCAGAUAAGAUAGAACACGCAUUGGCCGGAGCAACGCUAGGUUCUCCUCUUCCUCACGCGUUCUCCACUUUCCACGCCUCCUCUCUCUCGUUUCAUCUCCCGCGAGACCUGCCACCGCCGCCUCCAACGGGAGAGGCAUGACUCCGCCGGAUCGGCUGGCAGCGCGGUGUGGGGGAUGAGCAAGAUGGAGAGACGACGGGUGUAGGACUGUAGGGAGGGUUGCUGGAGAAGGUGGGAAGCAGGAGGUGCCGCCGAGCUGGGAGUUGGACCUGGAGGACGUGGCGGGCUUCCGGCGUCGCCGCCGGCGGCGGCAACGACGCGGUGUGCUGUAGAACAACGAUUACAUCAGCUACGGCGCAUUGCGGAGGGACAACGUGCCUCUGCUUCGUGCAUGGCACCUCCUACUACAACUGCUGCCCUGGCGGCCAGGCCAACCCCUACAACCACGGCUGCUCCGCCAUGACGCGCUGUCGUGGAUGCUCCGCCAUCGCGCGCUGCCGCGGCUGAUAAGCCUCCUCCUCCCAUCUGCGCCCGUCCCGGAUGGUUGAUUGAGAUAUUGCUCCGUAUCCUUGGCUCGCUCCGCUGCAGAGAGUACGUUUCUUUCAAGCUGUUGUUUUAGUAUCCAAUUCCAAGAGGUCGUAUCUGUUGAUGUAGUUCGAAAUCUGAGUCGUGCUGUAUAAACUGAUGGAUUGAUGGGUGGGUUAUUGAUUUAUUUCCUGUGGUUGUGAAUCUAUGAUGCUCUGCUUGUUGAUUUGGGAGGGGAUCCACCGAGUGCCCUGAUUAUCUUUCUCUGCUCAUUUUUGGUGCUCCACUAAGUCUAAGUGUCCGAUAAUUAGGCCAACUUCUCUCACGAUUCUUUGUUUUCCUUGCAAAUUUCGAUUAUGCCAUCCACGAUAAGCCAAGGUGUACAUCCACAAAUUUCGAUUAUGCCAUCCAUGAUUAGCCAAGGUGAUCAUGGGUUACGUUGUUGCAUAUCUCAAGAGUAUAAAUUAAUUAGCAGCAAUAUCCCUUUCUGAACUGAUCGCAUCCACAAAGCAUGAGACUAUUAGCAAUGAGGUAAUGUUGCUUAACUAAAUUGUUCGGUUUGUGUUAAAGCCUGUUGCAAACAUGAUAUCUAGGCUAUACACAGUCUCCUCCUUUUGAUUGUGCUGCUCUGCUGCACUGAUUAUUAUGGCCACAACUUGAGUUUUGACAGUUUAUUUUGUUGAGUGGACCAACUUGCGUACUUCUGGAUCACGAAUUUGUGCCCUCAGACGAUGAAAGCCAUGGGCCAACAACCUCCAUUUGAGGUGUUAAGCCUUGCCAGCUCAAUUGCUGGUGUCCUUUGGAUAUGAAUGUGGAGUAUGAAAUGGGUUGCUCCCAUACGUAAAUCUUUCAUUUCAAACUCCAGCAGAACAAAUAAUGUGCAGCAAUUUAUCUAAUUAGGCCGAGUCUGAAGCUUCCACGAGCAGCUCAUGGUUUGAUAAUAAAACAAGGCAUUAGAUAUUCAUCUGUGCGCUUCUCUGUAUUCGCUUCCUGAGCAAGGAUUGAACAUCAUUCAAGUGAACUGUUGCUUUCCUGCUUAUAUCAUAUACAUUUAAUGUUUCUUCGGUUUAGUGCAGCUUGCAAUUUUGAUGAGAUUUGUUACUUCAGUUAGAAAACUUCAGUUUAGGUCUGCACCACGAUUCCUCAAACGUAAGGAAAUCAUUUGCUUGCCAGGUUUUGUACAGCUUGCCAUUUUUUUAGAUUUGUUAGUCAGUUAGAAAACUUAAGUUGGGUCUGCACCACAAUUUCUCAUAAUUCAAUGAAGGUUUGACAUUGUUUUAUCCUUUUAGUUGCUUCAUGUGUAGUGAGUUCCAAGAUAUAUUUGAUGUGGAUUGCUCCAUAGCAUCACUGAGAGGAGAUUUGAAAGCGGAAAGAUUUGACUCCAUUCUGCCUGUCACUUGGUACUACCAUAAUGAGCUUUGCUUGCAUUUCUGAAUUAUAUGCACCCUGAUAAGGAUUCUCGGUGUUUAUUUUGGAGAAAAUAGAUUCAGAAGAUAUCAAUCAGAUAACGAAUUGUCUUUCCAUGUACAUACUAUUGUCGAAUGGAAUUCUUUUGUACGCCCAGUAUAUACUAUUUUUGGGUUUCUUACUCACUGUCUAUAAACCACUCGGAAUUGUGGAGUAACUAUAAGUGAACAAAUGGUCAUUUUAAAAACUGCUGCAUACCGGGAUGUCAAGAUCAUACUUGUCCCUCGUAUACUGAAUUUAGAAAUCAAAAUGUAAAAUAAAAGGAAAUUAAUGCUAUUGACCUCAGUUAGAACAUGUUUCUGAUGAUUGGAAGAAUCUGAGCUAGCUUUCACUAAUGAAAGCUCUUCCUCUUUGGGUCUGACAGGAGGAGCACGGGUGCCCAGGACAACAACAACGAUGUGCCAAAGGAGACAUCAUGGAUUCGUUGUCCGCUUUUGUUGCUGCUCGUGUUAACUCUGCUUCACCCCGGCCUUGAACCACCCCAACUUAUAUACACAAUGCUUUAUUUGUUUUCUUUUAUAAUAUCUAAUAGAUCCACGCAUAUGAUGAAAAUAUAUAGAUUGUGCUCCUUGCAUUUUCUAAUUUGGUUCAAUGGAAUAAGAUGAACACCCACGACUCAGCCUGGGUUCGUAAGGUGUGUGUUCCUCUUCAAUACUUGAAGAGAAGAUUUGAGAAAAGCAUGAAGAAUGUCGUUUAUCUGUACUCUCAGCAUGUUAAAAGCUACAUCAACUUGAUUAGUACGCACAAUUACACCUCAAGAGAGAAUUCGAUUAAAGGUAUACUUUGAUCUCUUUCUUGUUUGGAUAUCACAAAAUACAAGUAUAUGGUUUAAUAAAGUACAAAGCAUGAGUUAUGGGACUUCAAUUCCGUCAUAUUAGUUUCAGCAUCUGCAUCUGAUACUAUAGCUACACAAAGGAUGUCAUGAGAAUUCAGCUGGCACUAUAUUCUUCGUGCAGGAGAUGAUGAAGAGAGUUGGGCACGUGAUCUAACUCCUACAUUAUUUUGGAACCAUUCAUAUGAUCUGCUUGAUGGUGGACCAGAUCUUUGUAAUCAGUUAGUUGCAGAUAUUGUUGAAAAGGACAGGGUAAGGGAUGAAUAGUCUCAUAAUUUACUAUGUGAAAAAGGAUAAGACUAGGAUGUGCAGAAGAUAUACCUAAUAUAUCGCUCUUUUACUGGUUAAAUAGACCUUUAUUUAAGCUUUGGAGGUAACAUUUGUGUUCAUGCAUAGUGCCACACUCACGCAUUUUAUGUUUUUGCACAUGAAUUAUACCUUCAAACAAUGAAAGAAACAUUGCAGUCCUUCAUUUCAAAUAUUGCUGAGCGCUGAGACAUUUAAUUCUUCUAUUUGAAGUGUAUGAUAAAAAUCUUCUAAAGAAGUUACAUGAUUUACACUUUAUACUCACACUCUUAAUAUUCUUUGCAGGUGGAAAUGAGAUGGAGUCAGACUCUCUUCCAUCUCUAAAACGAUAUCUGACACUUCUUAUGUCGAUAAAUUUCCUGGUAAUGUGAUUCUCAGUUUGGCAAGUCACAUGUGAUCUGUGUAUCUCAUGUCUUGACACUUCUUAUGUCGAUGGAUUUCUUGGUUAUGUGAUUCUUCCCAGCACCAAGUUGCUCAUGUCAGUGCUUCUAUUUUUUGCAUGUGCGUCUGUAUCGGGUUUUUGUUGAUGUAUCAUCUGUUUACAUGUCUUCUCACUAUGCUAAAUCUAUUAUUACAUAGACACGUUAACAAAUAUGACAACUAGAUUGGUGCGUACAAUCCCGCCUCAGGAGGCGCCACAGGGUGGCGCCCCAACCACUAGUGAGUAUACAUACAACGGAGAGCACCCAAGAUGCAUUCUCCCUCUUCCUCCAUUAAUCGACAUUGAAGAAGAGGUGCGAAGCAAGAUGUCCGGUGAGAGGAGCGACAAACGUUGGGUGGUGGACGGCCAAGCCGAACAGCGGUGGCAUGCCUGGCUCGUGGCCACGGCCAUGGCGUGGUGGUGUGAGACUGCGUUUGUGUGCGCGCAUGAAGGGAGCCGCAGGAGGUAGUAGCUAGCUAGAAGAUGAAUGUGGGAGAAGCAUGGCACGGGGGACGACGGCCCGCUCCGGCGGUCGCCGGACGCGACCGAAGUGGUGGACACGCGCAUCCGCCCCGACUUGGUGCUUUGUCGGUAGCGCGGUGUGAAGCAACCAGGCAGGGUAGAGCGACGCGAGCAGCGUGGAUCGAACCAGGAGAACGCGUGGAGCUGGUUCCCAGCUGGCCGCUCGGUGUCGCCAAAAAUGCACGACCACUUUUUUGGAUUUUAGGAACUUAGUUUUGUUCAAUUAUUAUUAUUAUCUCCCACUGCCAGCCACGAAUGAAAUUCCAUCCAUUUUCUCCCCUGUUUUGUUACUCUUUGAGUAAAGUCACGUCUUCAUUUUUCUAAGCGCUACAUCUCACAAGCCCGACGCCUGGGUCACCUCCUGCUAGGGCGAGUCAGGCGGAGAUCCACCCCGUCCUCCCCUCCGUCGCCGCUGGAUGAAGCCGUUGGGCGAAGCCCUGGCCGGCCAAUGGCGGCGGAGGAGGAUCACUUUCCUCCUGCGUCCGGAUUUGAUGAGCUCGCCUCCCAUCAGCGUCGGGGCGCCUCGCCCUGAUCUGUGGUGCAGCGGCUCGCCUCCCGCGAUGGCUCAAGGCGGCGGCGACGUGGUGAGCAGAGGCGACGAAGCUGCAAGGUGACGUGGAAGAUCGGGUGGUGCAGGCUGCUAGGCACAUCCGCGAGGUCACGGCGGCCAUGGUGGCUGUGGUCGGCGGCUCGGUAGCGGUGGAACGUGGCCGGCGGCGGCGGCUACGUUCGGCCUGGAUCCCUGGGCGGCGGCCUUGGACGGUGGCGGCAGGUGGAGCUCGGGUUGUCCGCGGCGGCAUGGCGUGGUGCAGUUCCCGUCCAAGGCGGAUCUGCACCGGCAAUCUUGUGGUCUUUUACUACAGAUUCGUUCGGAUCAGAAACGGUGACGAGCGCAUGGGAUCCAUCUCUGCGGCUCUCGCAGUUUGGCGAGGUCGGUGGGAGCCCUUCUUCCAGGCUCCAGUGGUGGCACACUCAGGCAGUGGCCGUGUGCCAGGGCUCCUACGGUGGCAUUGCUGUCGUGGAUGGUCGCCGGAUUUAUGCGACUAAAUCUGGGGCUUUGAAGGUGGUCGAGACGAUGCAUAGGUUUUCGAAUGCAUUUUUUUGGGACGGAUCCGGGUGAAAACCUUGUCUCCGGCCAGUGGCCGGAGCCGGUGAUGCCCUUAUCGCUGUUUCCUUCAUGAAGGCAUCAUCGAGGUGAAGCUCCCAACUCCAUCCAAUACCUUCGGGGGAAACCCUAGAUCAGCAGAUCGGAUGACGGCGGCACUCUUGUGUCGUCCCCCCCCCCCCCCCCCCCCCCCCCNNNNNNNNNNNNNNNNNNNNNNNNNNNNNNNNNNNNNNNNNNNNNNNNNNNNNNNNNNNNNNNNNNNNNNNNNNNNNNNNNNNNNNNNNNNNNNNNNNNNNNNNNNNNNNNNUCGAGGGACAAGUGGACGACAUCUUUGUCCCUAUUCGUGGCGGUGGGUCUUGGCGGCGUGGAGUAGUGGAGGCUCGGCGUCCGAUGUGUGGCGAUGGACUCGCGCAGGAAGAAGACGCUGUCUGGCGUCGUGGUGACAUCGAUGGCAGAGAGGCCUGGCAAGGUAGAUCCGUCAGUUACUGCUUUGAGGAUAGAUCAAUGGAAGACGGAGGUGACGGUCCUUACAGCGUGUACGUUGAUGCCUACUGGGGGUGCGUCGGACCGGCGUGUCAUCCAAUCCCAACAGUGUGGCUGGGAUGGGGCAUCCGGCUUUAGAUGUUAGGGUUUGGUGCGAUGUCUGUUUGGUAUAUGGUCCGGACAUUCGGCACCCCUUCAUCAAUGGGAUAGGUGUAGCGACAUGUGUUGUCAACAUGGUGGCUUCACGCGUACUGAGGUAUUACUUGUAAAGAUCUUGAUGAAUAAUAAAUAAAAUGACAUCGUCAGGCCCCGGAGUGCAUCCUCCUUUUUUUUUAAAAAAAGGUCUUCAUUUUUCUGUCCAGAUUCCAUGCACCCACGGUUUUCUUUGUCGGAGCUGACUGGGCCAAUAUCCGACAUCAAGUUGCCACCUUGCUGGCAUUCCAAACCAGCUUACCUAAACGAAAAAGUAUGGUCUUUGGGACAGAGAGAAGAUAUCUGAUUGUUUAGCACAUGCAAGGUGAUAAGAACAUUCGUAGCACAAAACAGGGAAGCUUGGGCGUGCCGAUUGUGAUGUUUACCAGAAUUUCUUCAUGUGUGCAGUGCAGUAUAUGGAUGCAGAAACCUUAGGUUGCGUGAGUUUGUGUCCCCUGUCCACUUUGAUCAGGUAAAUACAGUAUCCUGCUCCCUAGUGGUUCUUUGGUCCGAUCACUGCAACGCGUCUGCGAUGAGACUUCAGCAAUGCCCGCUCUCUCUAGACGACGCCGAAUCAAUCACAUCGACGCCACCCGUCUGUUACAGUUCAUUUAGCAAGGCAUUGUCCAUUGGCGUGCAGGUGAUCAACUGGCCAUGGCCUCGUCUCAUCAGAUCUUAAUUUGGUGGCGACUAAGGAACGAAUUUGGAAAAUUUUGAAUUGUGUUCUUGUGAAACUGCGUGGUUUUCUCCUGUAAUAGGUGCUUCUCUGCGACGAUGCACAGGUGGGGCUUCUUCGACAGUUUAUCCUUUUGCUGGACCGACGCCGAGGGGAACUACUCCGCGACGCUUGAAGUGAUGGCCGUGUCAACUGAAGUUUGGGAUGAUUUCCGUAGCUUUACCUCUAGCUUCUGAUGGUUGUUGUAAUAGAAUUUAUUGUGGCGUUUCAGACUUUUUCCUUGUUUUUACGGUUAGGGGCAGUUUGUUAGAUGCUUGCUUUGGUGUUGGUAUGCUGAACCUUGUCUGUUCGUUGCUUCAUUAAUAAAAGUGGAGCAGGGGAGACCCCCUUCAUUAAAAAAACAUUUGUUAAUCUUUUUUGUAGUUUUCUAAAACGCUGACCUCUUUUCCGAAGCGACGGGAUGCUGACCUCGAUUUUGAAAUUGUUAGGUAACUUGUCAGCCUGGUUCUGGUGUAGUUCAACCAAGGGUACACACUUGAGGCCUCCACACGCACGCACGUUUCCCUGAUUCCUUGCUGUAAACAUCAGACGAAAUUGUGCCGGUCACCCCGGUUUCAGGCUUAUCAUCAAUGUCUCGUUCCUACUUGACGCUCAUUAUCCAUAUGUUGUUUGCAGCUCAAGCUAUCCUCCAGUAUGCAUCCACUCUGGUCUGGUCAAAGUCGACGGGCGAGCGGGUGGAGAGGCAGGGGGGAAGGCUCCGGCGACCGGCGCCCCACGUUUCCGGCGAUGCGUGGCGCCGAAGCGAAGCUCGCUCGGUCGUGUGAUGGGGAUCUGUAGCUAAUGGUUGCCCGCCCGCGCGUCGGCUGGGGCUGCAUCUGGCAUUCUGGCUGCUGGUGGUUGAGGCUAGCAGCUAUCAUCCAUGAUCCAUCACUCUGUGUCUGUUUUAAAGCCGUUUGGUUGUGUGCAUACUGCAUACACCUUGACUAGACAUGCGCUGAAAAAAAUUGGCCCGAUUAAUUGACUGGGUCAUAUACAAAUGUUGGUCUGCACGAAACUUAAAGCAUUCCUAGUCAGGUCCACUAGAAACGGUCGAAUUGACAGUUUAUCGAAAAAGGAUUUUCUCCGUUUUGUAUUUCAAAGCAACCAACAUGUACCGAUAAACGGUCGAAUUGGUAGUUUCUAGCAACUCAGGCUUGGACGAGCCAACUCGAGCGCACAUGAGUGAGCCUGGUUGCACCAGGGGAUGUGAAUAGUUUACACCUACGUUGCUUCUUCUUCCAUCUCUAAUAACCUUCUUCUCUAAUCCCGUUUCUUCCAUCCCUUCUAAUCUAUACAACGAUGCUUCGAUUCGAGAUAAGCUUUACACAAAAAAUAUGCACAUCGAUGUUUGGUUCCAUUUCAGUGAUUAGUUCGUAGUUUCGUUGAUCGUAAAUGUUCAAUUUCAUGUUCCUGUUUGUAUCUAUUUUGGACAAUGUUCUCAAAUCCGUCGAAGGGCGUCGUCACCAUCGAGGCAUGCAACCUGCCGCGCGUGCAUCACCUCUUCUACGUACUCGGCAAGCUUGCGGCCUUCUUCGGCGACACCAACCAUAGGCUGGCCACAUACAUCAAGGCUGGAGUUGUUGUGGCGGUUAUCGGAGUCCACACACACGUUCAAGGGAGGGACGAGAAGGACAAACGACUCCUUGAGGUUGAGGUGGGGACUGCCGUCGUGCUGGCCGCAACCAGGUAGACCAUGAGGCGGGAGGGAUGGUGCUCCCUAAGUCCUCGGGGCUGUUGUUGACACCAUUGCCGUGUUUGAGACCAGCUGCCUCAACGUCUUCCAGUGAGCCCGAGCCCCUGACUCUGGUCUUCCUCCAUGCAGUCCUGGCGGGCAACAGAACAAAGCUUGGUGUUCAACCUAUUUCCUGGAUCAACUUGAUUCGAUCAAAGCCUUAAGGUCAGGUAAAGGAGAAUGGGAUUUGUGUUCCUAACAUGGUCGUGGUCGCUGCUAACGCCUUCGUGCCGGAGCGCGGCGACAAGGAGGCCAUCGGGAUCGCCACGGUCUUGGGGUCCUUGCAACCGCAACCAAGCGCGAACCCAAUGCCGCCGAACCGCUUCAGCGCCACCACCAUUCAACGCAAUCACCAUGGCACUGUUCUAUGUGUUAUGAGUAGUUAUUAAUUCUUAAUCAUAUUUUAUGUAGCCAACCAAACAACAUGCACUAAUAUGAGCACAAUCAAUGCAAGCAAUAAAAUAUAGUACAUAGAGGAGUUGCUACGAUGCAGAAAGAGAGGAUGCAGGCAAUCCAUCAACAUGUAUAUAUUCGAUUUUGUUUGCAUAUGUUCAACCAGACCAAAAUGAGACAACCAUACAAAUGAAAAAAAAACGAUACAAGUAACCAACACAACUUUUAUGGCUUCGCGUGUACCAGUUUACAGAACCAUUCAACUGCAAGCAUCGCAUAUGUGACAAAACGAGCAACUAAGAGCAUCUACAGUCGGACCCCUCAAACCAUCCUCAAACGCCGGGCAGGCCGCCCGGUCAUGAAAAUGCGACCCAGACGGACCUCUCAAACCGACCUCAAACGCCCGGGCUGACCCGCACCCCCCCAUUUCCAGCCCAAAUAUGGGGCGUAUAUUGGGGGAAUCCGGUCGCGUCCGGGCGCGGCCGCCACAUCGGCCUGAUGGCUUGGCCCCACGCAGACUCGUGGGAAACCCGAUGGUCUGACGGGUGCCUCGGCUGUCGACGCGGUGUGAACGCCGUGUGGCACCGCUCCAGCUCCCCACACGAGGUCGGGGCCGACUAUUUAAGCCGGCCGGCGUCCCCAGCCCUAGCUCAUCCGCCUCCUCCCUCUCUCCGCCGCCACCCAAGCUGCUUCUCAUCUCGCAUUUCCCUCUCCGUCGGGAUGGUCCGGUGGCUCAUCACCACCUACACGCAGCUCACUCCAGAGCGGCGCAUGCAAAUCGAGGCGAAGAUCCAGGCUCGCCGCGCCGCCCGCGUCAUUGUGGGUCUCCCUCCGGACUCGUCGGAGACGGAGAAGGAUGAGGAGAGGGAGGAGGAGGAGGACGAGGAUGAGCAGCAGCAGGAUGAGGAGCAGUCGGAGGCCAUGGAGGAGGGCGACCCGGAGGAGAAGGCUCUCGGCUUGAGCAUGGUGGAGGCGGAGACGGAGUUCGCCAUCGCCCAAUCGAAGGAGAUGGCGGAGCAGCGCACCAUCCUGGAUUCCAUUCGGAAUGAGGCCGAGGUGGAGUCCAACAGCCGACUCAUCCGAUAGAGGCAGACGGAGGCCGACGCCCUCUUCAAUGAGCUAGAGCUGGAGAUCGAGGCAGAGGAGGCCGUAUGAGAGCAGCUGGAGGCGCCGGAGGGGGCGGAGCUGUGGCAGGCUGCAAUUUAUCCGCUAGAGUACAUGCAAAUCAUGGACAUCUAUGACGAAGAGUAGAUAUGUUAUAUGUAGUACGUAUGUUUUAUAUUUUUUUUGGAAAAGGAGGUUCGAACCCCCGGCCUCUGCAUCAAUCGAUGCAUACGACCAUCUUUAUUAAUUAUUCAACAUAGGUCUAACAAGAACAUACAUCAAACCAUCUGAAGCCACUACUCACACCUACGAAACUCUAUAAUGUGGAGUGCUCACACUCUCCAUAUCUAAAACCGGUGCCGUCACCGAUCCAUCCACAUAACGUACCGGAACCCACACCCGGCGCAUCACACCUAAAGCGUACACCACAUGCACACGUUUUAGACGCUGCCAUCAUCAUCAGGCCACUGACCCAUCUUCAGGAGAGAGAUCUGUAUCAUCCUUGCCAGUCCGUCCAUCCGUCGACGUCACCACAGCUCGUCAGUCCAUAUGCGAAGAUUCUGAAAGAUCUAUCGUGCGUAGGACCUGCCGACCAGGCAUGACACAACGUAGCACCUGUCGGCCAGGCAUGACUUGACAUCCGAAAGCUCCGUGCAAGAUGAUCGACGCCACCACGGCGCCAAAUAGCGCCACCGCCCAGCGCUCAUUCGUCCAGACAUGAAGAUUCUGGAAAAACUAUCGUGCGUAGCACCUACCAGCCAGGCAUGACUCAGCAUAGUACCUGUCGGCCAGGCAUGACUUGACAGUUCCACCAUAUCUUCGGGCCAUACGAAGCCGCUCCAUCUCCUGCCUCUGUCAUCCAACGUUGCUCCACAAACGAUGCUCCCAAGAGAGAAACGGCACCGCAGUACCGCCAUCGUUCGAUCUGGAAAGUCAGAUCUCAGGGUUUCCCCCGAAGCAGUGCCCACCACCAGCAACCGUCCAGGACCCACAUAGUGCCCAUCACCACUCAGCCCUCGAGGCGACGCCUUCAGGAAGGUCACGACGUCAAGGACGCCGCCGCCCACUGGAGUUAGGGUUUUCAUCCGAGAGGCAGUGAGGUAGGAAGUGUAGUAACAGACGUAGACCGACGUCUCCAGGAAGAACAACCGCGCCCUUGAGCGUCGUCGUCGGCGCGGCCUCCCAGGGCCGACCAGUGGGUUUCCCCUUAUCUGAAUCUCCUCCACCAGCUUCAUCCGCGGCCAUGCCGGCAACGCCAGAAAACCGCAGGAGAGAAGCACACCGUGGGUAUCUGGAUCAAUGAAGAUCUAAUCUGAAUAGUGGCGAGUACCACCACCCUAUGCUGGCCGACGACGUCCGGGCGCCGGAUCUGACCCGAACUCGACGACGCACGCGACCACCAUGUCUUGCCCCUCCCGCACCCGCCACACCGCGCCGCAAGAAUGAACCCCCAACCCUCGAUGCGCUCCGCACGCCGCCGCUAGGAUCUACAUGUCGCGCCGCCACACCGCGCGCUAGUCCGGCGCCUCGUCACGAACGGCCGUCCCGCGCCAGCCAUGUCGCGUGAAGGGGAGAUGAUCCCCGCCGCCGCCCUGCCAGCCAGGCUUCGUCCGACGGCGCUGGUGGCAGCGGCGAGGAUGAAGGAGGAGCGAGGAAGGAUCGGCGGCUGCGGCUAGGGUUACCCGUGGGUGACGGGAGGGGGCGACGGGAGGAGCAUGUAUGUUUUAUAUAUUACAUGUUUUUGUAUGUAUUUGAUAUUUAUAAUUUAAGAUAUCUGAAUGUAACGCGAAUGCGUCCGGACACAUUCGUGAGUGUUUGAAGGAUUGGAUUUAUAAGGUUGGGGUGUAGAUCCUCUACCCCGGUCGGAACUGACAUGGACGACGCACCACCAGACCAGGUUGUUGGGUUGGGCGGGGAGGAACGCCUCUCCCCGGCUGGGUGGAAUGGCGUUCACGGCAAGCACCAGCAAAGGGACGUUUGGAGGUGAGAAAUGAUUAGAGCGUAUGGGAAAAUGCAUGUUUACCACGCCGGCGUCGACACAUGAUCCAUCUACUGCCUAGAAGCUACCACUGAUAUCUACUCCCUUCCUUCCAUAAUAUAAGUCUUUUUAGAGAUUCUACUAGAAGACUACGUACGGAUAUAUAUGGACAUACUUUAGAGUGUAGAUUCACUCAUUUUGCUCUGUAUGUAGUCCCCUAGUGAAAUCGCUUAAAAGACUUAUAUUUAGGAACGGAGGGAGUAUAUACUACUACCUCGAUCGUGUGGGUGCAACACACUCAUCAUUGCCUGGUUAGAGCAACUUAGCACACACUGUAAAGGUACACUAACUGUAAAUUUCCAACGAGUAUAUGAGUUUGGGGCUCUUUUAAUCAUAUUAGACCCCAUAUAGUCGGGCCGUUCCAUAAUUAUUUUGCAGUGGUCCACAAACCCACCUCCCGCACGGUAUAUAUGCGGCUUCGAAAGGUCGAUGUGGAUCGAAACCCUAUCCCGUCGUCGUCACGAUUCCUCAUUUUUCACCUCUAUUUUUCACCAUUGGUGUCUAAAAUCCCUCGCCGCGCCCACCGAUGUGCGGGAUGUGGAGCUCCAGCCGGCGGAUGCAGACGCCUUCGAGGGCGCCAUUCUCGCACGUAGUUCAUGGGAGGAGGAAGAGGAGCUGCAGCGCUGCCAGCGGGAGGAGGAAAUCAACGCCGUGCUCUACGAGCAGGGCCUUGCGAAGGCCAUCGCGUCCGGCGAGAAGGAGGAGGAGUGGCGCCGCGAGAAGAAAAAGCAGGAGAAGAUCUACGUCGGCCACACCUCCAACGAGGAUUGAGCGCCACCGCUGGACUCCGGUGAGCUCGAUUAGGUCAGCUACCACACCCGAUGAGCUCUGGCGAGCUCGAUUUUGUUUAGUUUUAGGGUAGGGUAGUGUCCGGCGAGCUUUUUAUGUAAAGAUGAUAUGCCAUGUACGGAUGAUCGUUCUCACUAUUGCGUUUAUUUCUCGUGCAAAACUAGUUUUUUAAAUUUUACAGAUUCUGUUUUGCCGUGGAACUUUUGAGCCCGUAUACACCUGCUGCGCGAACUGUAAACCCACGUUUCAAUUCCACGGUUUAGAGUGUCUGCUAGAGUUGCUCUUAAAUUCAUCCAAAAAAAAUUGCAGGUGCAGGACACGCACACGUGGAUCCUUUCCGCAAGCGUAAAUCUGGGUCGUGUUUCAAACAGAUAUUUCUACGAAAAUUGGCUGGAAACUAUAUACAUAUUCUUAACCGUCAAAAUGUGACAUAAUAUACAUAAUUAUGUUGUACAAAUACUUCGGCACACCGUUGUUAUAUGUCUUUAUGUGUUUUAAACUUACCCUAUGAGAAGGCAUUAGCUGUCAUAACAACAUAACAAGUAUGAUAUAAAAUCCAAGAGUACUACAUCAUAAUGGUACACCAUAUCGACCAAGAAUUAAGAAGGUGGACAUGCAUAAUAAAUAAACCAUUACAAUUACAUUGUUGGACCCGCACUUGUUCUUAUUUUAUCUAAUAUUUUUCUUAGUGGCACCGUAUUAGAUCUUUUUUCUGAAGUUACGUUCUACGAAUUUUGGCUUUCAUUCUUUUCCAUCAUAUUUCCCUUUAACUCUUCAGCUUUUAGGUCUGAAACUUCCCAGGAAUAAUUAUGCCAAGUUUUGUGCUUGAAAUUGCACAAAAACUUUGGAGCUUGACCUUCUUAUACUUUGGAGCUUGACCUUCUUAAUAAAUAUGCAUGUAAUCUUCAUGCUUCUAACGUACCCACUUGUCAUCGUUGUCUAGUUGCGAUGGAUACCUAAUACUAUGAAUGGAUCAUCAUUUCUCCUUAUAGACCAGGCUUAUAACAUUAAUGUCAUGGGUGCAACUAAUUUUAUUUAUGGCCUCUUCCAUUCAUAUGAUCCCUCGCAUUACCCACCUCGCGUUAAUUUUUUUGUUUCCCACGCGCAUCUAUUUUUUUCUUGGAUAUGAUGAUAAAUUUUGACCAAAGCAACAAUUGACUCGAAAUUUUGAUGACAUCCCCAAUGUGGACCUUAUAAUAAAUAGAGCAUGACAAUUUAAUACUUAUUUAUAACUUACUUUACCACACUACAAUACUAUCUAGUACUCCAGAUGUAAACAAGUAUAAGACGUUUUAAAGACUCUAAAAUAUCUUAUAUUUGUUUACAAAGGGAGUAUUUUUUUUUGGUUACUUUGCACAAUAAUCAACCUUUGUUUAAUAUUACCAUUAUUUGCAUUAUUAUACCAUUCUAACAUCGAUCACUACAACAUACAGUUGAAUUGUGCUAGAUUCAAAUUGUGCACUAUAACAAACGUUAUUCACGAGACACAUGUGCCUUAAAAAGAUCUUUAAACCAACUUAUUUAAUACUCCCUUCGUAUCAAAAUAAAUGGUAAAUUAAAAUUUGAGUCACUUAUUUUGAGAUAGAGGGAGUAUAUCAUAAUAAUGAUAAAUUAAAAGUUGCAUGACACCACAUGUGAAUUGGUGGCAGUCACAUGAGUGAAUUGUAUAUAUAAUUGUGUGUGCACUAACACAUACUUCAUAUCCUUGGAUAUCUUGGUACAAGUCUUUAAAUGAUAUGAUCUAGUGAUUUCUAGUGUACAUUUAUGUAUAGCUAAAUAGGAAACCGUAAGGGUGUGUGAGGUGGUCAUUAAGAGUUUAUUAUUGAAUUUAUUGGCAUCUUGCUUUAUGCAAAUGUGUAUGUUUGUGCGCACGCUUUUGCUACUUGGUGUUGAAGUAGCAAUGAAUAUAAAAAUGUUGUAGAUUCAGUGGAGCAGUGGUUCAAUGCCCUUUGCAGAUGCACCUCGGUGUGAACAACAAAAUAAUUUAAAAUAGUAGAAAAAUAUAUUUGUUUUUGAAUAUUUUGGCAUCCAAUAUGCUUGAAUGCGUGAUGUGUGUGAUUUUUUUUUGGGAUUUUGGACAUUCGAGGAAGUCAUGGCAAAAAAUAAUUGGUAUGCAUUAUGCUUUAGUUGACCCCUUUAUUUCCCCCAAUAAAAAAUUCCAUACCGUCCUUAUGUUGAUUGCUUAAGGAAAAGCAAGAGAAGAGGAAUAUCUCUCAUGUUCAUAGAAGGUGGCAUAAGUUGUUGAACACAUUAUUGGAAGGUAACAAGAGUUCUAUCCCUUUUCAUCACCUAAAGCAAAAAAAGCAUAUUGUUAAAAGGAAAGCCCACAUUGAAAUUAUAAAGCACUAUCUAGUAGAGCAGAAUCUUACGCAUAUUCACAACGCAUUCUGCCGCUGACACGGUUUUAAUGUUUGUUCAUUCUUAGGAUAUAGUCUCUCUCCCCCACCCCACCCACAUACGUACACACACAUGUUCUUUUUCUCAUGCAAGCAUCGAUAGAUGGCUAGGGUUACAGUUUGUCGGUUAGCAAGGGAUUCACCCAGAUUACCCGUUUUAAAGGAAGAGUGGGCUGGGCAGCCAUGACCCAAGGAAGAUUGUGUCCGAAGUCGACAAUGUACAAUGAUUGCAAAUGAUCGACCUAUAUCCAAGGAGGAACUAGUUAAGAGAAAGGGAACUAUGCAGGAGGGAGCUGGAGCCGACAAUAGCUUCGGUGGCACGCUGACACUAUCACACGUGUGCAAGUUAGUAAAAUAGAUCACAUAUAUUCCCCUUCUAUGGAAGAAUGAAGUUUUCUUUCGAGAUGGACUAUGAAUGUCCAUGGAAAAGGAAAACAAAGAGGCGUUGAGUCGGGGAGUGAGGUUAUUCGAACCUGUAGUAAGUGAGAUCGUUCACUUGACAUAUGCUUGACGUCAUGGAUCUACUAACAGCAGGACGAAGAAGGACCAGAUCAUGAGGAGCGAUUGUGAAGAGGCUCGUCAUGCUUACUGUUUUCUUUGGCUCCUGGUACUACUUCUCCGAAUUACCUUUGGGUAUUGUAAUAUAACAAAGUUUGAUCCCUAUUGCUUCUGCUUGCUCAAGGUAAAAUUAUUUGAUACCUAGUUUACGCAUCAAUUUUUUUAGUAUUUUGUCCUUUUGUACUAACAUACCGACACAACUUCAAUAACAGGCAAGGCAUCGGUUCUCGAUUUUUUUUUAUCGAACCACCGGCCCGGCUCUGUUUUAGAAACUAUGCUAAGUGGGGUUGCUUUCGGCUUGAAUGAUUAAGACGUCAUCUCCAACGGUACUUUUUUUAUAUCUUGUUUUAUACUUCAUCUAUCCGAAAAUAUUUAACGAAAGAAUGAACGUAUUUAGAUGUAUAUUAGCUCUAGAUAUAUUUAUUUUUAUUCAUUUUUUAGAAAAGUAUUUACGAACAGAGGAAGUGUCUUUCUAGUUUGUCAGGUGUUUGUAAUGGCUACAAAGACAUUUUGGUUUCGUUAACGAAAUCCGACAACAAAAAACAUACCCACCCAUCCUCUAGAUCUCUGAAUGCUUUCAUGAUGCCUUUGGUACGAAACCUUUUGCUAAGUUACAAGGGGCGGGAAUGGGAGUGACUAUUGCUCAAUCAACUCAGGAACUGGCUAGUCAUUUCCGAGCCAAAUUCAGCUGCUCAUAGUCGUGAGAUGUGAUAAAAAAUUUCGAACUCAUACUAGCAGCACCAAAAUAGCGAAGCCAAGGUUGCAAAUGUGUAGCAUCACGCCGAGACCGAGCGCAUCUGAAGGUGGAUCCAGAUCAAAUCAAAGAAAACAAAAAUAAAAAAUCUAGUACGUAGCAUAUUCCGAACGAUGAUGGGCCGGGAGGAAACGGCACGGCACGACACAAGACACCUAGUCUCUGUGAAUGUAGUACGAUCAAGGGACGGAUCGGCAGCUGCAGUUUGUAGGGAUGGAUUGGGAAACUACCUCGGCAACUCUUCAUUGGUGGUUGCGAGAGUCACCAAUCCUGCUACAUUGAAAGCUUUAGCGUGCGGAGAAGCUUUGGCCCGGGCAGAGGAUCUGCUUCUACACCACUUCAUCAUCUCAUCGGACUUCAAACAAGUUGUGAAAGAUAUUGCUAAAGCAAAUCAGGACCGUUAUGGGGCAAUCACCACAGAGAUCAAACGGCGAGCGUCUAUUUUUCAUUGUAGUUUUAUUUUUGAAAGCCGAAAUGUUAACCACAUGACUUAGCUAAGUACUCUUGCUCUUUCGGACCGGGACGUCAUGUAUGGUUGGCAAACUCCCAUGAUCCGAUUUGUAUCCCACCUCAUGUGGAUUAUGAUCAAUAAAGCUUAGCUUUCCUUUAAAAAAAAAGCUACAGCGCGUCGUAUUGUAUUUGUAACGUACGCGGCGGUACCCGCCAGUACGCGCGUACGUACGUAUGAUGGGAGAGAUGGCAAGCGGAGGGUGGGGAGGCAUGGCGUCCCCACCGGGAGUAGCAAGCGCAAGUGUGCGGGCAAGCGCCGCUCACCAGCACAGCCGCUUCCGUCGACGUCGAUCGACAGUGUCGGAUGGGUGGCCCGGCUGCAUACGCUUUGCCGCGACGGCAGCAAAACCGUGCGCCCCCGCCCGGUCCGGGCCAGCGCCAGCCAGUGCCGGUGCGCGGUGGCGUCACGGCUGCGGCGACCGCCGGCGCGGCGCGAGGCGGGGGACAUGGCAUCGGCAUCGGCAUCGGUACUUGACCGGGCUGGUUGUUGUUGACAGAGUUAAGGGUGGGCGUCGCCGGCACACCUCGCCUUACCGGCUUCGGCAACCUCCCGCGCCAUCUCCAUCACCGUGACAUCCUGCCAUGCCAUGGCCCCGUGCGUGCGCCGCUGACAUUUUCAACGCGCUGCCGGCUCGCUUGCGUGCGUCCGCCGGCAAGCUGGUGCAACUUGCAGAGCGUCCCGUCGGUCAAUCUCGCCGGUCAAUCGCCGUGGCGGCAUGGUCCGCACGUCGCCAGUCUAGAACGGCAUGCCCAAGCGCCGCGUAGGACUCGACGGACGGACGGACGACGUGGGAGAGAGACUGCGCGUGCGUGCUCUGUCUGCUGUGGCACGGCCACAAAUGUAUGUGCAAUCCCUUGCAUUUGAUCAAAGAGAUACGACACGAGGCCAACAUUUUGCAGCAAUUUUCUCACGGUUUUCCUUUCAUUUACUUGAACCGGAUUCCACAUUUCCAAAAGGGUGCAAAAUGCAAAGUAUCCUCACAUGGGGGCUCCAUCCAUCUUUGACGACGCACACACGCAGCAGCACUGUACACUGUACCUGUACACCACAGCUCAUCCAGACCCUGUAUCUGUAUGGCUGUAUGUACGUACGUAUGUAUCUAGCCCUGUACUGUACUGUACUGCACCUGACUCUGUAUACAGUUGGACACGAACGCUGUACUUACUGCUAGUACUACUAGUAACGGCGGUUGGUGAACGGCGAACGGCUACUUCCCACUGCGCGGCGCCUUGCCGUUCCCGGCGAGCCCCGCCGCGAUGAAGCUGCCCAGCUCGGCGUUGCGGAGCCGCAGCGCCGCGCGGAACACGCCGUUGACGGCGUCCGACACCCGCUCCAGCCGCGCCGCCAGCUCCUCCGUCCGCUUCUCCACCUCCUGCGUCGCCGCGCGCAGCGCCGCCUCGUCCGGGGUGGUGUUUUCGCCGCCGGUGUCGAGGACCGCGGCGAGCUUGCCGACGGCCUCGUCCGCGGCGUCGAUCUCGUUGCUGGUGGCGGAUUUGGCGAGGACGGAGAGCUGAGUGGACACUGCGUUGAAGGAUUCGGCCCACGGGACGUCGCCGGAGACCUGGGGGAAGGUGGAGUUGAUGGUGCUGGUGGCGCCGAGGAUGGUGGCCGCGGCUGUCGCGGCGAGGGAGGACACGGCGUUGACGGCGAGGACGACGCGCGCGGCGGCGGUGAGCUGGUGGCCGCGGGCGCCGCGGGGCGGGUCGACGAAAGGGAUGGAAGGGAGCGCCGGCAGGGCACGGCCGUCGCGGUCGGCNNNNNNNNNNNNNNNNNNNNNNNNNNNNNNNNNNNNNNNNNNNNNNNNNNNNNNNNNNNNNNNNNNNNNNNNNNNNNNNNNNNNNNNNNNNNNNNNNNNNAAUUAGAAGACGUCUAACUUGUUUUUGCAGGGUAUGCUUGUGAUGUGAUAUGGCCAACGAUGUGAUGUGAUAUAUUGGAUGUAUGAGAUGAUCAUGUUGUAAUAGAUAAUAUCGACUUGCACGUCGAUGGUACGGCAACCGGCAGGAGCCAUAGGGUUGUCUUUAUACUAACGUUUGUGCUUGCAGAUACGUUUACUAUUUUGCUAGGAUGUAGCUUUAGUAGUAAUAGCGUGAGUAGCACGACAGCCCCGAUGGCGACACGUUGAUGGAGAUCAUGGUGCGGCGCCGGUGACAAGAAGAUCGUGCCCGUGCUUUGGUGAUGGAGAUCAAGGAGCACGUGAUGCUGGCCAUAUCAUGUCACUUAUGAAUUGCAUGUGAUGNNNNNNNNNNAACUAACGUUUGUGCUUGCAGAUGCGUUUACUAUAUUGCUAGGACGUAGCUUUAGUAGUAAUAGCAUGAGUAGCACGACAACCCCCGAUGGCGACACGUUGAUGGAGAUCAUGAUGAUGGAGAUCAUGGUGUGACGCCGGUGACAAGAAGAUCAUGCCGGUGCUUUGGUGAUGGAGAUCAAGAAGCACAUGAUGAUGUGAUGGAGAUCAAGAAGCACGUGAUGCUGGCCAUAUCAUGUCACUUAUGAAUUGCAUGUGAUGUUAAUCCUUUUAUGCACCUUAUUUUGCUUAGAACGACGGUAGCAUUAUGAGGUGAUCUCUCGCUAAAAUCUCAAGACGAAAUUGUGUUCUCCCCAACUGUGCACCGUUGCUACAGUUCGUCGUUUCGAGACACCACGUGAUGAUCGGGUGUGAUAGACUCAACGUUCACAUACAACGGGUGCAAAACAGUUGCGCACGCGGAACACUCGGGUUAAGCUUGACGAGCCUAGCAUGUGCAGACAUGGCCUCGGAACACAUGAGACCGAAAGGUCGANNNNNNNNNNAUGAUGAUGGCCAUAUCAUGUCACUUAUGAAUUGCAUGUGAUGUUAAUCCUUUAUGCACCUUAUCUUGCAUAGAACGACGGUAGCAUUAUGAGGUGAUCUCUUACUAAAAUUUCAAGACGAAAUUGUGUUCUCCCCGACAGUGCACCGUUGCGAGAGUUCUUUGUUUCGAGACACCACGUGAUGAUCGGGUGUGAUAGACUCAACGUUCACNNNNNNNNNNNNNNNNNNNNNNNNNNNNNNNNNNNNNNNNNNNNNNNNNNNNNNNNNNNNNNNNNNNNNNNNNNNNNNNNNNNNNNNNNNNNNNNNNNNNCCGUGAGAUUGUGCAACUCCCGGAUACCGUAGGAGUGCUUUGGGUGUAUCAAACGUCACAACGUAACUGGGUGACUAUAAAGGUGCACUACGGGUACCUCCGAAAGUGUCUGUUGGGUUGGCACGAAUCGAGAUCGGGAUUUGUCACUCCGUGUGACGGAGAGGUAUCUCUGGGCCCACUCGGUAGAACAUCAUCAUGAGCUCAAUGUGACUAAGGAGUUAGUCACACGAUGACGUGGUACGGAACGAGUAAAGAGACUUACCGGUAACGAGAUUGAACAAGGUAUAGGUAUACCGACGAUCGAAUCUCGGGCAAGUUCUAUACCGACACACAAAGGGAAUCGUGUACGGGAUUGAUUGAAUCCUUGACAUCGUGGUUCAUCCAAUGAGAUCAUCGUGGAGCAAGUGGGAGCCACCAUGGGUAUCCAGACCCCGCUGAUGGUUACUGGCCAGAGAGGUGUCUCGGUCAUGUCUGCCUGUCUCCCGAACCCGUUGGGUCUACACACUUAAGGUUCGAUGACGCUAGGGUUAGAGGGAAUUGUUAUACGAGGUUACCGAAAGUUGUUCGGAGUCCCAGAUGAUAUCCCGGACGUCACGAGGAGCUCCGGAAUGGUCCGGAGGUAAAGAUUGAUAUAUAGGACGGAUGGUUUCGGAUACCGGAAGUGUUUCGGGCAUCACCGGUAACGUACCGGGACCACCGGAGGUGGCCCCGGGGGACCACCGAAGGGGGGCAACGACCCCGGGACUUAAGGUGGGCCAAGUGGGGGUGGGAACCAGCCCCUAGGUGGGCUGGUGCGCCUCCCCAGUCAGCCCAUAGCGCAAGGGAGAGAAAAGGGGGGGCAAACCCUAGGCCANNNNNNNNNNNNNNNNNNNNNNNNNNNNNNNNNNNNNNNNNNNNNNNNNNNNNNNNNNNNNNNNNNNNNNNNNNNNNNNNNNNNNNNNNNNNNNNNNNNNNNNNNNNNNNNNNNNNNNNNNNNNNNNNNNNNNNNNNNNNNNNNNNNNNNNNNNUGCCGCACCUCCCAUCUGGGGGGGCUGCCGCACCCCCUAGGGUGGGAACCCUAGGGGUGGCACCCCCUCUCCCCUCCCCCUAUNNNNNNNNNNNNNNNNNNNNNNNNNNNNNNNNNNNNNNNNNNNNNNNNNNNNNNNNNNNNNNNNNNNNNNNNNNNNNNNNNNNNNNNNNNNNNNNNNNNNUUCUUCUUCUACUUCUACUUCUCCUCUUCUCUUCUUCUACUUCUCCUCUCCUCCUCUUCUAAUUUUUUCUCUUCUUCUACUUCUCCUCUUCUUCUAUUUUUCCUCUUCUUCUCCUCUCCUCCUCUUCUUAUUCUCCUUUUUCUUCUUUUCUUCUCCUCCUCUUCUUAUUUUCCUUUUUCCUAAUUCUAAAUAUUACUAACCCUAAUAAUAUAAUAACAAUAGGAAUUAAAUGAAAAAAAAAUCUUUUUCUUCUUUUCUUCCCUUUUUCUUCCUUUCUUCUCCUUUUUCUUCUUUUCUUCUCCUUUUUCUUCUUUUCUUCUACUAGCCGGAGUGUUGGCGAGGAGGGGCGGGGGGCUUACCGGCUAGAGGUGUCGACAGCGCGGCGACGAGGAGGACGGCAGGCGGCGAGGAGGACGGCGCGACGGCGAGGAGGACGGCGCGGCGGCGAGGAGGACGACAGGCGGCGGCAAGCAGGACGGCGGGCAGCCUGACGGCGUCGUCGAGUUCGUCGUUGUGCCGCGUCGGGUAGGAGAACGAGAGAAAGAAGAAGAGAAAUGGACGAUUUGGGUUGGAAAUUUUCUAAGUCCCGCUUAUAUAGGUGGAUCUUUAGUCCCGGUUCGGGGCUCGAUCCGGGACUAAAGACCCCCUUUAGUCCCGGGUGGAGCCACGACCCGGGACUAAAGGCCCUUUUUCGGCAAACCAAAAGGCGGGAAGCAGGGGGUCUUUAGUCCCGGGGCGUGGCUGCACCCGGGACUAAAGGGGUCUUUAGUCCCGAGGCGUGGCUCCAUCCGGGACUAAAGCCCCUCCUCGACUGCACGAUAAGUUUAGUCCCACCUCGCCCAGCGAGGGGGACUAACACUUGUUUAUAAGCCCCGUCGCAGCUUCUUCAUCGAGCUCCUCUCUAAAGCAGGCUUACGGGCCUAAACUCACUGAAAAUUGAAACUAUAUUCAAAAUUGUAGAGAAAAUUCAAUCUAAAUUCAAAUGAGAAUUUAGUUCGAAUUUUCUCUAUGAUUUCGAAUAUAGUUUCAAUUUUUUUCUAUUUUCAUAAUUAAUAAUUUUGACUAUCCAAACUAUUAUCUANNNNNNNNNNGUAUUAAAAAUUCUUUUUGCAUAUUUGAGAAUUUGACAAAACUAUGGUAAUGAAAAGUGUUUGAAAUUGAAUAAAUAAUGCAAAACUAUUUUCUAUUUUCAUAAUUAAUAAUUUUGACUAUCCAAACUAUUAUCUAUUUUGUUAUUUUCAAUUAAAAACUAUGUUUAUUAAAAAUUAUUUUUGCAUAUUUGAGAAUUUGACAAAACUAUGAUAAUGAAAAGGGUUUUGAAAUUGAAUAAAUAAUGGAAAACAAUUUUCUGUUUUCAUAAUUAAUAAUUUUGACUGUCCAAACUAUUAUCUAUUUUGUUAUUUUCAAUUAAAAACUAUGUUCAUUAAAAAUUCUUUUUGCAUAUUUGAGAAUUUGACAAAACUAUGAUAAUGAAAAGUGUUUGAAAUUGAAUAAAUAAUGCAAAACUAUUUUCUAAUUUCAUAAUUAAUAAUUUCGACAAAAAACUGGAUGCACUUCGUGUACAAAACGGACAAUCUCUGUCGAAGUAUCAGGGUUUCGAACGAGAACUCAUCUCUUACAAAGGGAUUUCAUUUUUUUGAAUUUAUUUGAACUCCAUACUUUUUGUGUGUUCAAAAUGCACCAUUCUAAGGCACAUCACAAUAUUUCAACAAUUUCUGACUUCAUUUGGUAUUCUUCGUGCAUUUACUUAUUAUUAUUUUUGAGCUAGUUGACCCUGAAAUUGAAAAGCACUACAAAUGAACUANNNNNNNNNNAAAAGGCACAUCACAAAAUUUCAACAAUUUCUGACUUCAUUUGGUAUAUUUCGUGCAUUUACUUAUUUUUUUGAGCUAGUUGACCCUGAAAUUGAAAAGCACUACAAAUGAACNNNNNNNNNNNNNNNNNNNNNNNNNNNNNNNNNNNNNNNNNNNNNNNNNNNNNNNNNNNNNNNNNNNNNNNNNNNNNNNNNNNNNNNNNNNNNNNNNNNNUUCCUCGCCGGAGAAGAAGCAGCAGCAGUAAUAGUAGUAUGGGAGAGAAGGGCGAAGAUGGAUGGAUGAAUGCGUUGGUUGGGUUGGAAUUGGGCGCGACGCGCGGCGGUAUAUAUACAGGGUGGGAGGUGAAGAGGAAAAUAAAUGCGGGGGAAAUCCUGCGAGAUCUCGAAAGGGAUCCUAGGCUCGGGGAUCGAGUGAAACCCAGCCCCCCCGGUGGGGCCCCGGCCCGAUCCGGGCGCGGAUCCGCGGGCCCCGCGGCCCAGCCCGGGAGAUCCCCGCCGGGAUUUUCCUGCCCCGCCCCGCCCCCCUCGCUUUCGCUUCCCUCCCUCCCUCCCUCCCUGCUCACGCACACACCGUAUGCAUGCAUGCGUAUCUCCUUCCCUUUCUUUUUCUCUUGGGCUGUGCUGUGGGCAAGUUGGGAGAUCUGCAUGCAUGGGGCACGCACGCACGCACGCACGCACAAACUGCAUCACUUUUUUUUUCUGAUGCUGCUGCUGCAUCCGGUUGGCUAGGAUUUGAUUUGGUGUUUGUGAUGAAGGGCAGCAGGUGAUCCGUACCGGGUGGGGCUCGGGGAUUUGCUUGGAAAAUUCCGAUCUUUUUGGGUGAGCGGCAGGCAAGGGAUACGUCGGUCCUGAUAUCGGAGAUGGGAUUCGUGAGAUCAUCUCCGGCCGGNNNNNNNNNNNNNNNNNNNNNNNNNNNNNNNNNNNNNNNNNNNNNNNNNNNNNNNNNNNNNNNNNNNNNNNNNNNNNNNNNNNNNNNNNNNNNNNNNNNNACCGCCCCCAAGACCAUCGCCGACUUCUUCGUCCGCCCCGCCAAGCGCCUCCGCUCCGGCGCAGCCGGCACCGCCGCCGCCACCGUCGUCGUCCCCGCCGCCUCCCUCUCCCCCUCCUCCGACCACUCCCCGCUCUCGCCGGAGCAGCGCCGCAGGGCCGACACCAACCUCGCGCUCGCCCGCGCGCGCCGCAACCUCCGCCUCGCCGAGUCCAAAGGUACCCCCCUCUCCCUCCAAAGUCCAAACCCCCCGUUCUCCCGACCCUGGUUAGGGUUCUAAUAACUGUACCGUUGGGGUUUCGCAUCUAGCGGCCGGCGGCGCCGCGAAGCUGGAGGAGCUGCUCGUGGAGGAGACGUGGCUGGAGGCGCUGUCCGGGGAGCUGCGCAAGCCCUACGCGCUCGACCUCUGCCGCUUCGUCGCCCACGAGCGCCUGCACGCCAAGGUGCCCGUCUACCCGCCGCCCCACCUCGUCUUCCACGCGCUCCACACCACCCCCUUCCACGACGUCAAAGCCGUCAUCAUCGGCCAGGUACCCAAAUACCAAGUCACUGAAGUUCACGAAUCCUGUACUUGUUCACCUGCUGCUUCACUGUGAAGAAAUGCGCGACAGUUUCGCUAAUUUAACUUCAUUCUGAGGAUCAUAUAGCGCGUAUUUAUGUAAAGAUUUUGCCAUUUGGUCUGACUUUGGCCUGGAAUUUCUUUUUGUUACAAUGCUGCUUGCUGUAUGGAGUGAGGCCAUCAAAUUGAAAUAUGGUUAAAAAAAAUUGACAAUGCCGUAUGCAGAAAUGGAAAUUGUUGCUUCUGUUCUGCAUAUUCAUAUUAUGCUAGAAUAACUGAUCUGUAGUUACAGUGCUGCCUGCUGUAUGGAGUAAUGACAUUAAACUGAAACAUGGAUAGUAUAAUUUGGCAGUGCCAUAUGCAGGGACAGGAACUGUUGCUGCUGUUCUGCAUUUUCAUAUUAUCACGCCAGAAUAACUGGUUUGAGGCUAUUUUAUUUGUGUGAUCAUAUUGUGGUGUCUGGCAUAUUUGCCACAACACUUUGUAGCCUGAAAAUAUGCCUGACAUAUAUAUGCCUUUCAUUCAGCUAUUAGUCGGUGAUCCUUAUUUGCUUGCUGUAUUUACCAUAUGGUCUUCAUUUGUCUUUGAACCUACUAUGCAUCUGUAUCAUGCAGUAAGUUUCUGAUUUCAGUGUUUACAGUCUAUUUUUUUUAUUUCUGCUUUAACAUAACGGAAUAACUAAUGGUGGCUGCCUAAUGAUGACAGACUAAGUUUCUGAUUUGUUUAUUGUAAAAGUGUAGAUUCAUUGGUAGCAAUUGUUUUUAGUGUCUCAUGUUGCAGAUUGUCUACUUUUCAGGAUCCAUACCAUGGUCCUGGUCAGGCCAUGGGAUUGUCGUUUUCAGUACCAGAGGGGAUCAAAAUUCCUUCCAGCUUACAAAACAUAUUUAAAGAGCUGCAUAAAGAUGUAGGGUGUACUAUACCAUCUCAUGGGAAUUUGGAAAGAUGGGCUGUGCAGGUAAAAUUGUUUGAUAAAACGCUAGAUUUGUUGAAGUGUAUAUUUGGAUUGUCUAGCCCUUUCCAUUAGUUCGGACUUUUGGUUGCACUGGUUAGUGCAUGAAGCUUAACANNNNNNNNNNNNNNNNNNNNNNNNNNNNNNNNNNNNNNNNNNNNNNNNNNNNNNNNNNNNNNNNNNNNNNNNNNNNNNNNNNNNNNNNNNNNNNNNNNNNAGAGUUCUCCGGCAGCGUGACGGCGCUCCGGAGGUUGGUGAUGACCUUGUCUCAGCAGGGCUCCGCCCGAGCUCCGCAGAAACGCGAUCUAGAGGAAAAACCGUGGAGGUAUGUGGUCGGGCUGCCGUGGAAAAGUCGUCUCAAAUCAGCCCUAAAACCUCCGUAUAUAUAGGUGGGAGGGAGGGGGCCUUUCCUUGGGGUCCAAGGACCCUCAAGGGGGUCGGCCGAGCCAAGGGGGAGGACUCUCCCCCCCCAAACCGAGUUGGACUAGGUUUGGUGGGAGGGAGUCCUCCUCCCUUCCCACCUCCUCCCUUUUUUUUUCCUCUUGAUUUUUCUUCUCUUGGCGCAUAGACCACUUGUGGGCUGUCCCACCAGCCCACUAAGGGUUGGUGUGUCUCCCCAAGGCCUAUGGGCUUCCCCGGGGUGGGUUGCCCCCCCCCCCNNNNNNNNNNCUGGUGUGUCUCCCCAAGGCCUAUGGGAUUCCCCGGGGUGGGUUGCCCCCCCCCCUGAACCCCCGGAACCCAUUCGUCAUUCCCGGUACAUUCCCGGUAAGUCUGAAAACCUUCCGGUAAUCAAAUGAGGUCAUCUUAUAUAUCAAUCUUCGUUUCCGGACCAUUCCGAAAACCCUCGUGACGUCCGUGAUCUCAUCCGGGACUCCGAACAACAUUCGGNNNNNNNNNNUUCCCGGUAACUCUGAAAACCUUCCGGUAAUCAAAUGAGGUCAUCCUAUAUAUCAAUCUUCGUUUCCGGACCAUUCCACCCUCGUGACGUCCGUGAUCUCAUCCGGGACUCCGAACAACAUUCGGUAACCAACCAUAUAACUCAAAUACGCAUNNNNNNNNNNNNNNNNNNNNNNNNNNNNNNNNNNNNNNNNNNNNNNNNNNNNNNNNNNNNNNNNNNNNNNNNNNNNNNNNNNNNNNNNNNNNNNNNNNNNUGGUAUGAGAGGCUUCAAUAGAGAUAAGUUGCUUUCAUAACAUGGUAUCAGAGUCUAAGGUCUUGAGUUCAAGUCCUGGCUUUCGCAAUUUAUCCAAAAAUUGGUGCCCCCCCUUGUCGACGUAUAGGCCUCUUGAGCCAUACCUCUGAGUCUAUCCACGUGUUGACUUUCCGCAUCACGUGUGAGAGGGGGUGUUGAAGUAUAUAUGUGGAUUGUCUAGCCCUUUCCAUCAGUUUGGACUUUUGGUUGCGUUGGCUAGUCCAUGAAGCUUAACAAGAGUAAAUAGUAUAUGCACUCAAACAACAUGUUUAUAUUCUAGUUUACCUUAAUAUUAAUCGCCCUUGCAAUACUAGGAUCGAUAUGUAUUAAUGUACCAUGAAACAAUGUGCAUAUUUUUACAUGUUACAACUGCGAAGGACUCAUGCAGUCUUGCAGCUGUUUAGCAGAGCGGAUAUCUACCAAGUCCGCAAAAUCAUGUGCCUUCACUCUAGAAGUCCACAAAAACAGUUUUGUGUAAUUUCACUACCAUUUAUAUUCUAUUUUUGGCCAAAUCUAUGCCAACAUGUCACUACAGUUAUCAACUAAACUAAGUAAUUUUACAUUUUCUUACCAUUUAUCCUAUAUAGGAUACCAGAGAAGCAAUUGGCUUGAUACACUAUAUUUUGUUCUAAAAAUUAAAAUCUACUUGAAUGGGCAACAAGGCCAUGAUGAACCUGAAACAAAGUAGCUUCAUGAGAAGAAAUAUACUAAUAUAGGAGUAGAAAACAAUGCCUGCUACUGCCUAUAGCCAAAUUUGUUCUCUUUCCUCAUUUCCCAGCAGCACACCAUAAGUUUUCUUUUAACUUUCUUUGGAGAUGUGUUUACUAACUCGAGAAAAAAAACAUUUAUCUUGCAGGGUAUUCUUAUGCUCAAUACCGUGCUAACAGGUAAGCCUGUUUUUCUCAUCAGGAUGAAACAUUUGUUGUUCGUUAGCUCUUAUUCGUGCAUACCGAUUUAAAUUACUUUCUGCACUUCAAUUUUGAUUACAGAAACUAUGUUAUCUUUUGUUCUAUUUAGCUGUACUUCACUGUAUUCUUGUAGUUGCAGCUGUAUUUUUCUUUUUUGUUGUGUUUGAUGUUAUUAGCUUACUUUAGCUUGGUGGCAAAUUGUGGACCCUUUUCUUUUUAGCAUUGUAGACCUAGAGUUGUCUUUGCAAGGAUAAGGGGUAUCUUGUGAAAUCUCUGACAGCUAUGUUAUGUGUGUGCCCGGUAAAAAAUCUUUAUUUUUUAUCAAAGCUUCCCAUGGCCUUAAUGCUGAAUACGAUUGUAGGACUUGUUUUACAGUGCCUCGUUUACUCCUGCUAGUGUGGAAGUAUGACCUUGAGAUUAUUGUAUGCUCCAAUUAUUGAUCUUUUCAACUUUUAGUUUUAGCAUUUGAAUUUAUCUCUUCAGAACUGUAAUGCUGCAAUACAUCAGAUAUUGUUUAGUUCUUAGAUGCAACUAGCUGACAGACCUAACCAGUAUCACAAUAUUCAUUGUUCAGUGUGAAUUCAUCAAUAGCUUACAAAGGUCUGUGUUGCAACAAAAAAAAGGAAAUUUCUACAGAAAAAGAGAUUUCAACUGUAGUUAUUUACCUCAAAGCAAAAUUUAGCAUGAUCUAUACCUAAAUCAUCAUGCUUUUUAGGAUCCAGCUGAAAAUACCGCAACACCAUUUUAAUAUAAUUGCUCAGAAGUACACAUAGGGAAAAGAAUAUAACGAUCGAAAAUGAUUAUAUAGAUUCUAGAGAGAACAAAUUAAUGUCAUAUACAGAGCACAUACUAGACACUACAAAGUCAUCACCUGCAAAACACUUUGAGUAGCACAAUCUGUACUGAGUGGCUUUAGGCAGAUAUCAGCCAAGGUGUCAGAUGCUGAACCUGGUCUAGUGUCGAAUUCUUCAGUUAGGUGUAGUGUGCCCAUAAACGCUUCGCUGGAUCCAACGGCCAUCAGCGCUCGUGUCAAUCCUCACUCGACGGGUGAGAUGUGUCGAAACAACUACUCCCUCCGUCCGGAAUUACUUAUCGCACAAAUGGAUAAAAAUGGAUGUAUCUAGAACUAAAAUACAUCUAGAUACAUCCAUUCUACAAGUAUUUCCGGACGGAGGGAGUACUAUUUACUUUCACCAUGGUCACUACUGAACCUACAUAACAGCCAGGUUGUGGCUGAGAUUGGGCAUGGAGAAUCAUUCUUCUUUCUGGCCAUUGGCCUAGAACAACACUUUACCCAUACACUAACUUUAAUACAGAUCUGGACCUCCUGAUUCGGCCAGUUCUUCCCCGAUAUUUCCCUCGAGUUGCACCCAUAUACUUAUCUGAUCUUGUUCAUAUAAUUGGGAUCUGACACAAGGAUAUUGUCGAUCCAGAAUAAUUGGCACGUACAUCAUCAAUCUUUUCAAUUAAAAAGAGACAUUAGAACCACUAAGUAGUUGCAGUGCAAAAUUUACAUGACUGGAUUCCAUACUUUUUUCUGAAUCUGAAAUAGCAAUUUGAAAUUGUUGUCAUUUGCUAUUGUAGGAGCUUCAGGCUGGUCAGAUGCGGUAGUGGCUAAUACAAGCCGCAGUCAAAAUAGUAACUAACAAAAAAAAACUCACUGCAAUAGUCACUUUAAAACGUAGAACACGACAAAGAAAGUUAGAUAAGAGGUUAAGAACAACGCAGCAAGCAUGUUGGUUGCUAUGCUGUAACUAAGUUGGGUAUAUAAUCUGCAACAAAUGUUCAUCUAGUUGAACAAAAGCAAAGCCAUGAGAAUUGAAAAGAUCUGCUCGAUCCUAUAAAAUGGAGCAAGAUGACUGUCAAAAUAUUGCUUUUCAUAGGCAGUCUGACUUCCAGGACUAACCCAAAGCUGCAAAAAGAAAACAAUCAAGUCAGAAAUCUGUGAAAUGUAUGGGAGUUAUAUCUUGCUAAAUAGCUUUUAUUUUUUUUCUGAGCAGUGAGGGAACACCAAGCCAACUCACAUGCGAAGAAAGGUUGGGAGCAGUUCACUGAUGCUGUCAUCAAGACAAUAUCACAAAAGAAAUCAGGAUUGGUCUUUAUUCUGUGGGGAAACUCAGCCCAAGCAAAGAUAAGGUGUGCUUACUUUCAUUUGGAAUUCCGCAGACUGUAAAACAGUCAUGCCGAAACAAAAAAUAGACUAUUGGGAGUACAUGCUUGUUAUCUCUAUGACCUUUAGCAAUCCAGACAUUCAUAGUACAUGCUUGUUCUCUUUUGCAGAUUGAUUGAUGAAACAAAACAUCACAUUCUAAAAUCCGCCCAUCCGUCAGGCCUGUCUGCAAACAGAGGAUUCUUUGGAUGCAGGUUUGUUUUCUUUUCAAUCUUUGUAAAUCUUUUUCGGUGUCUUUUUCCUGGGUAUGAAUGAAAUCUCAACUCCACCCGUCGAAGCUAAAAACUGAAAAGGAUGGAAAGAUUAGAGAGAAAUGAUAAAGAUUUCCCAGUUGCAUGUCGGUAUGCCACCAGGGGAGAUUUUGGGUGGCCACAAGAAUACAAAGGACGAUUACCACUGACAAUAUUGAAUUGCUAUAUUUAUCACCACUUGUUUGAGUGAGGCCAGGCAGUACGAAACCCCACUAAUGUCUCGCAUCUGUGUCACCGUACAUGUUCUCUAGUAGUGGCCAGUGGGUUAUAAUGAAUUUAUCCCGGGAACAAACCUUUAACUCUACCUGCACCAUCACCUAAUGCUACUGUCCGUCCAAGCCGAUGAACACCCGUCGCUUUCUUUCGCCUGCCAGUGUCCUGCCUUAUACUUUUGCAACUGGAUAUCACUUUCACCUUUUCACUCACUGCUGUUAAUGGCUCUGCAUAAUAUUGAACAUCAAUUAGAUCUCGGCAUCUCAUGGCCUGUUGAUGGGGCCGGCCGAUCCAAGCAGAUCAAACGCUACUUUUCCAUGUGGUGGUUAUCUUUGAAGGAUUCUCCGAACACUGAUAGAUACCCACAUUAUGACUUGGCCUGUUUGUGUGCAUAUCUUGAACAGGCACUUUUCGCAGACGAAUGAGAUCCUGGAGAGGCUCGGGCUAUCCACCAUCGAUUGGCAGCUCUGAGGAAAACCACAGGAAGGCACCAUGUGACAUGUCUGCCCGACUGACUGAUAACCAGCCACCAUUAUGAUUUUAUGGAAGCUGCCUGGUCGUCUUGGUCCAUGGUUUUGGUUUUGGAGGCAACUUGAACUCGGUGCCGCUGCUGGAAGUGAAGUCAAGUGCCGCACUCGGGUCGGGCCAUACCCUAUGACGAUCUACUACUAGUGCUAGAUACGUUAUGUACUGCUGGUACCAAAUGUUGGCUCCUCCAAAUGGUUUUGGCCGAUUCGGUUGUCGUGUAUGAGUAGUACGUGCAACUGCUCUGACGGACGUAUAAUUGGAGUAGUAGUAGUAGUAUCACAUAACUCAGCCGUGCUGUCCUUGUUUAUUAUUGGGUGCUUAAUUAAUUAACUUGUACUAGUAGUAGUACCAUAAAGUGAGAUCGAUCGAUCCCUCUUAGAUUUGGUCCUGGACAAGGCACCAACUCGUAGACCCGACGAAAUCAAACCCCACUAAUCGAGAGGUUGUCUGGUCCUUGGCAUCGCGACAAGUAGUACAGUACCUCUCCUUGCGUGCUUAGCUACCAUCUAACGUACCCGUUUCUCUGUACACUACUCUCUUCUCUUCGUGAAGAAAUAUAAGAGCGUUACUUGGUUUUGCUUUCUCGAAAGAAGAUCAGGACACUAAAUCCAUUUCAAAAUAAAUAUCUUAAUUUUAUACUAGCUUUAAUAUAAAAUUAUAGUAUUAAGUUUGAAACACUUAUUUAACGACGGAGGGAGUAGUAAGUUGGUCGCCUCGCCUCGUCGUGGUCAAUCCUCCGCGUGGAAGCUACAUUCGCCGCCCGGCCAGCGGAUCCGUUUCCACUUGAACCUUUGGGAAAGCGAGUCGUGCCGGUCCGAUGGGGUCCGUGCCGUCGCGUCAAGCCAAGACUAAACGUUGCCACGAGACGCAUGCCGCAGCCCUACUGCUACGUACUGUCACGCGGUUCAGACUUGAAAUAAUCGUCAGCUGCCAAAGAGCAAAGCAGCGAUCGAGUCGGCCUCCGUUCACCGUUCUAGAAGAAAGAAGAAAAAAAAAAACCCAGCUGCAGUCCAUGCUUCAUCAGAUUCCAAAGUCCAUCUGCCGUAGUCGAUGAUGGAUAAGUCGGUCUCUCUCUCUCCCGCUGUGCGCCAGCCGGUUCUUUCAGGAUUCACCGGAUCAGCGCCACUCAAACCAAACACGUACUGCUUCCUGCCGGUGCUGGUGCUGGUGCGGGCUACGGCCGGCCGCCAUUAACGAUCGAUUUGGUCAUGAUGCACGGUGCACGGUGCUACCAAACGUACGUGUCACGUCGGGGGCACCGGUACGGCACAUGUACAGGCAGGCAGGCAGGCGCACCCGUGACUGAGCUGAGUAGGACGGCACGGUAACAUUCAGUAGUAGUACAACAGUAGCGUCUUGUGUAUUAAGCCCGGUCCCCUUAGUUUUUUUAUAACAUAGUAGAUACGCAAUCGCUUAUAUACACGCACACACAUUCAUUUUUAUAAACGUGUACAUGCACACCCUAUACUUAUGAGCACCCUCGAGAGACUGAGCCGGUGUCAUCUUGAAAUUUACGAGGUCAUCGUAGACACCUCGUCGUCGACGGGAACGUCUCCUCCCACUAAAAACGUAUUGCAGCCCUGUUAGCUCCCUGUCAUAUUUAUGCUGAUCGUAAUAGAAGUAUUAUACUCCCUUCGUAUCUAAAGAAAACUAGACUAAAAUUUUCAAUAAAUAUGUACAGAGGAAGUAUAUAAUAUCAUUCAUGCCAACUAAAUAAUUUUAUGAUGUAACAUCGUUCCGAAAUAUAAGUCUUUUAAGAUAUUUCACUAGAAGUCUACAUACGGAGCAAAAUGAAUGAAUCUACACUCUAUAGUAUGUCUAUAUGCAUCCGUAUGUAGUCCACUAAUGAAACCUUUUUAAAGACUUAUAUUUAGGAACAGAGGGAGUAGAAUCAAAUAAUGAAAUGAAGAAGUUUCAAAAAAAAAAAAUGAAAGGAAGGGUUAAAUAUCAUAUCAUAAUACUGUGUUAUAUUAAAUAAUAUGGUAUUAUGUGUCUUGUAUGAUAACAAAUAUACAUGUAAUACUAAAAUACUCCCUCCCUUCCAAAAUAUAAGACCUUUUAGGUAUUUCACUAGAAGACUACAUACGGAGUAAAAUGAGUGAAUCUAUACUCUAAAAUUUAUCUAUGUACAUCCGUAUGUAGUUUAUAGUAUAAUCUCUAAAAGGUCUUAUAUUUAGGAAUGGAGGGAGUAUGAUAUUGUACAUUAUAAAAAUAAUAUCACACACUGAGAUUAUUUACAUUAGUAUUACUAGCAAAAGGACCCGUGCGUUGCAACGGAAGAAAAACAAUUAUAAUCUCCAAUGAUGCUGAUCAUAUUAUGUCUUUAAAAUUUUAGGACAUUUCUUGAAAUGCAUGAACAUUUUUUGAACUAGCAAACAUUUUUUUCAGUUGCACUCAAAAAAUAACACACAAACUUUUUUUCAAAAUCAUGGACUUUUAUUGUUUUCACCAACAUUGUUCUCAAAAUUAUGAACAUUUUUCUGAAUAUGCGAAUAUUUUUACAAAAAUCCUGAGCAUUUUUUGAAUUCACAAACAUUUCAUAUUUUCUUCAAACUUUUAUUUCAAUAUUCCCAGUUUUAUAAAUUGCAAAAGUUUUUCAAAGUUCUAAAUUAUUUAAACUAAAAAAUGGAACAGAAAAAUGAAAAUAGAAAAUGAGACUAAAAACAGAGGCACGAACUGUUUUUAAGAUUUUUACACGGACUUUUGUUUAAAAUCGUUGACUUUUUUUAUUUUAUGGACAUAUUCUCAAGGUUUAAACAUUUUUUUAUAUGCAAACAUUUUUCAAAACUCCUGAGUAGUUUUUGAAUUCUAAAAAAAAAANNNNNNNNNNNNNNNNNNNNNNNNNNNNNNNNNNNNNNNNNNNNNNNNNNNNNNNNNNNNNNNNNNNNNNNNNNNNNNNNNNNNNNNNNNNNNNNNNNNNNNNNNNNNNNNNNNNNNNNNNNNNNAAACUAAACUAAAAAAAAGGCGCCCACGCAUGGGCCGGCCCAAACAGGUGUGCUCCAUCUUUUUCAACGCCCAGAGCGUAAUAUAGGAGGUGCUUACAUGGGCCGGCCGAGUCAGGAGAUUUUCCUGUUUAAAACGUUUUUUAUGACAUACAGGUGGCAUUGGUGGGUAAUUUUAGUCAACUUUAAAGGCAAUUUGGAUGACGUACGGAAGAAGCACUAUUUGCUUUAUUAGUAUUAGUAGGUAAGAUUAUGACAUAUAGGUGGCAUUGGUGGGUAAUUUUAGUCAACUUUAAAGGCAAUUUGGAUGACGUACGGAAGAAGCACUAUUUGCUUUAUUAGUAUUAGUAGGUAAGAUUAUGACAUAUAGGUGGCAUUGGUGGGUAAUUUUAGUCAACUUUAAAGGCAAUUUGGAUGACGUACGGAAGAAGCACUAUUUGCUUUAUUAGUAUUAGUAGGUAAGAUUAUGACAUAUAGGUGGCAUUGGUGGGUAAUUUUAGUCAACUUUAAAGGCAAUUUGGAUGACGUACGGAAGAAGCACUAUUUGCUUUAUUAGUAUUAGUAGGUAAGAUUAUGACAUAUAGGUGGCAUUGGUGGGUAAUUUUAGUCAACUUUAAAGGCAAUUUGGAUGACGUACGGAAGAAGCACUAUUUGCUUUAUUAGUAUUAGUAGGUAAGAUUAUGACAUAUAGGUGGCAUUGGUGGGUAAUUUUAGUCAACUUUAAAGGCAAUUUGGAUGACGUACGGAAGAAGCACUAUUUGUUUUAUUAGUAGGUAAGAUAAGAUAAGAUAAGAUAAGAUAUACUCCCUCCGUCCUAAAUUUUUUGUCUUAGAUUUUUGUAGAAAUGGAUGUAUUUAAAUACUAAAUCGUGACUAGAUACAUUCAUAUCUAGACAAAUACUUCCUGGGACCGAAUGACAAGUGCCUCCACUUCUUUAGUCAGGGGACGGCGGGGUCGGAUCAGGUCAGGUCGCUGCCAUCCACACUGUGACAUCGAUCGACUCGGCGUGCAAGCUGCCCGUGCCUCGGUAUCGUUUUGUUGGGCCGCGGCCGGAUUAAUGCAUGGGUGGAUCCCGCUGCGGGUCAAGUCCGGCGAACCCCCGGCGACCCAGAGUCCCAUCCGCCCACGCCCAGACCAAACGAACCAACGAAGCCCCGGCAUGCGCUCACUGACGUCUUAUUCAUGGCACGACAUCAAGUUAGAACCAAGGGCAACUCCAAUCGCACCGCGACCCAAAAUGAUCCGGCCGCGUGUGUUUAAGAUAGACGGACAUAAAAUUCGACCCAACACGCAGGUGCAAAUGGAAGACGUUCAUUUUUCGUUUGCAUUUUAAACGAACACGCGCGGACGGACGAAACACACGUCCUUGUCCCCUAGCCUGUCCGCUGGGGACAUAACCCACUUUUCUCUUCCCUUGCCCCCCCCCCCCACAUCUCAGUCGCCAUCCGGUAUGUACACCCAUUUACUCAUCAGCGUCGCCUUCCUGCAAGGCCGUCCGAACCACGACCACACCAUGCCAUAGCCGGCUCGCACCCGCGUUUCGAAGCAGCCUUUUGUCGGCGUUCCUGGUUCUUUGUUGCUGGUGAGGGAGAACCUACAGGCGUCGUUGCUGCCCAUCGAUCCUAAUAACUUUUGACACGCGCGACAUAGCGUGUGAACGAGCCCAAACAACCAAAACAUGCAAAAUACCUGCUUAUAAGGUGGGCCACCGACGUCUCUCAAAGACCCGAUACACUAAGAACCGACAUUCUUGGGGAGCUUGGAACUUUAGAAAAAUUCAAUAAAUGACUUUUUAAAUAAACAAAUAUAUUUUUAUCAAAUAAAGCAACACAUCGAACGGCCGGUGCUCGUAACCUCCUCGCCUAUACAACGAAAUAGCGGUCGUAAUAGAAGCUAAUGUUGGCAAACGGUUUUGCUAAAACAUAUCUGCAUGUGAGAUAAGUAUUGAACAUCUAAAUCCUACUUCAUUGAUCUUACGUGAAGAUUCAUGUCUUUUUUGCUUGAUUUAGUCAUUUAAAUAUGCAAUAACCAUAUCACAUCUAGGUGUGUCUACACAUAACUAUCGACGUGUGAUGUGCUUCUUUAACCACAUAUUCAUUGAUCUUGAGUAUGCUCUUCUAUUAUGGGACGAAGGAAGUAACUAACUACGGUGAAGCGAGACUCGCCCCCAUCCGAUCCUUGGUAGAUCUGCUCCUGGACUAGCCACCAACUCGAAGAUCUACGAAAUCAAACCCCACUGAUCAGGAGACGUAUAGUCCUUAGCAGCAAGACAACUACAUACAUCACCAAUCAGAAUACAUCUCAUCUCCUUCGUUGCACUUGGUAGCUAGUAGCAAUGUAUACUUGGCUAUGGACUAUGGUGGCAAUGGCGUACGCGUCUCGCCCUUAACUAAAGUACGUGCGUGUUUGUUGUGUUUUCGUACAGCCGGUGGUUGCAUCCUGGACAGACGACUACUGCACAAACCAAGCCUGCUUCCAGAAGACACGCAGGACACUGGACACCUGAGCAGCUGAGCUCCAUUUGCACAUCGCACGAGUGACACUGCCAUGGUUGCAUUGCAUAUGUAACACCUCUGGUCCUUGUUUUUACCCUAACAAACGGAGUAAAAUCUAGAUUUACUGAAGAAAGUUGAAGAAAUCUCACCCUGACUCCAUGGGUGCAAACCGGUGCAUGCAUGCAUGCACGCGCUUUGGUCACAAUCGACGUCCCCAUCGCUGCUUUUCUCUUGGGAUGCCCACCCCACCGUGCCCAGUCCUAGUCGUGAGAUCUCCGCGUGACAAGUGCAUUUGCACGGCGAUCACGCGGUCCCGUCUUCAAAGCGUCAGCACUCUCAAGAGAAAAUCAAGUACGCUGCCUCCGAUCUACUACUAGAAGGAAAAUUCGCCGCGGUUGAAACGCGCGCGGCAGCCAUGGACGGCAGGUCUCCGUCUAUUCCACUGUGUCCCGUACGUGAGAAGGACGGGUGUGGGUGGGCGACGGCGAGGAGACGAACGUCUGGCUGGUGAUGUCCACGCCGAAUCUGCCGGGGUUUUCAGCCGGACAAUCGGAUCGGCGUCAUUGAAAACACGUAGUACCUGCUCUCCUCGUGUGGCCGGUCGAUCGAUAGAUCAGCCGCUAGCGGUACAGGCCUAUGCACGCACACGGUUCGGUGGGUGGGUGCGUGCGUGCUUGCUUGCUUGCCAGCAGACGUACGUCUCACGUCGGCACCGGUGCAGGUCACAUUUGCAUGCACGCCCGUGAGUGAGUACGUGACAUCGAUCGACGUGCUCGGAUCUUUUUUCCAAUGUCGACGUGCUCCGUUGGCCCGCCGGCGCCGUUGGCCGGGACGGGUGGUGGAUCCCGGCGCGAUCUCGACCGCGGGUCAAGUCCGGCGAACCAAAGCAGCCAAGUGGCCACCCGGCCAACGACCGCAUGCCAUGCGCGCCGGGCCGUGGCUCCACCCGUGACCGUGAGUAGCUGGCGUUUCCCGGCGGCGGGCCAGCUCUGGAUGCAUGAUCCACACCGAAACUCCGUGCCUGUCCCCUACCCAUGGCCCCGCGGCGUCACGCACACCUGAUGGCUGAUGGCGGCCCUAUCCAAUUCCUAUCCACCACGCCCUCGUCAUGACUGGUUUUGAUUCUGCUCGAGAUUUGGGUGUCCGGCCGAUCGGCUCGACACAUGGAUGGAUGGGAUCGUGGGACAGCGACUGCAUCCGCCUUGGUUGGGUGCAUGCAUGCAUCCAACAGGCAGCAGUACUGAGAAUGCCGGCAGUAAGAUCUAAAACGUUUACACGGAACCCGCAAGAGGCAGGCACCAAAUGCCCAAAGCAUGAUUUGCAGUCCAACCUUGGGCCCAAAUCGAAAUCACUGUUCUAACCUUGUGGGUCAACAUGUUCAUAAACUAAACCUUAGAUGGAAGUAUUUUACGAUCUGACAUUUUGAAAAACGUCAAAGGCCGUGGCGUUUUGGAACAACACAGAAACGAUGAGGUAGUUCGCGUUUCUGCCUUGACCCGCUGCCAGGCCGAGCACCCGUUGCUUACUGACGUGGCAGACCAGAAACGUCAACCCAUGCCGCGUUUCCGGAAACGCCAGGACCGUUGGCGUUUCUGAUGCUGAUAUUUUUGUGGUCGGCUGCUCUCACGAGUCACUCACCACUCAUUCACUUCUUUUCCAUUGGCUUUCCCGGAGCUCUUUCCCCUUUCCCCUUUUAUUCCCCUCGUUUGGACCCACUCAAACCCUUGCUGAUUGAUUGGAUUGGUCGUGGAUCCGGUGUCAUUUCCGUUCCUUGAGGUAAUCUCCUUCACCUCAUAAUUUUUUAUUGGUUGGAUUUGUCUAUUUGGAUUGUUUUGUUCAUAUGGUUCCUAACCCUAGUUUUGAACAUGGUUCUAUAAUAUGAUGUGGUUGAGUAUUGUUGUUUCAAUAGUGUUGCAUUGUGAUGUUGGUGGACAUACCUUAUUGUUUGGGUUAUCCCUAAUGUUAAGAUUUAGGGUUAGGAUUAGGGUUUGGGUAAUGCUUAAUUUGAAUGGACAAAGUGGUUUUAUUAGCAAUGUGGCAUAUUUAUUGUCCUUAUGUUUGGCUUUUCUAGAUGAAAAAUAUUGUGAAUAUCCAUUAUGGUAACAAAGAGACAUUCAUGAAUGUUGAUAUUGUUGACAAGUAUGCGAAAGUGUUGAUAUUUUUUGAGAGUCCUAGUUAUGAUGAGGUUGUGGAAGAAACAUGGACAAGAUUAAAGUGGGUUGAUGCAAGUGACCAAGUUGAAUUAGUAGGAAGAUAUGAUGUUGUGUCGGCAUAGAAGUGUCGAAUGAAGACAAUGCUUAUCAGCCCAAUUUGCAUUGGGUAAGAUAUAAGGAGGUUGUUGCAUCGUCGACAAUCAAUUCACUCGAAUUGUUUGCAAGUAAAUUGCUCAACGCUCCUAUUUUUCAAGUUGACUUAAAUCAAACCUUGGUAGAUGAUGUUGAGCAUAAAUUUGAAAUGCAAGCCAAUGAGAAUUCCCAAUAUGAGAUUCGAGGUUGUGCACCGAUUAAUGAUGAUGAUCGUGACUCCGAGGAAGAGUAUGAGAGGCAGCACAACAAUGUUGGUGACGUAGAGGCUCAAGUAAGGCAUAAGGACAUGGAUCCCGGCAUUAGCUAUCAACGUUCUUGUGUGGAUGACUCGGAUGAUGAAGGACCGGUGAAUGAGUUGGACGAGGAUGGCUUCACCGAGAAAGAUGCAGAGUGGUACACAAAAAUCAUCGGUAGGGAUCACAAAGUUCCCUUGUUUUGUGAUGUCAGCCUUGCAGAUAAGGCUAUAGUCGACGGUGGCAUGAGCAAGACAAUUGAGGCUAGACAGUUCCCAAGUAGUACGCCCGACGAGAUUUCAAUGUCUUACCUCAGGAAAGGUUUGAUGUUCGAGCACAUGCUAGAAUUCAAGAUGUGGUUGUGUGAGUAUGCUGUCAAAUACCACAUACCUUUCGUAGUUGUUCACUCGGACAACAAUAAGCGAUACGCCGUGAAAUGUGAGGUAGAAAGAUGCAAAUGGAAAGUCAAUGGAAUAAUCAUGAAAGAUAACUGGUGGAAGAUAACAGGUUACAAAGCCACUCACCAAUGCACACCGCCAACCGUAGAAGCACGGAAGACACAUCGUCAGCUAACCUCGCAAUUCAUCGCUUAUAAAUACCAAAAACAUAUAGCCGAGGAUCCAAGCAUAAAAGUGAAGUUGUUGAUGAGUUGGGUUGACGAUAUGUUUGGAUAUAAGGUCAAGUACGGGAAGACAUGAAAGGCCAAGCAAGUCGCUCUUAGAAUGCUAUAUGGUGGAUGGGAAGAGGUGUACAACAUGCUACCCCGGUUGUUGGGAGCGAUGUCCUAUAGAAAUCCAGGGAUGUACCAGUAUGUACAAGAUAUUGAAGGAGUGUUCCGUCAUGCCUUCUGGACGUUUGGACCAUGCAUUGCAGCUUUUGAGCAUUGUCGUCCAGUUUUGUCUGUAGAUGGAAUAUUCUUGACAAGCAAAUACAAGGGCACAAUCAUGAUAGCAAUGGCACAUGAUGCUAAUGAUCAGGUUUUGCCUGUGGCAUUUGCUUUGGUGUCUGUGGAGAACCAGGACAACUAGGAAUGGUUCAUGAGACUUCUGAGGAGCACGACCAUUCCUCCAAAUAGAGAGGCAUGCAUUAUAUCCGAUUGACACAAAGGCAUAUUGAAGGCUGUGUAUAUUCACAUUCCAGGACAUGCGAGGCUUCACCACCAAUGGUGUAUGAGGCACUUCGUUGCAAACUUUUACACGGCUUGUAAGAACAAGGAUCUUUGCAAGGAUCUUAACUCCGCAUGUGUAGUCUUCUCUUUUAAGUCGUUCACUACACGCUUGGACAAAAUCUAUGAGAAGGCUAACGAAGGUGGGAAAGAUUUCCUAGAAAGGAAUAUUGAUGAGAGACACAAGUGAUCACGGGCAUGUGAUGAAGGAGGCAUGAGAUAUGGAGACAUGAAAAGCAAUCUUGUUGAGCGCUUCAACUUUGUCUUGAAGGGUGCGUGUCAGUUGCCGGUGACGACAAUAGCGAAUAUACUUUUUACAAGCUAAAUGAGUAUUUUCUAAAGCACUCCGGUGAAAUCGACAAGUUGAUUGCUGAUAGUGAGAAGCCUCCCAAUGAGAUUUAUACGAAGAAGGUUGCCGAGUGGCUACAGUUUUAAAAAGACAAGCCAGCUAUACAGCGAGCCACUUGUUUCAAUAAUGUUGAAAUUAAAUACCAAGCCCAUGAGGCAAAGUGGCAAGAAAGUAAAGCGGCUAGGGUGCGGCAACGAUUCACGACCUUUUGCACAACGAAAUACAUUGACAUUUUAAUAUGCAAAAUUAGUUAUAAUGAAAGAAAUAACGAGUUCAUAUUAAGUAGGCCUCUUACCUGCAGGGUACUCCUAACAAGCACGUCUGUUUCUGGGCCAGGGGCACGACCAAGCACCACAUUACUAUCAUUGAUACAUCUCCAUAGCUCUGUACCGUGUGGCACACACACACCAUUCAUGAAGAAAUGACACAUGUUCAUAUUUCAAAAGAGAGACACAAGAUAGACAUACCACUCGGUCAUGCAGAGGGCCAUAAUCUAAGUGUGCUCCAAUGGUAUCCCUAAUAAAGUUGUUGAAUGCACCAUCAGCAGCCUCACUUGGCAUUAGGUCCAAGCAAUCGACACGAGUCCACACAUUGUUGUGGGUAACUCUGCACUCUUUGCGAAGCCACUCUAAAUGUCUUAAAUAUGCCCCCUCGUCGUUGUCGGGUGUGUGAUCAUUUUACACUCGAGCAUUCCACACGCCCACCCACAUAAGGUGGUGAUCCUCCCAAUUCGUGACAUUCUUGUUGUUUUGUCGGGUCAUCCUAAAAAGCGUGAGAAGAAUACAUCAGUUUUAUUUUUUCGUGUUACACAUCGAUCAACAUCUGUUACAAAAAAACUCUCACCUAUGUAGCUGCACACUUGUGUCAACAUAGUCCGACGGGGUGCGUUGUACUCCAAAUUGCUUUGAAACACGAUGUGGAAGAUGCCACUAGAGUGCGGAAAAGCAUAUCAAGGGGCACCGCUGUUGGCGUCAAAACCGGCAGAUCUCGGGUAUGGGGUCCCAAACUAUGGAUCUUAGAUCGUUGGGUUGCAGGAGAGAAGGGGAGACAAUGUUUACCCAGGUCCGGGUCCUCUUGGGGAGGUAAAACCCUACGUCUGCCUUGAUUAUAUUGAUGUGGAUGAUGAUUACAGAGUCUACCUUGAGAUCGUGUAUACUAAACCCCAAGUGAAGUAUUCCGCCUACAUGGACGAGGACCCCCGGUUUAUAUAGUUACCAAGAUGGCCUAGGGUUAGACGCAACCAACCUAGUCUACUUUUACUUGGUUGCCAUGCCAGUCUUUGGGGUUCUCCUCCUUGAAUAGGAGAUGAUCGCACAACCCGACCCAUCAUAGGCACAACCCAUUAGGCUGACCUCUUCGUAGUAAGCCGACUACCUGAGGACACCUUAAUUUCGGACUCCCUCAACCGCACACACCAAAGAUGUUGCUCACGAAAGCACAUAUUGAUCAAAGGGAACUGCCUAAGUACCAUGUAAGCCCUCCAAUUGACCUACAUCACAACAUGGUACUCGCUCAUGCACAAAGAAAAUCAGGAAUUAUGGCAGAGUAUUUGGAUAAUUACCUAAUUAUAACUCAGCAUAUCAAGCUCGCUUGUGUAUGCCUUGUAUCGCCCCAUGGCGGCGGUAAUUGACACUUGGACAUUAGCCCAUGUGUGUGCGAUAGUGGGGUACCACUCCUCAUCCGUGUCAAAAGGCCACUCCCAAGGUUCUUCCAGAGCGACGGUGACGUUGCGGCCUACACGGAUACGCUCCAAGAUCCAAAUGUGUAGGGCCCAAACGAAACCACCAAGACUAGAUAUCGUCUUACUCCUCAUACAUGCUCCGUCCAAUUACACAUUUGUACACGCGUUAUACGAUCACACGCAAACAUAUAUUUCAUAAAAUAAAAAUGCAUCAUAAUUAGCAUUACCUGUCGGUACAAGAAGUCUAUUGCCGCCGGCCUCCAACUCCACUUAACAUCCCAGUUACGGAGAGGAUCCAAGAACGUCCAUGAGGCUGUGUCCCCCGUGCCAUCCGGAAACACGACUUGGGUCAAAAGAUUCUAUAAGUAAGUCUUGGUGUACCUCUCCACAACACCCGGACUGACAUCCUGUGGGCACUAUUCAAAAUGUUGUCGUAGCCACGAGUACAACCCACCGGAUGGCCUAGGGUCCUUUUUGGUUUCAUGAAUCCACGGUGGUGGUUCAACCCCAACCAAUCCCGCAACCCGUUGUCGCCACCCCUCAGACUUUACCUUCCCGUUAAGAGCCCCGCCCUUGAUCGGUAGCCCGAAGAUCCACAAUAUAUUCCAAAGUGAUGAUCAUCUCACCAAGAGCAAGGUGGAAAGAGUGCGUCUCUAGCCUCCAAAGGUCCGUAAGGGCGGUAAUUGUUGGGGAACGUCGCAUGGGAAACAAAAAUAUUCCUACGCGCACGAAGACCUAUCAUGGUGAUGUCCAUCUACGAGAGGGGAUGAGUGAUCUACGUACCCUUGUAGACCAUACAGCAGAAGCGUUAGAGAACGCGGUUGAUGUAGUGGAACGUCCUCACGUCCCUCGAUCCACCCCGCGAACAAUCCCGCGAUCAGUCCCACGAUCUAGUACCGAACGGACGGCACCUCCGCGUUCAGCACAUGUACAGCUCGACGAUGAUCUCGGCCUUCUUGAUCCAGCAAGAGAGACGGAGAGGUAGAAGAGUUCUCCGGCAGCGUGACGGCGCUCCGGAGGUUGGUGAUGACCUUGUCUCAGCAGGGCUCCGCCCGAGCUCCGCAGAAACGCGAUCUAGAGGAAAAACCGUGGAGGUAUGUGGUCGGGCUGCCGUGGAAAAGUCGUCUCAAAUCAGCCCUAAAACCUCCGUAUAUAUAGGUGGGAGGGAGGGGGCCUUUCCUUGGGGUCCAAGGACCCUCAAGGGGGUCGGCCGAGCCAAGGGGGAGGACUCUCCCCCCCCAAACCGAGUUGGACUAGGUUUGGUGGGAGGGAGUCCUCCUCCCUUCCCACCUCCUCCCUUUUUUUUUCCUCUUGAUUUUUCUUCUCUUGGCGCAUAGACCACUUGUGGGCUGUCCCACCAGCCCACUAAGGGUUGGUGUGUCUCCCCAAGGCCUAUGGGCUUCCCCGGGGUGGGUUGCCCCCCCCCCCGGUGAACCCCCGGAACCCAUUCGUCAUUCCCGGUACAUUCCCGGUAACUCUGAAAACCUUCCGGUAAUCAAAUGAGGUCAUCCUAUAUAUCAAUCUUCGUUUCCGGACCAUUCCACCCUCGUGACGUCCGUGAUCUCAUCCGGGACUCCGAACAACAUUCGGUAACCAACCAUAUAACUCAAAUACGCAUAAAACAACGUCGAACCUUAAGUGUGCAGACCCUGCGGGUUCGAGAACUAUGUAGACAUGACCCGAGAGACUCCUCGGUCAAUAUCCAAUAGCGGGACCUGGAUGCCCAUAUUGGAUCCUACAUAUUCUACGAAGAUCUUAUCGUUUGAACCUCAGUGCCAAGGAUUCGUACAAUCCCGUAUGUCAUUCCCUUUGUCCUUCGGCAUGUUACUUGCCCGAGAUUCGAUCGUCAGUAUCCGCAUACCUAUUUCAAUCUCGUUUACCGGCAAGUCUCUUUACUCGUUUCGUAAUACAAGAUCCCGCAACUUACACUAAGUUACAUUGCUUGCAAGGCUUGUGUGUGAUGUUGUAUUACCGAGUGGGCCCCGAGAUACCUCUCCGUCACACGGAGUGACAAAUCCCAGUCUUGAUCCAUACUAACUCAACUAACACCUUCGGAGAUACCUGUAGAGCAUCUUUAUAGUCACCCAGUUACGUUGCGACGUUUGAUACACACAAAGCAUUCCUCCGGUGUCAGUGAGUUAUAUGAUCUCAUGGUCAUAGGAAUAAAUACUUGACACGCAGAAAACAGUAGCAACAAAAUGACACGAUCAACAUGCUACGUAUAUUAGUUUGGGUCUAGUCCAUCACGUGAUUCUCCCAAUGACGUGAUCCAGUUAUCAAGCAACAACACCUUGUUCAUAAUCAGAAGACACUGAUUAUCAUCGAUCAACUGGCUAGCCAACUAGAGGCAUGCUAGGGACGGUGUUUUGUCUAUGUAUCCACACAUGUAAAUGAGUCUUCAUUCAAUACAAUUAUAGCAUGGAUAAUAAACUAUUAUCUUGAUACAGGAAUUAUAAUAAUAACUAUAUAUUUAUUAUUGCCUCUAGGGCAUAAUUCCAACAGACUCCCACUUGCACUAGAGUCAAUAAUCUAGCCCUCACAUCACCAUGUGAAUUACAUUGUAAUAAAUAUAACACCCAUACAGUUCUGGUGUCGAUCAUGUUUUGGCCGUGGAAGAGGUUUAGUCAGCGGGUCUGCUACAUUCAGAUCCGUGUGCACUUUGCAUAUAUUUACGUCCUCUUCCUCGACGUAGUCGCGGAUGAGGUUGAAGCGUCGUUUGAUGUGUCUGGUCUUCUUGUGAAACCGUGGUUCCUUCGCUAAGGCAAUGGCACCCGUGUUGUCACAGAACAAGGUUAUUGGAUCCAGUGCACUUGGCACCACUCCAAGAUCCGUCAUGAACUGCUUCAUCCAGACACCCUCCUUAGCCGCCUCCGAGGCAGCCAUGUACUCCGCUUCACAUGUAGAAUCUGCUACGACGCUUUGCUUGGAACUGCACCAGCUUACUGCACCCCCAUUAAGAAUAAAUACGUAUCCGGUUUCGACUUUGAGUCGUCCGGAUCUGUGUCAAAGCUUGCAUCGACGUAACCUUUUACGGCAAGCUCUUUGUCACCUCCAUACACGAGAAACAUCUCCUUAGUCCUUUUCAGGUACUUCAGGAUAUUUUUGACUGCUGUCCAGUGAUCCACUCCUGGAUUACUCUGGAACGUACCUGCCAUACUUAUGGGUAGGCUAACAUCCGGUCUAGUGCACAGCAUCGCAUACAUGAUAGAACCUAUGGCUGAAGCAUAGGGGACGGAGCGCAUAUGCUCUCUAUCUUCAUCAGUUGCUGGGCACUGAGUCUUACUCAAUCUCGUACCUUGUAAAACUGGCAAGAACCCUUUCUUGGACUGUUCCAUUUUGAACCUCUUCAAAACUUUAUCAAGGUAUGUGCUUUGUGAAAGUCCUAUCAGGCGUUUUGAUCUAUCCCUAUAGAUCUUAAUGCCUAGAAUGUAAGCAGCUUCUCCUAGGUCCUUCAUAGAGAAACUUUUAUUCAAGUAACCUUUUACGCUCUCCAAAAGCUCUACGUUGUUUCCAAUCAGUAAUAUGUCAUCCACAUAUAAUAUUAGAAACGCCACAGAGCUCCCACUCACUUUCUUGUAAAUACAAGAUUCUCCAACCACUUGUAUAAACCCAAAUGCCUUGAUCACCUCAUCAAAGCGUUUGUUCCAACUCCGAGAUGCUUGCACCAGUCCAUAAAUGGAUCGCUGGAGCUUGCACACCUUGUUAGCAUUCUUAGGAUCGACAAAACCUUCGGGUUGCAUCAUAUACAACUCUUCCUUAAGGAAACCGUUAAGGAACGCCGUUUUGACAUCCAUCUGCCAGAUUUCAUAAUCGAAAAAUGCAGCUAUUGCUAACAUGAUUCUGACGGACUUAAGCAUCGCUACGGGUGAGAAAGUCUCAUCGUAGUCAACUCCUGGAACUUGUGAAAAACCCUUUGCCACAAGUCGAGCUUUAUAAACGGUCACAUUACCGUCAGCGUCCGUCUUCUUCUUAAAGAUCCAUUUGUUCUGAAUAGCCUUGCGGCCCUCAGGUAGUAUCUCCAAAGUCCACACUUUGUUCUCAUACAUGGAUCCUAUCUCGGAUUUCAUGGCUUCUAGCCAUUUGUUGGAAUCUGGGCCCACCAUUGCUUCUUCAUAAUUUGCAGGUUCAUUGUUGUCUAACAACAUGAUUGACAAGACGGGAUUACCGUACCACUCUGGAGCAGCGCGUGAUCUCGUCGACCUGCGUGGUUCAACAGAAACUUGAACUGGAGUUUCAUGAUCAUCAUCAUUAACUUCCUCCUCAACCGGCGUCACAACGACAGAUGUUUCCCCUUGCCCUGCGCCACUACCCAGAGGGAUGAGAGGUUCGACAACCUCGUCAAGUUCUAUCUUCCUCCCACUCAAUUCUCUCGAGAGAAACUCCUUCUCGAGAAAAGCUCCGUUCUUAGCAACAAACACUUUGCCCUCGGAUUUGAGAUAGAAGGUGUACCCAACUGUCUCUUUUGGGUAACCUAUGAAGACGCAUUUCUCCGCUUUGGGUUCCAGCUUUUCACGCUGAAGCUUUUUGACAUAAGCAUCACAUCCCCAAACUUUAAGAAACGACAACUUUGGCCUUUUGCCAUACCACAGUUCGUAUGGUGUCGUCUCAACAGAUUUUGAUGGUGCCCUAUUUAAAGUGAAUGCAACUGUUUCUAAUGCAUAACCCCAAAAUGAUAACGGCAAAUCAGUAAGAGACAUCAUAGAUCGCACCAUCUCUAACAAAGUACGAUUACGACGUUCGGACACACCAUUACGCUGUGGUGUUCCAGGCGGUGUUAACUGCGAAACAAUUCCAUAUUGUCUUAAGUGAGCACCAAACUUGAAACUCAAAUAUUCACCCCCAUGAUCAGACCGUAGGAACUUGAUCUUCUUGUUACGAUGAUUUUCCACUUCACUCUGAAAUUGCUUGAACUUUUCAAAUGUUUCAGACUUGUGCUUCAUCAAGUAGACAUAACCAUAUCUACUUAAAUCGUCAGUGAAGGUGAGAAAAUAACGAUAUCCACCGCGUGCCUCUACGCUCAUUGGACCACACACAUCGGUAUGUAUGAUUUCCAACAAGUCACUUGCACGCUCCAUUGUUCCGGAGAACGGAGUCUUAGUCAUCUUGCCCAUGAGGCAUGGUUCGCACGUGUCAAGUGAAUCAAAGUCAAGUGACUCCAAAAGUCCAUCAGCAUGGAGUUUCUUCAUGCGCUUUACACCAAUAUGACCCAAGCGGCAGUGCCACAAAAAUAUGGCGCUAUCAUUGUUUACUCUAACUCUUUUGGUCUCAAUGUUAUGUAUAUGCGUAUCGCUAUCAAGAUUCAAUAUGAAGAAUCCUCUCACAUUCGGUGCAUGACCAUAAAAGAUGUUACUCAUAGAAAUAGAACAACCAUUAUUCUCAGACUUAAAAGAGUAACCGUCUCGCAAUAAACAAGAUCCAGAUAUAAUGUUCAUGCUCAACGCAGACACUAAAUAACAAUGAUUUAAGUUCAUCACUAAUACCGAUGGUAGCUGAAGUGACACUGUGCCGACGGCGAUUGCAUCAACCUUGGAACCAUUUCCCACGCGCAUCGUCACUUCGUCUUUCGUCAGCCUUCGUCUAUUUCGCAGUUCCUGCUUCGAGUUGCAAAUGUGAGAAACAGAACCGGUAUCAAAUACCCAGGCACUACUACGAGAGCCGGUUAAGUACACAUCAAUAACAUGUAUGUCAAAUAUACCUGAUUUUUCUUUGCCCGCCUUCUUAUCUGCCAGAUACUUGGGGCAAUUGCGCUUCCAGUGACCCAUACCUUGCAAUAGAAGCACUCUGUUUCAGGCUUAGGUCCAGCCUUGGGUUUCUUCGGCGGAUUGGCAACAGGCUUGCCGCUCUUCUUCGAAUUUCCCUUCUUGCCUUUGCCGUUUCUCUUGAAACUAGUGGUCUUGAUCACCAUCAACACUUGAUGCUCUUUACGGAGUUCAGACUCUGCGACUUUCAGCAUCGCAAACAACUCGCCGGGAGACUUGUUCAUCCCUUGCAUGUUGUAGUUCAACACAAAGCCUUUAUAGCUUGGCGGUAGUGAUUGAAGGAUUCUGUCAGUGAUAGCUUCUUGCGGGAGUUCAAUCCCCAGCUCUGCUAGACGGUUUGAGUACCGAGACAUUUUGAGCACAUGUUCACUGACAGACGAGUUUUCCUCCAUCUUGCAAGCAUAGAAUUUAUCGGAGGUCUCAUACCUCUCGAUCCGGGCGUUCUUCUGAAAGAUAAACUCCAACUCUUGGAACAUCUCAAAUGCUCCAUGACGCUCAAAGCGACGUUGAAGUCCCGGUUCUAAGCCAUACAAGACUGCACAUUGAACUAUUGAGUAGUCCUCCUUACGUGCUAACCAAGCGUUCUUAACAUCCUGAUCAGCCGUAGCGGGUGGUUCAUCUCCUAGCGCAGCAUUAAGGACAUAAUCCUUCUUCCCAGCUUGUAAGAUUAGCUUAAGAUUACGAGCCCAGUCUACAAAGUUGCUUCCAUCAUCUUUCAACUUAGCUUUCUCUAGGAACGUAUUAAAAUUCAGGAUGACUGUCGCGUGAGCCAUGAUCUACAACACAAAUAUAUUCAAAGUGGACUUAGACUAUGUUCAAGAUAAUUAGAGUUCAACUUAAUCAAAUUAUAUGCUAAACUCCCACUCAAAAAGUACAUCUCUCUAGUCAUUUGAGUGGUUCAUGAUCCACUUACACUAUCCCAAGUCCGAUCAUCACGUGAGUUGAGUAUAGUUUCAGUGGUAAGCAUCCCUAUGCUAAUCAUAUCAACUAUAUGAUUCAUGAUCGACCUUUCGGUCUCAUGUGUUCCGAGGCCAUGUCUGCACAUUCUAGGCUCGUCAAGCUUAACCCGAGUGUUCCGCGUGCGCAACUGUUUUGCACCCGUUGUAUGUGAAAGUUGAGUCUAUCACACCCGAUCAUCACGUGGUGUCUCGAAACGACGAACUGUACCAACGGUGCACAGUCGGGGAGAACACAAUUUCGUCUUGAAAUUUUAGUGAGAGAUCACCUCAUAAUGCUACCGUCGUUCUAAGCAAAAUAAGGUGCAUAAAAGGAUUAAAAUAACAUGCAAUUCAUAAGUGACAUGAUAUGGCCAUCAUCACGUGCUUCUUGAUCUCCAUCACCAAAGCACCGGCACGAUCUUCUUGUCACCGGCGCCACACCAUGAUCAUCUAUCAACGUGUUGCCAUCGGGGUUGUCGUGCUACUUAUGCUAUUACUACUAAAGCUACAUCCUAGCAAAAUAGUAAACGCAUCUGCAAGCACAAACGUUAGUAUAAAGACAACCCUAUGGCUCCUGCCGGUUGCCGUACCAUCGACGUGCAAGUUGAUAUUUCUAUUACAACAUGAUCAUCUCAUACAUCCAAUAUAUCACAUCACAUCGUUGGCCAUAUCACAUCACAAUCAUACCCUGCAAAAACAAGUUAGACGUCCUCUAAUUUUGUUGUUGCAUGUUUUACGUGGUGACCAAGGGCAUCUAGUAGGAUCGCAUCUUACUUACGUAAACACCACAUCGGAGAUAUAUGAGUUGCUAUUUAACCUCAUCCAAGGACCUCCUCGGUCAAAUCCGAUUCAACUAAAGUUGGAGAAACCGUCACUUGCCAGUCAUCUUUGAGCAAAGGGGGUUACUCGUAACGAUGAAACCAGUCUCUCGUAAGCGUACGAGUAAUGUCGGUCCAAGCCGCUUCAAUCCAACAAUACCGCGGAAUCAAGAAAAGACUAAGGAGGGAAGCAAAACGCACAUCACCGCCCACAAAAACUUUUGUGUUCUACUCGAGAAGACAUCUACGCAUGAACCUAGCUCAUGAUGCCACUGUUGGGGAACGUCGCAUGGGAAACAAAAAUUUUCCUACGCGCACGAAGACCUAUCAUGGUGAUGUCCAUCUACGAGAGGGGAUGAAUGAUCUACGUACCCUUGUAGACCGUACAUCAGAAGCGUUAGAGAACACGGUUGAUGUAGUGGAACGUCCACACGUCCCUCGAUCCGCCCCGCGAACAAUCCCGCGAUCAGUCCCACGAUCUAGUACCGAACGGACGGCACCUCCGCGUUCAGCACACGUACAGCUCGACGAUGAUCUCGGCCUUCUUGAUCCAGCAAGAGAGACGGAGAGGUAGAAGAGUUCUCCGGCAGCGUGACGGCGCUCCGGAGGUUGGUGAUGACCUUGUCUCAGCAGGGCUCCGCCCGAGCUCCGCAGAAACGCGAUCUAGAGGAAAAACCGUGGAGGUAUGUGGUCGGGCUGCCGUGGAAAAGUCGUCUCAAAUCAGCCCUAAAACCUCCGUAUAUAUAGGUGGGAGGGAGGGGGCCUUUCCUUGGGGUCCAAGGACCCUCAAGGGGGUCGGCCGAGCCAAGGGGGAGGACUCUCCCCCCCCCCAAACCGAGUUGGACUAGGUUUGGUGGGAGGGAGUCCUCCUCCCUUCCCACCUCCUCCCUUUUUUUUUUCUUUUCCUCUUGAUUUUUCUUCUCUUGGCGCAUAGACCACUUGUGGGCUGUCCCACCAGCCCACUAAGGGCUGGUGUGUCUCCCCAAGGCCUAUGGGAUUCCCCGGGGUGGGUUGCCCCCCCCCCUGAACCCCCGGAACCCAUUCGUCAUUCCCGGUACAUUCCCGGUAAGUCUGAAAACCUUCCGGUAAUCAAAUGAGGUCAUCUUAUAUAUCAAUCUUCGUUUCCGGACCAUUCCGAAAACCCUCGUGACGUCCGUGAUCUCAUCCGGGACUCCGAACAACAUUCGGUAACCAACCAUAUAACUCAAAUACGCAUAAAACAACGUCGAACCUUAAGUGUGCAGACCCUGCGGGUUCGAGAACUAUGUAGACAUGACCCGAGAGACUCCUCGGUCAAUAUCCAAUAGCGGGACCUGGAUGCCCAUAUUGGAUCCUACAUAUUCUACGAAGAUCUUAUCGUUUGAACCUCAGUGCCAAGGAUUCGUACAAUCCCGUAUGUCAUUCCCUUUGUCCUUCGGUAUGUUACUUGCCCGAGAUUCGAUCGUCAGUAUCCGCAUACCUAUUUCAAUCUCGUUUACCGGCAAGUCUCUUUACUCGUUUCGUAAUACAAGAUCCCGCAACUUACACUAAGUUACAUUGCUUGCAAGGCUUGUGUGUGAUGUUGUAUUACCGAGUGGGCCCCGAGAUACCUCUCCGUCACACGGAGUGACAAAUCCCAGUCUUGAUCCAUACUAACUCAACUAACACCUUCGGAGAUACCUGUAGAGCAUCUUUAUAGUCACCCAGUUACGUUGCGACGUUUGAUACACACAAAGCAUUCCUCCGGUGUCAGUGAGUUAUAUGAUCUCAUGGUCAUAGGAAUAAAUACUUGACACGCAGAAAACAGUAGCAACAAAAUGACACGAUCAACAUGCUACGUAUAUUAGUUUGGGUCUAGUCCAUCACGUGAUUCUCCCAAUGACGUGAUCCAGUUAUCAAGCAACAACACCUUGUUCAUAAUCAGAAGACACUGAUUAUCAUCGAUCAACUGGCUAGCCAACUAGAGGCAUGCUAGGGACGGUGUUUUGUCUAUGUAUCCACACAUGUAAAUGAGUCUUCAUUCAAUACAAUUAUAGCAUGGAUAAUAAACUAUUAUCUUGAUACAGAAAUUAUAAUAAUAACUAUAUAUUUAUUAUUGCCUCUAGGGCAUAAUUCCAACAGUAAUGGCUACCGAUUUCAUCCAUGGUGGUGUGCCUUUAAACUUGAGCACAAACUGAAGAAGAUCCCUUCUUCUAAAAACAGGCUCGUAGCGACGGUCAUACAUGAGAGAUCCAAGCGGGUUGUGACUCCUCAACCGAAGAACUCAUGGAACCUAAAUAAACAAAAACAAAAUUUUGUUACUUUCUCAACUUGUCACAGUGUGAAAAGCAAACAAUGUAGAUACAUAAGUACCUCCCCUUUUUCCACUAGCACAGCACGAUGCUUCUUCUCGUAAUAAUCAUCCAGGCCAUGAUAUUUAUCCGGCUCGAACAUCCUACAUAAUAAGUUUAGGAAUUAACAUAAGAAGUUUAGCAACAAACAAAUCACAAGGAAAUCAUAAAUAUUAGGAUUCAACGUAAUACAUUUCUAAAGAUUCAUCAUGUUUCAGCAUGAAGAAUAAUCUUAGGUUUAACAUGAUAAGUUUAGCAAAAAAUAAAUCACAAACAACCAAUUUUAGGGUUUCACUACAACAAUCAAUCUUGAGUGGAAAAAAAUGAAGGAACGAAAGGAGAAUACCUCAAGCAACUUCGGGACAGUCCGAUCUGCCCUUUUUGAUAGCAAAAAGGGGGGGGGGGGGGGGGAGAUUUGGUGGAGGAGGAGAGAUGGGCGGAGAGCAGUUCGUCUCUGUCGGGUGAGGAAGAAGAUGGGGGCUGGACACCUGCGACCUGUGCGGCUCUCUUAAUCCAGGUCAAAAACGCCAACGACCCUCGCGUUUCCAGCAACGCAGCAUGGGUUGGUGUUUCUGGCUUGCCACGUCAGCACGCAACGCGUGAUUGGCCUAGCAGUGGGCCAAUGUAGAAACGUGACCCACCUCGACGUUUCUACACGCAAACUAACUCGGCGUUUCUAUAUUGUUCCGAAACGUCACCGCCUUUGACGUUUCAAGAAAGAUGAAAUCGUGAAAUACUUCGGUCUCGUAUUCAGUUUGUGAACAUGUUGACCCACAAGGUUAAAACAGUGAUGUCGGCCCCAACCUUGCAGCACUCGCUUCAUCAGUAACAAACUAACAAGUGCUCGACUGCGACCCGUGCAUUAUAAUGUAAUACUCCCUCCGUCUCAAAAUAAGUGUCUCAAGCUUAGUACAACUUUGUACUAAAGCUAGUACAAAGUUGAGACAAUUAUUUUGGGACGGAGGGAGUAGUAUUUUUAUCCGAGAAAGAACGUACGCGAUGUACGCUGUACUUUUUCUAUCCUUCUGAAACAAAUGUACCAUGUACAUAAUUGAAACAUGCGUUUAAUACCGCCGCCCCUAGGACGCAGUACUACACAACCUGCCAGUCCAUGUACAAAUGCCGUAUCCAUAAACCGGGUAGCUUUCGGUGGACUGCCUUUGAGUGCAGCCACCGGCCGGGGAACCAGUUGCCGCGGCCGUACGCGCGUACAUCAUGUAGCAUCGGCGGUACGGUACGGCGAUAUGCGAAAGUGUUCAUAAGAAUAUGAGUACAUAUGUACAUUUAUGGAGACGAAUGUAUGCGCAUAUAUAUAAACGUUUGUAGUAUUUGUUUAGUAUUAAAAAAAUAUGUCUGUGCCCGCCACUGCCUUAACUUGGCUACCGUCCAUGGGAUGAUCUUCUCCUUGUCCUCCCACAAAGAUCACACUGGGCCAGUGGUCGGUUGUACUCGUCUCUUGGUCUUGACUAUUCCACGUUGUUGUUUUGCUGAGAGGAGUUAAAAGAAAGACAAUGGGCAAUGUGAUUUCCGUUCCAAAACAAUGGUUUAUAUUACAAUUUUUUGAUAAACAAUGGUUUACAUUCUUCUUUGAUCUUCUACCAGGUGAAAAUGACAAGAAGUCUACGCGUGAUAGUAGUAAACAUUGUGAAGCCAAAGUCUACUUGAGGACGAGGAAUGUUCCAAGAAGCACGGUACCCUGGCCUGUUGAAUUCUUUUUCUUCGCAACCUAAGGAACUGUUCCAACAAAACUGGUGUACUAUUACUACUACUACUUUUCCACAAACCAAUCAGUUCAGCAUAUCCGACCAUGACAUUCCAGAAGAUCGACAGAGAAUCAGAUAGAAUCAAGGAUCACAUCUAAACAGCCGCAUCAUUCCACACACUAAUCUACAUGUCCAAUCCUAACAAUCUCUUCCUUAUGCGCGUGUUUAUCUCUUCCAAUUUAAUCCAGUACUGCACGUCAAUUCACACUAGCAUGAACAAUAAGGGCAACUUCAACCAGCCGACCCAAACGGACAAUGAUUUCGUCCGUUUGGGUCGUCCAAGCGGACACGAACGUCCGUUUUGGCAAAUGGGUCGCCUCGUGCGACCAACGCUGACCGGAUCUAUUUUUGCUGACAAGAAAAAAACAUUAAACAUAAUUAAACAUUAAAAGCUGGUCACGAAGGCCGGCAAUAGUCAACGCGUCGCGUCCGCAUUACAUUAAAUAAAAAAAACUAAAACUGCAUCCAUACAGCCCUAGGCGGCGGCGGCGUCGUCGUCGGGGCCGGUCAGGUUGACCAGUGUUGGCGCAGGGCCGGCCCAGGGAAACGUCGAGUUCCAGAGCGCAGCUGCCUGCGCCUCCGUCGUCUACCCUGCCGGCGCGAGCUGUGGUGGUGGCGGUGGCAGCGCAGCAGCGCGAGCACGCUCCUCCNNNNNNNNNNNNNNNNNNNNNNNNNNNNNNNNNNNNNNNNNNNNNNNNNNNNNNNNNNNNNNNNNNNNNNNNNNNNNNNNNNNNNNNNNNNNNNNNNNNNNNNNNNNNNNNNNNNNNNNNNNNNNNNNNNNNNNNNNNNNNNNNNNNNNNNNNNNNNNNNNNNNNNNNNNNNNNNNNNNNNNNNNNNNNNNNNNNNNNNNNNNNNNNNNNNNNNNNNNNNNNNNNNNNNNNNNNNNNNNUCCUUCUCCAGCUCCAUGAGUCGCAGGCCUUCGGCGCGCUCCGCCUGCAGGUGCACCGACCUCCAGUGCUCGAGGUAGGCCUGCUCCUGCUCCGGUGUCGCGCCCAGCCAGAAGGGGGGCGCGCUGACGAACUCAUGGACGACGCCGGGACCAGGAGCGAAGCAUAUUGGUCCCUGUUCGUGUCUGGAACCGGGACCGAAUGUGACAAACGAACCGGGACAAAUGGCCCACGAGGCCCGACCGGCGCCGUGGCCUCACGAACCGGGACCUAGGCCCACAUGGGUCCCGGUUCGUGGGUGAACCGUGCCUAAUGGGAUUUCAUCAAGUGGACCAAAGCCCUCUUUUCUACUAGUGAGAUUAGAAUCUCUCAAGUCAUUGGUACCAAAACAACGCCCUUGUAAUCGAGAUCAUCAUCAUCAUCACAAUAGCAAUCAAGCAUGAUGUAGGCUUCUACCUCCAUUGCAAGGGGCCGAACCUGGGUAAAACUCGUGUCUAACGAUUCCGACCAACCCUGUUCAAGUUACCACCUAGUUGUGAUGGCCUCACAACUUAAUCCUUUCACGUGGGCAUAUGCCAUGACAAAACCACGACUUUAUGCGUCCGUGCGGUGAGGUCGAGGUCCAGCUGGGUUGCCAUAGGUGGUUGCAUAGGUCAUCGAUGCGGCCAUGGCUGCUCUGGCGGCUCGUAACUUGUGUCAUCAAAUGGAUAGACUUCGGUGACCACGGACAUGGUGGCGUGCGAGCUUGAUUGUCCAUGGUAAGGGACUUGCUCAACAAUGGUAGCAUGUCAGCUACAGAGUUGUAUCCCUCCUGGUCCACCAAGAUUGAUCGGGAACGCAUGAGUGGGUGCCUCCUACAUGUGGAGGCGCUCACCCAAACUCCAUGGUUGAUGCCAGGCUAGGAGUGGAGGGGGUGUCUCUGCUCGCCCUAGCGUGGUUGAAUGCACUAUGAAGUGUGUGGUGUACAAUGUCUCGUGACACGUAUGUCGGGGUGGUGGUCUUGGAUGGCAGGCUUCAUGGUUGGCUUUCUAGCAGUCUUCGUGGUAGCGGUGGUGAUUUCACCUCUUGGCCGUGUGGGCGUCAAGCAAGGUUCUCACAAUUGUGAUUUUAUUGUAUGAUUCUAUGACUUUAGGAUCUAAACUAUCCACUCUCUUUCUACGAAUUUACUGAGUAGAAUCUACAUUUUUUCGAUUUUGAUAACCGAGAUUCUAAAAUUUGUGAUCCUAUCGUUGGAGCUUCGAUCCGAUUCAGAAUCAUGAUUUGCACGACCUUAGCGACAAGGGUGUAGUAGCGACACGACCUCGAUGUGGUGGUGGUGGUGGUGAGUAUCCGAGCCAAAUCUCACGUUUCUGGUGCUGAUGGGGUCCAUGGGUAUGACUUGCUUCGUGAAGACAUCAUCGUGGGUCUUGUCCUGUCAUGGCUCUAGGUGCAAACCUGUGUCUGCUCGGACUUUGCAGCGGCAUCACUCUAUGUCGUCAUCCUCUUGGGUGAUGGGGAACGUCGCAUGGUAAACAAAAAAUUUCCUACGCGCACGAAGACCUAUCAUGGUGAUGUCCAUCUACAAGAGGGGAUUUCCGAUCUACGUACCCUUGUAGAUUGCACAGCAGAAGCGUUAAGAAACGCGGUUGAUGUAGUGGAACGUCGUCACGUCCCUCGAUCCGCCCCGCGAACCGUCCCACGAACCGUCCCACGAUCCGCUCCGAUCUAGUGCCGAACGGACGACACCUCCGCGUUCAGCACACGUACAGCUCGACGAUGAUCUCGGCCUUCUUGAUCCAGCAAGAGAGACGGAGAGGUAGAUGAGUUCUCCGGCAGCGUGACGGCGCUCCGGAGGUUGGUGGUGAUCUAAUCUCAGCAGGGCUCCGCCCGAGCUCCGCGGAAACGCGAUCUAGAGGUAAAAUCGUGGAGGUAUGUGGUCGGGCUGCCGUGGCAAAAGUUGUCUCAAAUCAGCCCUAAAACCCCACUAUAUAUAGGAGGGCCCCCCCCGGGGAGGAGGCAGCCUCAAAACCUAAAGGUUUGGCCGAAAUUGGAGGUGGAGGAGUCCUACUCCAAUCCUACUUGGAGUAGGAUUCCACCUUCCCACUUGGAAACUCUUUCCACCUUGUGUUUUUUCCUUCUCAAACCUUAUGGGCCUUAGUGGGAACUUAUUCCAGCCCACUAGGGGCUGGUUUAUCUCUUCCCAUAGCCCAUGAGACCCCUUGGGGCGUGACACCCCUCCUGAUGGUCCCCGGCACCCCUCCCGGCACUCCCAGUACACUACCGAUGAGCCCGAAACUUUUCCGGUAAUGCACGAAAACCUUCCGGUAACCAAAUGAGGUCAUCCUAUAUAUCAAUCUUUGUUUCCGGACCAUUCCGGAAACACUCGUGACGUCCAUGAUCUCAUCCAGGACUCCGAACAACAUUCGGUAACCAACCAUAUAACUCAAAUACGCAUAAAACAACGUCGAACCUUAAGUGUGCAGACCCUGCGGGCUCGAGAACUUUGUAGACAUGACCCGAGUGACUCCUCGGUCAAUAUCCAAUAACGGGACCUGGAUGCCCAUAUUGGAUCCUACAUAUUCUACGAAGAUCUUAUCGUUUGAACCUCAGUGCCAAGGAUUCAUAUAAUCCCGUAUGUCAUUCCCUUUGUCCUUCGGUAUGUUACUUGCCCGAGAUUUGAUCGUCAGUAUCCGCAUACCUAUUUCAAUCUCGUUUACCGGCAAGUCUCUUUACUCGUUCCGUAAUACAAGAUCCCGCAACUUAAACUAAGUCACAUAGCUUGCAAGGCUUGUGUGUGAUGUUGUAUUACCGAGUGGGCCCCGAGAUACCUCUCCGUCAUACGGAGUAACAAAUUCGAGUCUCGAUCCAUACUAACUCAACGAACACCUUCGGAGAUACCUGUAGAGCAUCUUUAUAGUCACCCAGUUACGUUGCGACGUUUGAUACACACAAAGCAUUCCUCCAGUGUAAGUGAGUUAUAUGAUCUCAUGGUCAUAGGAACAAAUACUUGACAUGCAGAAAACAGUAGCAACAAAAUGACACGAUCAACAUGCUACGUCUAUUAGUUUGGGUCUAGUCCAUCACAUGAUUCUCCUAAUGAUGUGAUCCCGUUAUCAACUAACAACACUUGCCUAUGGCCAGGAAACCUUGACCAUCUUUGAUCAACGAGCUAGUCAACUAGAGGCUUACUAGGGACAGUGUUUUGUCUAUGUAUCCACACAAGUAUUGUGUUUCCAAUCAAUACAAUUAUAGCAUGGAUAAUAAACGAUUAUCAUGAACAAAGAAAUAUAAUAAUAACUAAUUAUUAUUGCCUCUAGGGCAUAUUUCCAACAUUGGGGGCAUGGACGUGGAGCCAUGAGUCUCCUGUCGGGCCGUAGAGAGGUGUUAGCCUUGUUCUAGGUCUAUCUUGUAUCUUGCGACCUGCUUUAUAAGGGUGCCUCCCACUGAAAAGACCUCGAUGACUCCUAGAAGGGGGGGGGGUGGGUGGGUGAAUAGGCUAUUUAAAAACUUCUUCGGAUUUGGGUUGAACCUAAUGCGGAAAUAAACUAAGAGGGUACUUGUCAAGCACAAAUCCUAAAUGCACUAGCCACUACAACGUGUAUCAACAACUCGAUCUACAAAGAUGGACACAAUACAGUUACUAACAAGCACAAGUAAGUUACACAAACUUACUUGAGCUAUAUCACAUGACAAGUAGGUGAACGACACAAGAUACUAGAUCACACUAUAUCACACGAUAUAUCAAAAGCUGUAAGUGUGAACAUGUGGAUAUAGAGGGUAUGCUUGAAUGAUUAAUCUUGUACAAGAAAUAGCCAACACAAUAUAAUGAGCACAAACAAUAUGCAAUGUAUGUAUGCUCAAGUAACACAAGUAAACCACAAGUAAGGAGUUAGGGUUAAGGAUAACCAAGGUCACUGAGACGAAAAUGUAUCCCGAUGUUCACUUCCUUGGAGGGAAGCUAGUCACCGUUAGAGAGGUGGAUGUUACCACGAAGGCACACCAACGCCACGAAGGCUCACCCUAUUCUCCCUUUGAGAUAACACCACGAAGGCGUUUCUCAACCACUAGUGGUAAGCCUUUGAGGUGGCUUCCAAACCCUCACAAACUUUUCCGGGGGAAAUCACACAGAUUGAUUCCUCUCCGAAGAACUCCUACCGCCUAGGAGUCUCCAACCUCCAAGAGUAACAAGAUCACGGGGAAUGCUCAAAACUUGCUCAAAUCUCAAAUAGCUUGGGUUGAGAGGAGGAGAGGGAGACGAUCUAUCUUUUGAUUGGAACAACUCUCAAAGGGGCUCACAAAUGCUCUUGGCAUCUAAGAUUUGGUGUGAGCAAAUGUGUGUGAGGUAGAAAUGUGUUCUUAUGAGGAUAAGGCUGUGUUGGGCACCCUCUCACGAAGUGGGAGGGGGUAUUUAUAGUGGGGAGAGAAAAACAGCCGUUGGGGACACUUUAAGUCACACAGGGUCCGGACGUCCGGCAGUUCUCGGAAGUCCGAGCGUUCGGAAGGGGUCGGACGUCCGACAGGGGUCGGUCGUCCGAGGGCUGUAGCUAUGACUACAAACACUGUGAAUUGAACAGCGACCGGACGUCCGGAGAAGGCCGGAAAUCUGAGUUAUUCGACUCAACUUCUUCUGGUGGGAGGUUCCGGAUUUCCGAAAGGGGACGGACGUCCGGCCCUCGGACGUCCGGAGGGAGCCGGAAAUCGGAGUUAUAGAGCUCAUGUUCUUCUGGUGCAGGGCUCCGGAUUUCCGAAGCUGGUCGGACGUCCGGCCCUCGGAUGUCCGGAGGGAGCCGGAAUUCUGAGUUAUAUGACUCAAAUACUUCUGGUGGGGGGCUCUGGAUUUCCGACGCCUGUUGGUCGUCCGGCCCUCGGAUGUCCGGAGGGAGCCGGAAGUCCGAGGCAAUAGACCUGUUUUGAGAUAGGAACAGAGUAGAGAAUAUGUGGUCUGAGCAGAACAGUGGAGAUGUAGUUUGAGCAAGUUCAUCGCAAAACCUGUGAUCCCCUCUUAAUAGUGUGGGAUCCCUAAAGACUCAAGAAUUGUAAAAGGGGUACCGAUGAUCCAUACUUGAGUGUAUACUUUUAUUCGCUGAUCAUCACUCCGCACCACUAACGUCAAAGGGACUGAUACCUUUGAGUUAGCCCUUUCACUUGAGCUUGAUGUUGUUGUUUCUUCUUGGCCCAAGUUGAAAGCAAGACAUGAUGCAGUCUUCAAGUAGCUUUCCCAUACACAAUGUGGAAAGCCUAGCUUAUGUAUUCAUCUUCAUUUGUCCACCAUGUGAACAUCCACAAAAAUCAAGCAUGUAGUGCUCAGGAAUGCUUAUCUUGAUCUUGUCCUUGUUAGCACAUGAGCUUGUCCUUAUUAACACAUGAUCAUUAACAAUAGUUUCAAUGAUAUAUUCGUGCUGAUCCACUUGAACUUGCACACCACAAUCUUGAUGACGAUCACCACUUGACGUCAUCCUUCAUGAGUUGUAUGAGAUCUUCCUUUUGACGCAAGUCCAUGGAAGCACACCUANGCUGAUCAUCACUCCGCACCACUAACGUCAAAGGGACUGAUACCUUUGAGUUAGCCCUUUCACUUGAGCUUGAUGUUGUUGUUUCUUCUUGGCCCAAGUUGAAAGCAAGACAUGAUGCAGUCUUCAAGUAGCUUUCCCAUACACAAUGUGGAAAGCCUAGCUUAUGUAUUCAUCUUCAUUUGUCCACCAUGUGAACAUCCACAAUAAUCAAGCAUGUAGUGCUCAGGAAUGCUUAUCUUGAUCUUGUCCUUGUUAGCACAUGAGCUUGUCCUUAUUAACACAUGAUCAUUAACAAUAGUUUCAAUGAUAUAUUCGUGCUGAUCCACUUGAACUUGCACACCACAAUCUUGAUGACGAUCACCACUUGACGUCAUCCUUCAUGAGUUGUAUGAGAUCUUCCUUUUGACGCAAGUCCAUGGAAGCACACCUACCCCCCACAUAGGAGUCUCACAAAGACCAUGGGUUAGUACACAAACACAUAAUGGACAAUGCUUACCAUACCAUGGGAUCACUUGAUCCCUCUCGGUACAUCUUAUACGUUUUGUGUGUUGAUCAUCUUGAUUUACUCUUUGUCUGAGAUCUUGAUCAACCUACUGUCUCUAUGACCAUUCUUUGGAUAAUACCUUGAAUACCAUCUUGGUCAUCAUAUAAACUCCUUGAACCCAACAGAUGGACUUCAAGAAGUGCCUAUGGACAAAUCCUAUAAAUAUAACUUAAGGCAACCAUUAGUCCAUAGGAAUUGUCAUCAAUUACCAAAACCACAUAUGGAGAUAUAUGCUCUAACAAUCUCCCCCAUUUUGGUAAUUGAAGACAACCACUUCAAGAGAGUUUAUAUAAGGAAAUAAGCAUAACCAAGCGCACACAUACAAGGUAAUAAUGCAUGUGUGCAAGAUGUAAAUGCUUAUGCAAUAAAAGCAAAACCCUCUAAACAUAUCCAAAGUAAACUCUCUAAACUUCUCCCCCAUUGGCAUCGAUUGCCAAAAUGGACGAAAAGUUUAGAAAGCCAAUAUAGUAGGUGGUCCUCCAAAAAGUGUGUACUUCUCAGCAAAUGAGUGCAGAAAAAUACACAAAUACAAUGAUAAGUAGUUGGAGGAAAACAAACUAUAUUGAGGACCCAAAGAUUGCAGAUAAAAGGAUCGUAUGCCACAAAGACAUACAAAGAUAGAGGCAAGCAAUCAAAAGAUUCCAGAUGGAACAAACAAUCAUAUGGUCCUUCGAACCACAUGAAUAAAAGAUAUUAUGAUAAAGGCAACAUAGUGUUUUAUCAAAAACUAGAGAAGCUCCCCAUGAUUUGUGCACUAAUACAAGAUUUUUGUAUUUGACACAGGUGCAUAAAAUAGGAUCGUUGCUCCCCCAGAAUUUAUAAAAGCACACAACGAGUGCAAGAAGAUAGAUGAGACAAUAAGCAUAUCAAUUUCACAAAACAAAUGGUUGAGCAACAUGUAAAAGAAGCAACUUGAGGAUAGGCUCAACCAAAGUAAUGUGUGUGAGUCAUGGCAAAGCACUUGAGAAGACUAAUAUAAGGAUGAGCAUUACUCAUCAACAUAGUCUUGAUGAAAUGAGAUACAAAGUGUAAGACAUAUCAUUCCCACACACACAUACUAGAAAAUGGGUUCACAAGCUUACUAAUAAACAAAAUAAGAACCAACGCUUGUGACAACCCAUUGUGAAGAUAGGAAGUAAGAACCUUGUCAAGAGGAGGGGUACUAAUUGAAAUGGCAAAACCCUCAUCAAGACAAGCAUGAGGAAAAAUAAUCUUCACGGCCAAAGAGUGCAUCAAGAUGUAGGAAAAUAAGAUACACACUCAAAACCAAUCCUUUCAUGAAGCCACCAAAAACUGAAAAAGGAAAUGUAACGAUGGAUGUGAAAGAAAAGAGGAUAUCAAUUAGAGAUGUAACUUCUCUCAUGUGUAAAAAGAUUCUAAGUAGAAGACAAUCAUGAUGAUAUAUAUCCACAAAGAAGGAUGUACACACGAAAUGGUUACAAGAAGGAACAAACUAGAUAUCCAAAAGGAAGUCAUAAAUAUAUCAAUGAGAUCUUUUGCUUGGAAGCAUAGCACAUGGCCUAAUAUUUUCUUAUUGUACAAUAUGAACUUCCAACAUACGAACAUCAAAGAAAUCCCAACUAGUAGUAAGACAUCAUCGUUCGGAUGCUUUGAGAAAGCAAACAAGUACUUCAAGAACGAAUCAAGAGAUUCAUGCCAUGAUGCAACCUGGAAAAGAAAAGACUGGUUGGGGCCUUUGCAAGAAAAGAAUGCAUGAAGUGGAUACUUGUUACCGAGACAACAUUGGAUUGAUGUAGUAGAUAGUUGUUCUUUGAUCAUCCUAACUUGGCUCCAAUAAUCACAUGGCCUCAACACCUUCCUUAUAGGUGAGCCGAGCAUCCAAUGCAUCUCUAGUUGUUCCUGGAACAGCAAAACAAACAAAAUGGUGCCCAAACUCAUUGGGACCAAAGAGUUAGAAAACCAGCAAUACAUAGGACAAACUCCACAUACAUAUGUGAAUAUAGAUAUGAAUUUGAAUUUCAUGCACACUUUAGCCAAUUUAUGACAAGGUGGAGUUUCCCUUAUAUAUUGGGUCAAAGAAGGAAAGCAAGCAAAAGAAGUUGUAUAUAGUAGAUAUGCAUGCUCAAGACUCUCAAGAAUCAACUCAACACAAAGUUGAUAAGUCACCAAAAGACAAGGUAUCAAGUGAUAAAAAGAUCCUAAACAAAAAAGAAAUAUCAUUUGAAGGAUAUCAACUAAAAGAUACCUCAAGGAAUGAGAUAUCCAUUGACACAUGCCAAAUAAAAGGAAACAAGAAACCAAUUGAAGGAAAACAAACACGAGGUAUCUAAUUUCCAAAAGAGAGCUAGGUUCCAACAAACCAAGCCCUCUACAAAUUUUCAUGAUGGCACAAAGCAUCAUAAAGAGAAAGACUUGCCUCCCAUCAACACACACUUGAUGGGGAUCAAAAGAUUUUAUGAUGGGUGAAUAAAGAGAGUGUUCUAAAGAAAAUAGGAUAGCUCCCCCAAGGGACGUGCAUUAUAUAGAAUUUGCAUUUAAAUACAAAAUGCACACGAUGGGAUCAUCACGUUCUCUAUAUCUAUAAAAACACUAGACAUGUUAAAAUAGAUCCAUAAGAGGCAAGGAAGACAAACGAAACACAAAAUCCAAUGUAAAGACGAUUAGCAAUUCCUAUCACAUGAUGGGAAUACCAAUUGUCAAGGACAAGAAGUAUUUUGGAAGUGAUACUCAUUGGUAGAUCGCAAAUAUAUCCAAGACCAUCUUUACCCAUAAAACGCAAGCAAAUGACACUUGUAGAGCUAACAUGCCACCUAGGAACAAGAUAAUUUACAAUAUCAACACUAAGUGGCAACACCUCAAAUGUACACAUUUUUUAGGUUCGUAAUAUGCACAUAGCAUAUUACUCCCCCAUAAUGUGAUAAACCAACAAUAUUAAAAAGUGGCAAAUUGAAACCAACAAGAGAUAAUUAAUGGACCAUAUAGAAUUUGAAUUUCUCAUGAGUAAGACAUACCACAUAGAAACUAGAUAAUCUUGAAAUAUCAAAACUAAGUGGUAUUCCCCAUGUAUACACAUUUAUAGGAUUGUGAGGUGUGCAAAGCACAUCACUCCCCCACAAUGGGAUAAUCCAUUAGUCUCUCACAAGAGCCAACAAAAAUACAAACAAGAUGCAAAAGGCUCAAUACAAGACUCACAUGUACAUGAUAUGCAAACCAACAUACACAUACUCGAUUACUCAAGUUAAGCAAGUUGGAAGCACAACAUAUACAAACGCAUGCAAGGUACAAAACCACAACAUGCAAAGGGGCAAGCACCUAACAAUGUAAACAGUUUAAGUAUAAGUUACCGUAAGAAGGCACAUUGGAUAUAAGAUAGAAACUCGAUAAUCCAACUGACUUGGCUUGAGAUAAUAUGAAUGAUGAAGACCCCUUAAUUCUUCAUUAUGUAUCCAAAUCUCUAAUGUCCUCCAUAGUCACCUACUGAUCAAGUUUGAGCUUGUUGGUCCCCAACUACGUUGGGUCCUAAGAGGUUAAUCACAAUAGGCUUGGCAACCCAAAUGGUUCUUUUCUUGACACCAUUUUGGGUACCAACAAACUUGGCAAACACAUUGCCAACCUUAUCCUUCCCAAAUGAAUAGAUAUCACCAAUAGUGAUUGGGUUGGAUAAGUUACCUCUUGUGCAAGACGAAGCGACGUGACCCUUCUCACGACAUAAGUAGCAACAUCUACCCUUUGCUUUCUUCCCAGUUGAUUUUUCACCUCGGGGAGUGUUGGCUUGGGUAUUAUUGGGAAGAGGCCCUCCUUCAACUUGUAGCUGAAUAUGUGAUUGAGUUUGUGGCCGCUUCCCUUGUUGCUUGUGACUUUGAGACUUCGUCUUGAGAGGGCAAGAUCUAACAUGGUGCCCUUUAACUUUGCACUUGAAGCAAAUGAUUUUGGCCGAAUUCUUGACUUGUUCUAGGCCCCUCUUGUUCUUGUUUGAGUUUACUCCAACAUCAUUUUUUGUCAUUCAGAGAUAUUUGCUCACACAGGACGUUGUUGAGUGUGAAAAUCCCUUCAUGACACUGUUCCAAGUCUUUCUUCAAAGAAGUGACUUGGGCCUUGAGUUGUUCGAUUUCCUCUGCACGGUUAGUAUCAAUGCAAGUACUAGAGGAAGUGUAAGCUUCAAUGUUAGAGCAACAAGGCAAGGAAAGUAAUUCAUCACACGAGGUAGCAACAUUAUGAGUAGACGAAUUACGAGGACUAGUACAUGGAAAUAUAGUACUUUGACUAGAAGUAGUGCCAUUGUCCACAUGAUGCUCACUUGAUGUUACCUUGGUGAUGAUAGCCUCAUGAGCUAAAUUUUGCACAUUAUGGGAUGUUAGAAGAUCGGCAUGAGAGCUUGUGAGCAUUACAUGGUUUUCUUCCAACUUCCCAUAAUUGCUAGUUAGUAAAUCAAGUUGAGCACGUAGCUCAACAUUCUCCUUCAAUGUUGAUACAUCAAAAGAGAUAGGGUUAGAUGUACAAGUAUCAUCAACAAUAUGAGAGGAGUAAGUAGCGAUUAGAGACUUCUCAUGAGUAGAUUGAAGCUCCUCAUAGAUCUUAGAGGUUUUGACGAGCUCUCCCUUGACAUUCUUGCAUUCAAGGAGAAGGACCUCAAAAUCCCUUUUAAGUUUAUCAUGAGUAACUUCAAUCUCUCCUUUUGAAGAUAUUAAGUCUCUACAUGCUUGAUGACUCUUCUCAAGUUCAUGUUCAAGUUGUUCACUUUUAGCUUGUUCAUGAUUAAGUGAAUCAUUACAAUUUUCAAAGUAAGCAACAACAUCUUGGAACCUUUGAAGAGCGUUAUUUUUAGCUUUAUGAAGAAUUUUACUCAUCACAUAGAUAUUUUCAGUCAAGUCGUCAUCAUCAUCCUCAUCACAAAUAUCAUCGUUAUUGCACAGGGAAGAUGAUACCUCAUUAUUACCUCUUGCCAUGACGCACAUGUGAACUGGAGGAGUUGAUGAUGAUUCUUUUGGUGAAUCAGAUUCUUCAUUAGUCAAAAGUACUUCAUAUUUCUUGAUUUCCCCUAAAUGAUUAGUCAUAGAACAACUAGGGAGAAACCAGAUAUUUUGAUCAAGAGGACACGGGAGAGCAGGCAUAUCACCAUAGACAUUUGUCGAGGGAUCUUUAGGUGAAAUGCAUGACCUAUCAGCACAAUAAUUUACACUAUGUGUGGUGCUAGAUAUGCUCAUGUCCAUAGAGGCUAUGACAUUUUCAUCAACAUAUAUUUCUUCACUCACCAUGUCAUUACCUUGUGAGAUUGAAGAUGCUGAGGUGUGCAAGCAAUCUGAUAUGGAAGUAGUGGUGGACUCUUUAUGAUCGAAAAGAGUGAAGAGCUCAUGCACCAACUCCUUCAUCAUAAUAUCGUCUUCAUCAAGAUUGGACCCACCAUAUAUAUCUUCAAGUUUAGUCCAAACUUCAUGAGCUGACUUGCAAGUCGAGAUAGACUUAAACACUUCAGGACUUAUGGUUCGAUGAAUGGCAAGAAAAUCCUCACAAUCAAGAUACAUUUCAUUAGUAGAUGAAGAUGCAUCAUCCUUUUUGUCGGCAAUCCCUACAAGAACAAUUCGUAAAGUAUUUGGGCCCAUGGCCCGAAAGUGAUGAAGCAUACAGAUUCUCCAUAGGGUAAAAUUUGUGCCAUCAAAGUCAAAGGUGCCAUUAUGCACUAAUCCAAUAGUCGACAUCGAUACUCUCUAGGUCGUGAAACCUAAUUAAAGAGAGACCUAGCUCUGAUACCAAUUGAAAAGACCAUGAUGACGCCUAGAGGGGGGGGGUGAAUAGGCUAUUUAAAAACUUCUUUGGAUUUGGCUUGAACCUAAUGCGGAAAUAAACUAAGAGGGUACUUGUCAAGCACAAAUCCUAAAUGCACUAGGCACUGCAACGUGUAUCAACAACACGAUCUACAAAGAUGGACACAAUAUAGUUACUAACAAGAACAAGUAAGUUACACAAACUUACUUGAGCUAUAUCACGUGACAAGUAGGUGAACGACACAAGAUACUAGAUCACACUAUAUCACAUGAUAUAUCAAAAGCUGUAAGUGUGAACGUGUGGAUAUAGAGGGUAUGCUUGAAUGAUUAAUCUUGUACAAGAAAUAGCCAACACAAUAUAAUGAGCACAAACAAUAUGCAAUGUAUGUAUGCUCAAGUAACACAAGUAAACCACAAGUAAGGAGUUAGGGUUAAGGAUAACCAAGGUCACAUAGACGAAGAUGUAUCCCGAUGUUCACUUCCUUGGAGGGAAGCUAGUCACCGUUAGAGAGGUGGAUGUUACCACGAAGGCUCACCCCAUUCUCCCUUUGAGAUAACACCACGAAGGCGUUUCUCAACCACUAUUGGUAAGCCUUUGAGGUGGCUUCCAAACCCUCACAAACUUUUCCGGGGGAAAUCACACAGAUUGAUUCCUCUCCGAAGAACUCCUACCGCCUAGGAGUCUCCAACCUCCAAGAGUAACAAGAUCACGGGGAAUGCUCAAAACUUGCUCAAAUCUCAAAUAGCUUGGGUUGAGAGGAGGAGAGGGAGACGAUCUAUCUUUUGAUUGGAACAACUCUCAAAGGGGCUCACAAAUGCUCUUGGCNCACCCCAUUCUCCCUUUGAGAUAACACCACGAAGGCGUUUCUCAACCACUAUUGGUAAGCCUUUGAGGUGGCUUCCAAACCCUCACAAACUUUUCCGGGGGAAAUCACACAGAUUGAUUCCUCUCCGAAGAACUCCUACCGCCUAGGAGUCUCCAACCUCCAAGAGUAACAAGAUCACGGGGAAUGCUCAAAACUUGCUCAAAUCUCAAAUAGCUUGGGUUGAGAGGAGGAGAGGGAGACGAUCUAUCUUUUGAUUGGAACAACUCUCAAAGGGGCUCACAAAUGCUCUUGGCAUCUAAGAUUUGGUGUGAGAAAAUGUGUGUGAGGUAGAAAUGUGUUCUUAUGAGGAUAAGGCUGUGUUGGGCACCCUCUCACGAAGUGGGAGGGGGGAUUUAUAGUGGGGAGAGAAAAACAGCCGUUGGGGACACUUUAAGUCACACAGGGUCCGGACGUCCCGCAGUUCUCGGAAGUCCGGGCGUUUGCAAGGGGUCGGACGUCCGACAGGGGUCGGUCGUCCGAGGGCUGUAGCUAUGACUGGAAACACUGUGAAUUGAACAGCGACCGGACGUCUGGCCCUCGGACGUCCGGAGGGAGCCGGAAAUCCGAGUUAUUCGACUCAACUUCUUCUGGUGGGAGGUUCCGGAUUUCCGAAAGGGGACGGACGUCCGGCCCUCGGACGUCCGGAGGGAGCCGGAAAUCAGAGUUAUAGAGCUCAUGUUCUUCUGGUGCAGGGCUCCGGAUUUCCGAAGCUGGUCGGACGUCCGGCCCUCGGAUGUCCGGAGGGAGCCGGAAUUCUGAGUUAUAUGACUCAAAUACUUCUGGUGGGGGGCUCUGGAUUUCCGACGCAUGUUGGUCGUCCGGCCCUCGGACGUCCGGAGGGAGCCGGAAGUCCGAGGCAAUAGACCUGUUUUGAGAUAGGAACAGAGUAGAGAAUAUGUGGUCUGAGCAGAAUAGUGGAGAUGUAGUUUGAGCAAGUUCAUCGCAAAACCUGUGAUCCCCUCUUAAUAGUGCGGGAUCCCUAAAGACUCAAGAAUUGUAAAAGGGGUACCGAUGAUCCAUACUUGAGUGUAUACUUUUAUUCGCUGAUCAUCACUCCGCACCACUAACGUCAAAGGGACUGAUACCUUUGAGUUAGCCCUUUCACUUGAGCUUGAUGUUGUUGUUUCUUCUUGGCCCAAGUUGAAAGCAAGACAUGAUGCAGUCUUCAAGUAGCUUUCCCAUACACAAUGUGGAAAGCCUAGCUUAUGUAUUCAUCUUCAUUUGUCCACCAUGUGAACAUCCACAACAAUCAAGCAUGUAGUGCUCAGGAAUGCUUAUCUUGAUCUUGUCCUUGUUAGCACAUGAGCUUGUCCUUAUUAACACAUGAUCAUUAACAAUAGUUUCAAUGAUAUAUUCAUGCUGAUCCACUUGAACUUGCACACCACAAUCUUGAUGACGAUCACCACUUGACGUCAUCCUUCAUGAGUUGUAUGAGAUCUUCCUUUUGACGCAAGUCCAUGGAAGCACACCUANGCUGAUCAUCACUCCGCACCACUAACGUCAAAGGGACUGAUACCUUUGAGUUAGCCCUUUCACUUGAGCUUGAUGUUGUUGUUUCUUCUUGGCCCAAGUUGAAAGCAAGACAUGAUGCAGUCUUCAAGUAGCUUUCCCAUACACAAUGUGGAAAGCCUAGCUUAUGUAUUCAUCUUCAUUUGUCCACCAUGUGAACAUCCACAAGAAUCAAGCAUGUAGUGCUCAGGAAUGCUUAUCUUGAUCUUGUCCUUGUUAGCACAUGAGCUUGUCCUUAUUAACACAUGAUCAUUAACAAUAGUUUCAAUGAUAUAUUCAUGCUGAUCCACUUGAACUUGCACACCACAAUCUUGAUGACGAUCACCACUUGACGUCAUCCUUCAUGAGUUGUAUGAGAUCUUCCUUUUGACGCAAGUCCAUGGAAGCACACCUAACCCCCACAUAGGAGUCUCACAAAGACCAUGGGUUAGUACACAAACACGUAAUGGACAAUGCUUACCAUACCAUGGGAUCACUUGAUCCCUCUCGGUACAUCUUAUACGUUUUGUGUGUUGAUCAUCUUGAUUUACUCUUUGUGUGAGAUCUUGAUCAAUCUACUGUCUCUAUGACCAUUCUUUGGAUAAUACCUUGAAUACCAUCUUGGUCAUAAUAUAAACUCUUUGAACCCAACAGAUGGACUUCAAGAAGUGCCUAUGGACAAAUUCUAUAAAUAUAACUUAAGGCAACCAUUAGUCCAUAGGAAUUGUCAUCAAUUACCAAAACCACAUGUGGAGAUAUAUGCUCUAACACCCACCAUAUUGUUUCAUUCGAUCGUGUACUUUGUUGUGAUGAUUUCUACAUAAAGCAAGGCGAAAGCUAGUUUCAAGUCAUCUUGAAUCCAUUGGUCACCCAUUGGAAUGGUCGUGUUAUUUUAUCCCUCCUUUUUUUCAAUAAUGUGGGAUAGACGACCGAACUCCCCGUUGGUCCACCAUUGGAUGGGUUGUACCUACAGUCAAGUGUGACGAGCCUGGCAACCCCAAGUAUAGCUAAGAGCAACUCUAGCAGACCCCACAUCCCGCCCCGACCCGCAAAAUAACUGCCAAAGUGCGGGUCGAGGCGGAAAAAUCUGCCCGAUCAGACCCCGCAUCCCGCCCCGGCCCGCAAAUAUUUUGUGGGGCGCGGCAAAACUGUUGGAAAUAUGCCCUAGAGGCAAUAAUAAAAUGGUUAUUAUCAUAUUUCCUUGUUCAUGAUAAUCGUCUAUUGUUCAUGCUAUAAUUGUAUUAACAGGAAACAGUAAUACAUGUGUGAAUAAAUAGAUCACAAUGUGUCCCUAGCAAGCCUCUAGUUGGCUAGCUCAUUAGUCAAUAGAUGAUCAUGGUUUCCUGAUCAUGGGCAUUAGAUGUCAUUGAUAACGGGAUCACAUCAUUGGGAGAAUGAUGUGAUGGACAAGACCCAAUCCUAAGCCUAGCACUAGAUCGUAUUGUUCGUAUGCUAAUGCUUUUCUAAUGUCAAGUAUCUUUUCCUUCGACCGUGAGAUUGUGCAACUCCCGGAUACCGUAGGAGUGCUUUGGGUGUAUCAAACGUCACAACGUAACUGGGUGACUAUAAAGGUGCACUACGGGUACCUCCGAAAGUGUCUGUUGGGUUGGCACGAAUCGAGAUCGGGAUUUGUCACUCCGUGUGACGGAGAGGUAUCUCUGGGCCCACUCGGUAGAACAUCAUCAUGAGCUCAAUGUGACUAAGGAGUUAGUCACACGAUGACGUGGUACGGAACGAGUAAAGAGACUUACCGGUAACGAGAUUGAACAAGGUAUAGGUAUACCGACGAUCGAAUCUCGGGCAAGUUCUAUACCGACACACAAAGGGAAUCGUGUACGGGAUUGAUUGAAUCCUUGACAUCGUGGUUCAUCCAAUGAGAUCAUCGUGGAGCAAGUGGGAGCCACCAUGGGUAUCCAGACCCCGCUGAUGGUUACUGGCCAGAGAGGUGUCUCGGUCAUGUCUGCCUGUCUCCCGAACCCGUUGGGUCUACACACUUAAGGUUCGAUGACGCUAGGGUUAGAGGGAAUUGUUAUACGAGGUUACCGAAAGUUGUUCGGAGUCCCAGAUGAUAUCCCGGACGUCACGAGGAGCUCCGGAAUGGUCCGGAGGUAAAGAUUGAUAUAUAGGACGGAUGGUUUCGGAUACCGGAAGUGUUUCGGGCAUCACCAGUAACGUACCGGGACCACCGGGACCACCGAAGGGGGGCAACGACCCCGGGACUUAAGGUGGGCCAAGUGGGGGUGGGAACCAGCCCCUAGGUGGGCUGGUGUGCCUCCCCACUCAGCCCAUAGCGCAAGGGAGAGAAAAGGGGGGGCAAACCCUAGGCCAGGUGGGCCUAAGGCCCACCAGAUGGUGCGCCACCCCCUCCUCCCCCUUCUGGCCGUCGCACCUCCCAUCUGGGGGGGCUGCCGCACCACCUAGGGUGGGAACCCUAGGGGUGGCACCCCCUCUCCCCUCCCCCUAUAUAUAACAGGCACUUCUGGCCAUUGAGACACACGGUUUUUCCCUUUCUCUCGGCACAUCCUUGCUCUUCUUCCUCCUCCUCUCUGCCAGUGCUUGGCGAAGCCCUGCCGGGAGACCUCGUCUCUCCAUCGACACCACGCCGUCGUGUUGCUGGAGUUCUUCCCCAACCUCUCCCUCCUCCUUGCUGGAUCAAGGCGCGGGAGACGUCACCGGGCUGCACGUGUGUUGAACGCGGAGGUGCCGUUGUUCGGCACUAGAUCGGAAUUGCUGCGAGUACGACUCCAUCAACCGCGUUCUAGCAACGCUUCCGCUUAGCGAACUUCAAAGGUAUGAAGAUGCUCUUACCCAUCUCUCGUUGCUGGUCUCUCCAUAGCAAGAUCUGAAUAUGCGUAGGAAAAUUUUGAAUUUAUGCUACGUUACCAACAGUGGCAUCCGAGCGAGGUUUUCUAUGCGUAGAUUCUAUGCACGAGUAGAACACAAAAGUUGUGGGCGAUGAUUUGUCAAUUUGCUUGCCGCUACUAGUCUUAUUCUUUUCCGGCGGUAUUGUGGGAUGAAGCGGCCCGGACCGACCUUACACGUACGCUUACGUGAGACUGGUUCCACCGACAGACAUGCACAUCGUGCAUAAAGGUGGCUAGCGGGUGUCUGUCUCUCCUACUCUAGUCGGAUUGGAUUUGAUGAAAAGGGUCCUUAUGAAGGGUAAAUAGCUUUGGCAUAUCAUCGUUGUGGCUGUCACGUAGGUAAGAAGGCGUUCUUGCUAGAAACCCAAAUCAGCCACGUAAAACUUGCAACAACAAUUAGAGGACGUCUAACUUGUUUUUGCAGGGUUUGACAUGUGAUGUGAUAUGGCCAAAGUUGUGAUGUUGCAUGUAUGAUGUAUGAGAUGAUCAUGUUAUUGUAAUAGGUUUCACGACUUGCAUGUCGAUGAGUAUGACAACCGGCAGGAGCCAUAGGAGUUGUCUUAAUUUAUUGUAUGAGAUGCAACGCCAUGUGCUUACUACUUUUACUUCAUUGCUAACGGUUAGCUAUAGUAGUUAUGAUAGUAGUAGUUGACGUGACGACUUCACGGAGACACGAUGAUGGAGAUCAUGAUGAUGGAGAUCAUGGUGUCACGCCGGUGACGAUGAUGAUCAUGCGAUGCCUGAAGAUGGAGAUCGAAAGAGCAAAGAUGAUAAUGGCCAUAUCAUGUCACUAUAUGAUUGCAUUGUGAUGUUUAUCAUGUUUUACAUCUUAUUGCUUAAAACGACGGUAGCUUAAUAAGAUGAUACCUCUUAAAAUUUCGAGAACGUAUUCCCCUAAGUGUGCACCGUUGCGAAGGUUCGUUGUCUCGAAGCACCACGUGAUGAUCGGGUGUGAUAGAUUCUAACGUUCGCAUACAACGGGUGUAAGCCAGAUUUACACACGCGAAACACCUAGGUUGACUCGACGAGCUUAGCAUGUACAGACAUGACCUUGAAUACAAGAGACCAAAAGCUCGAACAUGAGUCGUAUGGUUGAAUACGAUCAGCAUGAAGUUGCUCACCAUGGUGACUAGCCCGUCUCACGUGAUGAUCGGACACGGGUUAGUCAACAUGGAUCAUGUAUCACUUAGAUGACUAGAGGGAUGUCGAUUUAAGUGGGAGUUCAUACUUAAUUUGAUUAAAUGAACUUAAUUGUCAUGAACUUAGUCUAAAAGUUGUCUUUAUAAAUAUUGUAGAUGUCCAACGUCAACCUCAAUUUCAACGCAUUCCUAGAGAAAAACAAGCUGAAAGAUGAUGGUAGCAACUAUGCGGACUGGGUUCGCAACCUGAAGCUCAUCCUCG
rnacentral:lncRNA from 1 species